rnacentral:lncRNA from 1 species
UGAUUGUAGCCUUAUUGAUUUAUUCAUCCAAGAAGACUGACUAUUCACAAUUUUAAAGAAAAUUAACUGAUAUUCAAGACGACAAGAACUCAAUAAGUUCUUUAAAUUGAUUCCGGAUUAGUGUCAACAACAGUAAAUAAGAAGUCUUUAUUUUGUACAAGUUCAAAUUGUAUUUUAUAAAUUAAAUAAUUUAGCAAAAUUAUUCCAUGGAUAUACACAAUUUCCAAACCAUGUAAAAUCUAUCUGUAUUUAUUUUCUCAUGUCAAUUUAGUCGAUCAGAAUUUGAUUAAUCCUAUGGUUGAUUUAAAUCCAUAAAAGAAUUCAUUUCAUUUAAGAAAAAGAUAAAAUAGAAAUGAUAAAGUUAAAAAAAAUAUUAUUUAGUGUUAUAAAAUAUAUUAAUUUAUUAAUAUGAGAUUCAUUUGAAAAUUUUAUCUAUUUUAUUAAAAUUUAGUUCAGCUGUAACUAAUUCUAUACAAAUUUGAUAUAUAAAAUACUAAAUUAACUUCCACUCCAUUUAAAGUAUAUAAAUUUUAUAAAUUUUAUGAUUUUCAAUCAAAUACUAUAUAAAAUUAAAAAAUUAUUAAAACAUUUUUACAAAGUCCAAUGAAACCAGAACAAUGUAAACAAAUGUCAAUUAUUACUUUUCAAGUGUCAAUAGCUUAACUCUAGAUCAAAUAAGUCAAUAAUAUUUAAGAAAAAACAAUAUACGAACUCUAAAUCAAUAGUAAAAAAAAAGGAAAAAGAUAAACUAAAAAGUUCAUUAAAACUUAAAAUGCGAAUUUGAGCUCCAAAAUCAAGUACCAAACCUGCUCUAAAUUAGACAAAUGAAAAGAAAAUACAAGUUCUUGUGGACUCAUUGUUGCUCAACCAGCCAAAGAAUAGCAUUUGAAAAGUAAAAAAGCUAAACACAUCAGAUACAGAACCCUGGCCAUGUAGUAUUUACAUAAAGCAACAAUUGCAGAUAACUUCAUUCACCUAAUAAGAAGUCACCUACAGUUCAUGCUUCUGAAAGUGGGUUUGAUUUCAAAAGCUCCUAUCUAAUGGCGAGGCAAAAUUGACUAAAACAUGCCCUAGGUCAAUUCUAAAUAGUUGUAUAUGAAUGUAUCACAAUAGAUAACAAGAUGCCUAGUGAUUUUAUUCACAUUCUUUCACCCAUGUGCAGAAGCAGUUACAAGCAUGUAUAUAGGAAUUCAAAACUGUGUUAAAUGACCUUUCUUCAGCACAGGUAGUCAUGAAUUUCUUUUAACACUUUCUUCAACACGCGUAAGUGCAUCUGUGAGCACAUCAGUAGUCCAAUCCUUCAAAUCUUGCUGCAGACAAUUGAGAAGGAAUAUAAGUGUGUUAUGAGAUUACCUAACAUGGAAAGGAGCAUUUUAUUAACACUUAAUUAAGCUUGUCUGCAAGGCAACCACAAGUUUACCGAAUCAUUUUCCUUUUGUUUCUAUGCAUGCACAAGUCAAUCAUUUUACUUUGUUCUAUUCUUUUGCUGAACCACUAAAAUGAAAGCUUAGCAAAUACAGAAUGAACAGUAAAAGAUUCAGUAUUUCUCUAUAAAAGAAAAGCAUGGUUUGCUGCACUGGCUCAUAACACAGAAACAUAUCUUGUGAAGCCACUGGCACUAGGGUCUACUAGUCCCAAGCCCACUGAUGCCAAGAACAUAACAAUGUAUGAAGUGUUGAGUUAAGAUGAUCACUUCCUGAAGCUUGGGAUGCAUGAUGCGAGGUUCAUUCAGGGUACUGACACAAAAGAACCACAAGUACAAGUACCAAAGAUGUGUUUGACCAAUUAAUUGUCAGAUAGGAUAUUUAUAUCUAGAAUAAGAAAUUAGAAUAAGAUUGUCAUAAGACGUCCCGGUCACCUAUUGCAUCUAUUAAAAAGGCUAAAAGAGAGACAUUAAGAGUUAAGCAUAAAUGAAAAGGAAGGAAGAUUGAGGGAAGGAAUAUAUAGAAAACAUCUUAGAAAAACUGAACAGUUACUAUUUAUGAAUGUUAUAUCAGUCAACAAACAAGAUUACUUCCUUCAAAUCGUUAUCCAAAAUUCUCAAGUAAAAUUAACAUUCAACAGAGACAUGAGAUAACUUUGGCGAACAAAAUUAGAAGGUAUUACAUCACAAGAAAUGAACUAAUUAGAGCAAUAUGCUAAAAUAAUUAGUUUAUCGACAACAGUUGACAUCCUGAUAAAGUCUGCACCUGUCUUUAUAAGAUAGUAUCUUAGGAAAAAUAUUCAGCAUGGAGGCUAUCACACUCUAAGUAGGAAAUGGAACGAGAAUAGGGAAUAAUAAGAAAAAGUGCAAAUAUGUGAAACAUGGACUUAACUAUCGUUUCUCAAAUGGCCAGCCUGUUCAUUUAUAAAUUAAUAGUUCUUUUGCUUCUAAAAAUGGAGGAAUCACUGAAUUUCCACAAAAAUAAAAAUAUUAAAUGUAAAAGCCUUUAACAAUAUUUCAUCCAGGUUACAAGAGAAGAAAAGAUUUAAUUAUUAAAAGAAAAUGAAAAAGAUAGAAGAAUAGUCAUCUCACCAUAUGCAAUGGUUCUCCUGUCCUCAUUCUUGCAUUAGGACGAGCAAGCUUGGAUUCAAAAGGAGUCCUUGGCCUCACCUCUCGAAAUUCCUCCCAUUCCUCACGUGAAAGCAUCCUAAUUGUGCCUUGACCAGGAGGAGCAUUCUUUAUUUUCCGCUCAAUCAUUUCUUGCGAUUUUGAAUCAUCAUGCUGCAAUUGCACAAAACAGAUUAUACAACUCACAAGCUAGAGAGCAAACCUCUGAAAACCAAAUCAAAAAAUCAGUAUCAAAGAAAGAAAUCUCUUUUCCAGUGCACAAAACAUAAAACUCUAAUUGUAUCCAAUUUUUGGGGAACUUUCACCAAUCCUUGUUGUGAGAUGAAAAUCAAACNNNNNNNNNNNNNNNNNNNNNNNNNNNNNNNNNNNNNNNNNNNNNNNNNNNNNNNNNNNNNNNNNNNNNNNNNNNNNNNNNNNNNNNNNNNNNNNNNNNNNNNNNNNNNNNNNNNNNNNNNNNNNNNNNNNNNNNNNNNNNNNNNNNNNNNNNNNNNNNNNNNNNNNNNNNNNNNNNNNNNNNNNNNNNNNNNNNNNNNNNNNNNNNNNNNNNNNNNNNNNNNNNNNNNNNNNNNNNNNNNNNNNNNNNNNNNNNNNNNNNNNNNNNNNNNNNNNNNNNNNNNNNNNNNNNNNNNNNNNNNNNNNNNNNNNNNNNNNNNNNNNNNNNNNNNNNNNNNNNNNNNNNNNNNNNNNNNNNNNNNNNNNNNNNNNNNNNNNNNNNNNNNNNNNNNNNNNNNNNNNNNNNNNNNNNNNNNNNNNNNNNNNNNNNNNNNNNNNNNNNNNNNNNNNNNNNNNAGUAAAAAAUUGAUUUUAGUGUAAGUUUAACUUUAAUAUCAAGUUUAGAGCGAGUUUCUUUUAUCCAAUCAGAUUAGUUUUUUCUUCAGCAAUCUUAAAUUUAGUUCCUAAAACAAAUUAAUCAAUAUUUCUAAUUGUCUAAAUGUUUCAUUUUUAGCUAUAAUUUAGUAAUAAUCUCUAAAAAUUUUAUAAUUACUUAAUUUAUAUUAAUUAAUUAAUUUUAAUAAUUUUUCUUACUAUAAAAUUAAAUUAUAUAAAAAUAAAAAUAAAAAAUUUAAGAUUGUGAUUAUUAUUAAAAUAAAAUAAAAAUAAUGUGAACCCACAUCUUAAAUAUGCUUUAAAAGAAUAUAUAAAAUUAAUAUGAAAAACUUUAAAAUUUAUAAUUUUAUUUUAAAUAUAUAGAUAAAUUGUAAUUAGAUAUAUUAUUUAUGCAAAAAAAUAAAAAACAAUGAACAACUAUACAGAGAGAGAGAAUUAAAUGCUCAUUCUUCAUUUUGGCUCAAUAUAAUUUUUCUAUAUUUUUAAAAUAGUUCAAUUAAAUCUAAAUUGUUAACUUUAUUAAUAUUUUCAUUAGUGAUAAGAUCAUUUAAAUUUUUACCAAUAAUAUAAUGACACAUUUCUACUCUAUACUAUUACUAAAAGAUAAAAUAAUAAAUAAUAAAUGCAAUUAGUAAAAUAGAAGAAAUAAAAAAAAAAAAAAAGAACUAACUGCUUGCCAUCACUCUUCCUUUCUUCCACCCUAACCCCCUGCGGGGUGGAAGGGAUGAUGAAGGCAUGCUAAAGGCGACAAUAUCGAUAGAGUCAGCUGAUAUCGAUAAAGGUUACGAGUGUGGAUGGAGGUGAUGAGGAUGGUAGGCGAAGGUGAAGCUAAACGGAGAAAAACGGCAAGCCAACACUGGAAAUUUAGGUUGUAUGAAAAAUUCUAUAUAAAAUUACGUUUUUGUGUCGAUGCGUUUCAAUAACUAAAUUUUUUAAAGAUAUUUUAAAAAUUUUAAAAAAUAUUUUUAAUUAUUUUUAUAUUUAUAUUCAUUUUGAAAAUAUUAAAAAAAUUUAAUUUUUUAACUAUUUUUUUAUUUUAUUUUUUUAUUUAUAGAUGAUUCUUAACUUUUUUAUAUUAUAUAAUAUUGUUAUUAUAUGAAUAUCAUUAGUUCUUAAUUAUUUUAUAUUUAAGAGUCUAUAUAUAUAUCUUUUAUAUAGUUUAUAGUAAUUAUAUAAUUAUUAAUAUGAUCAAUUAUAUUAAUUAUGUCUAAUUUGUAUUUUUAUAAAGAUCAUAAAAAUAAUAAUACAGUAGAAAAUUAAAAUAUAUAUAUAUAUAUAUAUAUAUAUAUAUAUAUAUAUAUAUAUAUAUAUAAUAUUUAUAUAAUGUCUCGUUUUUUAAUUUUUUGAAAAUAUUUCAUAUUUUCUUAUCGUGUCGCGUUUUUUGUUUCUGUUGGGCAACUUAACCGGAGAUCAAGGCUGCAUUUGUUUUCUCUUCCUUGCUGGUGAAGAUUUUUUUUUUCUAAUUACCUUUUUGGAUCUGAUUCAAAGAAACUGUAGCAGUGUGAUUUUUGUUUUCUUUUUUCUUUAAUCUGUGGAGGUGAAAUAAACGAGGAUAGAUUGACAUCACUCAUGAAAGUAGCAGUGUGUUUUUGUUUUUAUGGAGGCCACGGUUCAACGGGUUUGAUGCAGGCAGCAGAGAUGGUGAUAAUGGAAAGGUGGUAAUCGGGGCAAGGCGGUGGCGGAGAGGCCAUGAAUUUGAUGAAGGCUAGUAGUGGUGACGGUAUAUUUUAGGAUCGAUAGGUGGCGAUGGAGCGGCGGUGGAGGGGCUAUGAGAGAUGGUAGUGUUACAGUUAUUAUUGGAUGCAAAGUUUUUAACUUUAGUUUAUUUUAUUUUCACAGUAGCAAUUUUCUACACAUGUAAUUUUUUAAUUUAUGAAGCGAAUGAAUUAUUACAGUUAUAUCAUUAAUCAAGAAACAGAAUCCUUGUAAAAAGGAAAAGUAAGAUUGAAUUGUUAUUGGAUUAUUCCAUAUGCAUAUUGUAGAAAUAUCUCGAGUUUAUAUUAAUAUUGCGAGUUUGUUUUUUUGGAUAAUAAUUACGUUUUUUACUCGUUAGAGUCUGUAUAUCUAAUGUAAGUCGGAAGCUGAAGAGAUUAUUGCAGAAACAGACAAGGUCUACAGACAAACAAAAAGACAUCAUUGUGUCCAUCAGGACAGCCAUUUUUAUUUAUCUAGAUGUCACCGAAGCUUGCAAAACAAACAGUUUUACAUGCACUGUCUAUUCGUCGCGCCAGAUACUCCACUGUUCACGUGCGAUUACGUAGCCUUCCCCUGUCCUAUGUACGGGGCGAUAGUGCUUUUAUCAGGUAGAAAGCACAUUGAAUUAAUUAACUAUCCAGCAAUUUUCUUCUUUGCGAAUAUGGGAUGGAGAGACUUCAAAAUCUGAAAGACUAUUCUAAUAUCUAUGAUUCAGGCAGCAAGCAUUUUAUCUGAACUGUGUGUUUUAUGUGAUUGAAAAACUAACACUGCCUGAAGAUUAUGAAAAUUCAUGAAGUUUUACUUAAUUAACAUGUUUAUGCACAACUCAAUUAAUUUAUCAAAUUGUCUUGGACAGAAUACCUGAUAAUAAUUCUAUAACUGCAAGCAUAAAAGUCAUAAAUCUAAAAUCGGUCGGAUUAAUUUAAGUGAUAAUUGGAUUAUUAUCUUGGAUUCAAAUUCAUAUACGAGUUCUUCGUCGUCUUCUCAUGCGUGCUUUACAUAUUCUUCUCUUUUAGUGUUGAGACAGCUGCCCUGCCUAAUUUUAUUAGGUGUAAGACAUUAGGCUUAUGCAGCCAUGCAAAGAAUGGAAGGAUCUAACAAGCCCUUAACCCGCAAUCUUCUAUAAAUACCAACAUCAACCCCAUAACAAAUCACAGCAAAUAGUUAUUUGUUUUCAGGCCUAUCCCUCCUCGAUCCCCAUGGCGAAGCCUAUCCUGCUAUCUAUUUCUCUUUGCCUUUUUGUUCUCUUCCAAGGCUCCUUAGCUCUCGUUUCAUCAUCUCAGCAGCAAAACGAGUGUCGAAUCGACAGGAUCAAUGCCCGCGAACCUGAUAGCCGCAUUCAGAGCGAAGCUGGUACAAUUGAGUCAUGGGAUCCUAACCACGAUCAGUUCCGAUGCGCUGGUGUGGCUGUAACCAGGCACACUAUUCAACCCGAUGGCCUUUUAUUGCCAGCUUACAGCAAUGCUCCUCAACUCGUCUAUAUUGUCCAAGGUGUGUAGAAAUAAGAAACCUCUCCUUCCCAAGCAGCAAAAUCAAGAUGAUGUUUAUGUAUGUUGUGUAAAUACAGGUCAAGGUAUGCUUGGAGCCAUGUUUCCUGGAUGCGCUGAAACAUUCCAAGAAUCUCAAGAAUCCAGUAGGAGCAGUAGACAACAAGAGCAGCACCAAAAGAUUCGCCAUUUCCGACGUGGAGAUGUCAUUGCUUUGCCAGCAGGAAUAGCCCACUGGUGCUACAACGAUGGCAAUGAACCCCUUAUUGCUGUCAGUGUUUUGGACACUGGCAACAACGCUAACCAGCUUGACAGGAACCCCAGAGUAAUAAAGAGACAAAAACNNNUGACUAAUAUCGACUUGAAUUUCUUUGCUUCUCUUGAACUUGUUUCGCAGAAUUUCUACCUAGCCGGUAAUCCAGAAGAUGAGUUCCAGCAACAAUCCAGACGCCCAGGUGAGCGUGGACACGGAGAGUAUUCCCUUGGAGGCAGCAGCGAGAGACGACAGCGAUCUUGCAACAAUGUGUUCUGCGGAAUGGACUCAAGGUUUAUCGCUGAAGCUUUCAACAUUGAUGAGCAAUUGGCUAGAAGGAUUCAAGGUCAGGAUGACGCCAGAGGCAACAUAGUGAGGGUCGAAGGUCGUAUUCAGGUAACGAGGCCACCCAGGACUCAACAAGAGAGAGAGGAGCAACUAGAACGCGAGUAUGAACAAGGCCGUCGACAUUACAAUGGCAUUGAGGAGACUUUUUGCACCAUGAGGAUGAGGGAAAACAUUGCUGAUCCCUCACGCGCUGAUAUCUUCGUCCCUGAAGUUGGUCGUAUGAGCACCGUCAACAGCCACAGUCUCCCUAUCCUUCGGUGGCUCAAACUCAGUGCUUCACAUGCUGUUCUCCGCAAUGUAAGUCAAAUAGCCCAUUCCAUAGCCAAUGGCACAUCAUCAUUUGCGCUGCUUCCAUAAUUCAUAACUAAAGAUGAAUAAUGUUAUUCGCAGAAUGCUGUGAGACUGCCUCACUGGCACAUGAAUUCCCAUAGCAUAUUAUAUGCCAUAAGGGGUCAAGCACGGAUUCAGGUGGUAAAUGAAAAUGGCAACAGUGUCUUCGACGGUAGUGUAAGGCAAGGACAAGUCCUGACACUGCCACAGAACUUUGUGGUGGUGAAUAGGGCAGAGAGUGACAAUUUCGAAUACGUUUCCUUCAAUACCAAUGACAAUGCCGUGGCCUUUGAUGUUGCUGGCCGCACCUCAGCCCUUCGGGGCAUGCCAGUGGAAGUAAUUGCAAACGCAUUCAGAGUUUCGAUAGAGGAAGCCAGGAGGAUCAAGUUCGGGAGGGAGGAGACCACCCUUGGUAGCUCACUGUCUCAGCCAAGGAGGGCAGCUGCUUAAGCAGUAAAAUUACAGUAUGAACAAUGUAAACUAAAGGAACACACACCCUUUUUCGUGUUAAUGUAAGUAUGAUGUUUAGAAAUAAAAGAGACUUCCAUGGUCUCUGUACGCUGUAAGCACGUAAGUAGAGAGGACUUCUACUUGGCAAUAAAAAUGCUUCUUAUUUUAUGAAGUAAUUGGUUCCUCGUCCUUUGGCAGAGAAUAAAUUUGGUGAUAAAUUGACCUGAAACGCCAAAUGUAAUAUCAAAAAACAAGACUAUACAUAUCCUAUUGUCAUAGGAUCAUCAUUAUUCUGAAGGCCCUUAAUUUGCUUCUAAAUUAAUCCAUUUGCAUGUAUAACUAGAGCACUAAACAAGAGCAAGUACUACCACAUUGAAAUACACAGAACAGAAGACGUGUUAUAAAAUAAAUACCAACAUUCAUAUCCGACUGGAAAUUGGAAUUAGAGCACUAUUGCAUUUCUUUUAUCAAUCAAUUAAGCAAUGGAUAUGUUCAAAUAAAUUAGGAAUCAACUUUUAUGCAAAUAGUUCACCAAACAUGAUGUAAGUUUCUAAUAUGAUACUCCUGCAAAAUUUGUUUACAUCAAUACCCCUAUUACAAAAAACAACAGCAUCUCAUUUUAUUCAAACACAAUAGUAGCAAGCUUGAUUUUUCUUUCUUCGGGGCUGCUGUAAGCUUUUCCUUUACAUUCCUGCUAAACCAGCUUAUCUCCUUUGCUCCAAACUAAUCUGAUUCUGUUGAUACGAACAAAAGUAAACCUUGCCCCAAACUGAAGCAGAAAUAAUAGCACAUUUAGAAAAUAAGUGCUCCCAGCAAUUUACCUUGUCAAAAUUAGGUCUUCCGGGCACUAAUAAUAAAAAAAAUAUCACUGAAUUUUAAGUAUCAGGUAUAUGAUCUUUACUUAAGAAUUUUAAAGUAACUGCAUAUUUAAAGUUCGAACUUAAUACCUUAGUUAAACUAAAAAAAACCUUUACCAUCUAAUCUACACAUUCUUUUUGGAUUUUAGCGACUAAUUAUUGUAUUUCAACUAUCGCAAAUAUUUUUAAAAAAAUUAAUAAAUUUAAUAAGCAUCUAUUGCUAAGGGUGUCAUCGAGAUAAAACACAAAAUGAAUGAAUUAUGCCAACUACGAUAAUCGAUAUGUUUUAUUAAAGCUAAAGGGUUAAUUUGGCCCCUAAACUAUUUUUCAAAAUCUAAUUCUUUCCAAAUCAGUUUCUUGGCUAAUUACAUCAAAAUUCGCUGUAAAAAAUGUGUGAGCCUCAAAAUCAUUUUACCAAAAAUUUCAACAUAUCUUUUCUUCCUCCUGUUGUUGUGAUAAUAAGCCUUAGUCUCAAACGAUCAAUCACGACUUGAUUUUCUAAAAGUAGUAGCAUCAGACUCGUUCCGACAACGACAACAGUUUUGGAGAUCAGGGGUUUCAAGAGACAAUUGAUUUUCUUAAAAUAUUUUCAAACUAGUUUAGGGGGUGUUUGGAACUAAUCAGCCAUUAACCAGAGACUUUUAUAUAGUUUGGCCAAAAAUUAAAUCAAGCUGAAUUAACUUUGGAAAAUAAUUCAGAGGCCAAACACUUUUAAAACUGUCGACAAUUACUUCUUAUAUAUCAAUUUCCCAACUUCUCUUGGAGCCGACCCAAAUGGUGGAUAAACUUUGUAUUAAAUUUGUUUUUAUUAUAAGAUUUUACUUUGUUGUAUUUUAAUCAUUUAAUUUAAACUAUAUUUAAGUCACUUUCAUGAACAAAAGAUUGAUACUUCACAAAUACAAUGAAUAGAGAAAAGAACAAAUAAAAGAAACUCUCUAACUUAGAAAGGUGAUUAAAAUCAAAAUUAGGAAACUGAAACAAAUUUGGCAUCAUUAUUCCAACCACUUGUCAAAGAAUAUAAAAUCUAUUGUAUACUUAAUUUUUGUUUUCUUGGUAGAAACAUAUAGGGCAGAACCAAAACAGAAAGAUUAUACUUUAAUAAAAUUUAUGCCCACGUCAUAUCCAAAUUACAAAUCAGAGGUACCACUUGGAGGUUCAAGAUACACUUCAGUCAAUCGCAUUUACAAAAACGGUUCACCUACCUAAUUAACAAGAAAAUUAUUAUUUAUAAAAGUUAGUCGUUUACCGUGACUGUCGUAAUUAUUUUCAAUAUUAAUAAUAAUAGAAAUUGUGUCUAUAUAUAAAAUUAAAUAAUUUUUUUAAUAUUUUAUAAUUAUUUAAAAUAUUUAAAAAUAAAUUAAAUAUGUUUAACUACUUUGUUAGUUUUUUAUCUUUUAAAAUUUUAUUAAUAUAAUAAUAUAAAAUUAUAAAAAAAAAAACUAUAAAAUUAUAUAUAAACUUGAAUUCUACAUGUCAAUAAUUAGUACACAUGUCAAAAUUUAAAAUUAUAUGUGUCAGAAUAUGGUAACAAAUGUAAAAAAAAAAAUUAUUAGACCAUAUACAUAUUAAAAUUUUUAUUUAUUUAUAUGUAUUAAAAUAUUCAUUUUUUUUAUGUAUAAUGUCCAUUAGAUGUAAUAUUCUAUAAUAAUUAAUUUUUUUGUAUUGAAAUAUUCAUUAUCUAUGAACUUAAUAUUCAUUAUGAUUAAUGUCGUGUUUAUUUUGUUUGAUAUAUUAUUUUUCAAUAUUAGUAUUAAUAUUUAUUAUAUGGUACUACAAUAUUCAUUGUCCGUAUAAUAAUGUUCAUCAAUAUUUUUAAAUAUUGAUUUUUUUAUGAAAAUUUUUAUUGUUUUUGUAAUGCAUGUUGAAAAAAAUUAUGGUUGAUAUAAACAUUUAUCAUUUAUAGGCAUAAUACUUAUUAAUUUGUCAUUGAUGAAAAUCAUACUACUAAUUCAUUAAAAUGAAUAUAUAUAAUAUAAAUCAUCCUAACAUAGUCAGUAAAAAAAAUAUCAAGUUAAAAUUAUAAUAUAAAUAAUUAUACUGUAGUGCACGUAUCUUUUCAAUAGAUUAAAUUGAUUAAUAAUGAAUAUUUUAUAUUUAAAUAGUAAAUAUUUAAUGUAUGUUUAAUAAUUAUAAAUUAAUAAAUAUUAAUUAUUUUUAAAAAAAAUUACGUUAUCAUCUAGUAUGAACGUCAACGUGUCAGGCGCUCACGCGAAUAUUUUUACAAACAAAAUGGCGCUUGAGGCAAUAAAGCUAUAUGUAAAAGGCUCUAUCUUAUAAUUUGAUUAAAAUUGAACUCCCAAUGGGUAGCCAUUAAAAUCGCCUACCACAUAUAGAAAGUAACAACCAUAAUUGAACACUUCACCAAGUGAAUCAAUUUUAAAAGGAAAAUUAAAAAUGUGAAGCAUAAAAGAAAACAAGAGAAAAUUAUUCACUAUACUGCACUAUAUAGACUUACAGUGGUAAUCAAUGAGUUGCUUACCCUUCAAACAAAUCUAAUUUAAAAAUAAAUAUAAAAUGUCCAUGAAGACGCAUACAAAGACAAAUUAGCUGUUAGUAUUCUCAUCCUUUUCAUGGCCACUCUUGCAUUCAUCUCUCAAGUUUUGAGACACUUGCCCAACCUGACUUUAUUAGGUGUAAGAUAUUAGGCCAGAUUAACCAUGCAAAUUCAAGAGUAAGCUAAACAGUUCUCGUCCUUAUGGCCUUCCUCUGCUAUAAAUACCAACCUCUACCACCCCAUUUAUCACAAAUUAUAAACAGCAUUCCCUCCUCUGUAGCUACCACCAAGAUGGUUAAGCCAAUCCUGCUGUGUGCUUCUCUUUGCCUUAUUCUUCUCUUCCAUGGCUCCUCUGCUGGCUCUUCAUUUCAGCAGCAAAACGAGUGCCAACUCAAUAGGCUCAAUGCCUUUGAACCUGAUAACCGUAUUCAGAGCGAAGCUGGUACAAUUGAGUCAUGGAAUCCUAACCACGAUCAGUUCCAGUGCGCUGGUGUGGCUGUAACCAGGCACACUAUUGAACCCAGAGGCCUUCUGUUGCCAGCUUACAGCAAUGCUCCCCAACUCGUCUAUAUAGUCCAAGGUAUGUAGAAAUACGAAGUCUUUCUUUCAAAAGCAGCAAAAGAAGAUUACUUGCGUUUGCAUUUGUUUGAUAAGUGCUUACGAUGAUGGACUUAAAUAUGUAAAUUCAGGUAGGGGUAUGUUCGGGGUAAUGUUUCCUGGAUGCUCUGAAACAUUCCAAGAAUCUCAACAAUCCAGUAGCAGCAGUGGGCAACAAGAGCAGCACCAAAAGAUUCGUCAUUUCCGCCGUGGCGAUAUCAUUGCUUUGCCUGCAGGAGCAGCCCACUGGUGCUACAACGAUGGCAACGAACCCGUUGUUGCUGUCACUGUUUUUGACACUGCCAACAACGCUAACCAGCUUGACAGGAAUCCCAGGGUACGUAAUAAAGAAACAAAAACCUACAUGACUAUAGAUAUUGAUUAAUUAAGGUUGGUUUGGCUAAUACCAAUUUAAAUUUAUUUGCUUCUUUUCUACUUGUUUCACAGAACUUCUAUCUAGCCGGUAAUCCAGAAGAUGAAUUCCAGAAACAAUCCAGACGCCCAGGUGAGCGUGAACAGGGACGAUAUUCCCUUAGCGGUGCCAGCGAGCGACGACGGGGAUCUUGCAACAAUGUGUUCUGUGGAAUGGACUCAAGGCUCAUCGCUGAAGCUUUCAACAUCAACGAGCAAUUGGCUAGAAAGCUUCAAAGCGAGAAUGAUUUCAGAGGCAACAUAGUGUGGGUGGAAGGUGAUCUUCAGGUAACAAGGCCACCAAGGACUCAACAAGAGAGAGAGGAGCAAGAAGCGCGUGAAUAUGAAGAAAGCAGGGGACAUGAAAGAACUUACAAUGGCAUUGAGGAGACCUUCUGCACCAUGAGAAUGAAGGAAAACAUUGCUGAUCCAUCACGCGCUGAUAUCUUCGUCCCUGAAGUUGGUCGUAUGAGCACCGUCAACAGCCAUAACCUCCCUAUUCUCCGGAGCCUCCGACUCAGUGCUUCCCAUGUUGUCCUCCGCAAUGUAAGUUUAAUUAUUUCCUUCUUAAUCCCUUGAUUGCCGAUGGCGCAUCAAAAGACUUAUGCCAUUACUGAUGAUCUGGGUAUGUUAUUGGGCAGAAUGCUGUUAGAAUGCCCCACUGGAACACGAAUGCCCACAGUGUAAUAUACGCCAUAAGGGGUCAAGCACAGAUUCAGGUUGUUGAUGAAAAUGGCAGGAGUGUCUUUGACGGCAAUGUAAGGCAAGGGCAGGUUCUGACAGUACCACAAAACUUCAUGGUAGUUAAAAGGGCAGAGAGUGAUAGAUUCGAGUAUGUUGCCUUCAAAACCAACGAUAACGCCAUGACUUUCGAUGCUGCUGGGCGCACUUCUGCUAUUAGAGCCAUGCCAAUAGAGGUCGUAGCCAACGCAUUUCAGGUGUCGGUGGACGAAGCCAGGAGGAUCAAGUUCGAGAGGCAGGAGUCCACCUUUGGUAGGUCCAGGACUCGCUCAGGGAGGAGAGAUGUUGCUUGAGGAAGCAUUGUAAAAUUAAAAUAAGAGGCACACACUUGGCCGUUUUUUGUUCUCUGAGUGUGCAACUAAAUAUAAGGUCUAGAAAUAAAGGAUACUUUGAUGGUCUCUCAUAUUACGCUUAUGUAAGUAGGAAGAGCUUCUACUUGGCAAUAAACAAAAUCUUCUCUUUUAUCUUUUAUCCUUUUUUUUUUUUUUAUCUGGUCUAUGAAGAAGCAAUAAAGAGAUCGUUUCUUCUUUUUUACCUUUUCUUUCUCUGUCCAUGAAGAAGAGAUGUAAAUGUCAAUUUUGAACAUGCUCGUGCUUGACCUUCCAUAUUCGAUAUGAAGAAGGUUACUAAUCCUCGACAGAACACAUCCAUAUUCGAUAGGGUGUUGUUUAGCAGCGGUGGUCCUUUGCAUUUGGUUGUUGAUUGUAUUUGAAUUAGUGUCUCUGAGAUUAUGAAAAUCCGAUGGUAUGCUAGUUGGCUGCCUAAACUGCUGUAACAGGUUAGUUGGCUGCCUCGCCCUUGACUUGGUUUAAAGUUAAUUCUGAUGGUGAGUCGUUGUCUUCUUCUGGUUUAGCCAUGGCUGGUGGCUAAUUAGGAAUCAUUAGGGGGUUUACAUUUAAUAUUGGUGCUUGUUCUAUAACUAGAGCUGAAAUGUGGGGUAUGCUUAAGGGUAUUCAAUUGGCUCGAGAGUUGAAGUUGAUAGUCAAUGCGCUGUCCAUUUGGUGCAGAAUUCUGCUAGACUGGGUAAUGCGAAUGGUGCUAUUAUAAGAGAAAUUCAUCAGUUUGUUUCUAAUAAAGACUCGGAGGUAAGAAUUGUUUUGCGACUUAGUUCGGCUGCACAUUGCAUUGGGUGGCUAAUAGCUAGUAAUUCAAAGUUGAUAAAAUAAAUAGUUUUAUAAAAUUUUAUUAGUAUAUUAAAUAGUUAUUAAAGAUAUAAUCUAGUUUUACAUAUAUAUUUAAUUUUAUUAUACUAUCUUUAAUAAUAUAAAUUAAAAAAUAAAUUAUAAUAAUUAAAAAUAUUAUGGUUAAUUUUUUAGUUUAAUUGUAUUUGUAUUUAUUAUUAAAAAUAUUUGUAAAAGUUAUUUUUAAAAUAAAAAUUUAAAUUUAAAUUUUAUUAAAAAUUUAAUAAUUUCAAAUACUAUAAUUAUUUAACUAUUAAGAAUAAAUUUAAAAUAAUAAUUAUUUAUUAUAAAAUAUAAAAAUUUAAUUAUAUGAAAUCAACUUAAAGUAAGUUAUUAUUAAUAAAUUUUAAUAAGAAUAAUAGUAUCCAAAUAAAAAAGAAUAAAUCAGUUAUCAACUAAUAAAAAAAAAAUAAUUAGAGCCAGUACAAUCAAUAAUUGAUUGAACUAAAUCAGUUAUUAACUAUUGUUUUUUAAAUUUUUAUUAAAUAUUUUAAUAUAGUUAUUCAGUGAAAAAUAACUAAAUCAACUAUGAGUUGCUCAUUCUUAAGUCAUUACAAAACGCUUUAAUAUAGUUAUUUAGUAAGAAACAAAUAUCGGCUGCACAAAAGAAUUGAACCGAAUAUUCUCUUUAUAUCUAUAGAUAAAAGAACUUUAAAAUGAAUCGAACUCGAGCUUCUACCAUAUUAAAACAAAUAGAACUCCAGCUUGUCAAAAUUCGGCUCUACUCAAUUCCUUACGGUCCUAUUGUGCUGUUUUUAGUGCUCGGUUUAUUUGACUUUAGUUUUCUUUUUUACUUUUUCUUAUUUGUAAUAAUAAUAAAAAAAGAGGCAUGUAGUAAAAAAAAAAAUUAGGAUAAAAGAACAACGCAACUAAAAAAAGGCAGAAACAGAAGAGAUACAAGAUACGAUAAAACAACCAAAAAAAGGCAGAAGUAUAUAGGGCCAAAGAAAGGCAAUAAAAUUCUUCAAUAUGCCAUACACUUUGCUUUGCCUUACACUUCCAAAAGCCUGUCACUAUUCCUAACAAGACACUACAAUAGCAUAUUCUGAUCCAAUAAGAAAGUUAUCAACUUUCUUUUUUCUUCUUUUUUUAUUCUUCUUUUUCAUCGUGUAUAUAUAUAUUUAGAAUUAAUUUAGAGUUCGUCGGAUAAAACUUUUAUCCAUCACAAAAUACUAUCUCAAAAAUAAUAAUACAAUUGCAUACUCAAAAUUCGAAUUUGAAACCUUACUUAAGCUAGGUUAUAUUUUUAUCAUUUCAUUUACGCACUCUUAAAUAUAUAUAUAUAUUUUUUAUUAUUUAGAUGCAAAAGGCAAAAAUUAAUACCAAGCCCAAUGAUACAUGUUUUUUUUUAGAUAGAGAGGUAUUUGUAUUAAGUUCGCCCACACUCCGGCAACACUGUUCUCAUGCAGCCAUACCUAAUUGAAAUGGCAGAUUUAACUGAACAGGAGUUGUUUGUAUUUGGAGCCCAUAUUCUUUUAUCAGAUUGUAUAUUCUUUUAUCAGAUUCUAUAUGUAGAUCAUCAAUUUUGUUAUAUUUUGAUUGAAAUCCUUUAAGAAAUUCAUUUCAUUUAAAAAGAAUAACAUAAAAAAAAAAUUGAAAUAAUAAAAUUGAAAGAACUAUGUUGGUGUUAUGCAAUACACUUAUAAACUAAUAUANNNAACUAAUAUAAAUUUUAUUUAAAAAUUUUAUCUAUUUUGUUAGAAUUUAAUUUAGUUAAAUUCUACACAAAUUUUAUUAUAUAAAAUUCUAAGUUAAUAUUCACUUCAUUUAAAACAUAAAAAAUUUAAAUUUAUAAAUAAAUUAUAAAAUUUUUAUAAAUUACAACCAAACACAAUAAGUGACACUAAAACCAAUUCAGAUCGUGCCAAAUGUCCAUUUCUUUGAUAAGAAUAUUAUUGCCUAAACAAAAAAGGAGCAAAUUUAAUCCAAAUAUUAAUUCAAAAAUUUACCAAAAAAUUAGAUUUGGUGUAUGUUACCACCUAUAUACAAAAUCGAUAAAUGAUUGACAGAUAUUUAUUAGUAUUAAAUAAUAAAGUAUGUGUCAAUUAUCUAAUACUAAAACAUAAAAUACUCAUACAUACGUGUUAUUUUCUUAUUAGUUGUGGUAUAUAUAUAUAUAUAUAUAUAUAAAGCCUAAAUAAAAAAAUUUACAGCAUGGACUAAACUUACGAGAAUUUAAUAUGCUGGACAAAAUUUUGGUUCCAGUUGGGUCUGCAUAAUAUGUAUCCAAAUAGUAGACAUAUUUUGAGUUGAGGAUGAGGAUACCCAAUUAUAUAGUGUUAGACCAUACUUAUCCAAAUAAAUUCUUUUGAUUGGUUUAAAAAUAUGAGUUUUAUUGGAUUAUAUACAUUUGUAAAUUUCUUGGUCCAAUUUUAGUCUAUAUUAUAUUUAUAUAUAUCAGUGACACAUAUUGAUACAAUCCAUCUUUUUAUAUUUAAUAUUUAAUAAAUUAAUAAUUUUAUUCGUUAACAAAUUUUUGAAAAAUUAACUUCAUUCUUCUUUGGAUAAUUAGGAAAAAAUGCUAAUUAUUUAUGUAUUAUUUGCCUUUACAUUAUAUUUGGUUGUAACAAUAAUUUUGUAGAAUUUAUUUCAAAUCCAAAAUUUAUUUGUUUACUAUAUUAACGAGGUAAUAUAUUUCGUGAGAUUAAUAUCAUUUAAUUAUUUCAUAUUUUUGUCUCGUAUUUUUUAUCUAUAUAAUAUUAUUAAUUAUUCAAAAUGUAAUAUUAAUUUCAAUGGAAGUGAAUCAUAUACUUUUCAUUUAACACAAAAAAAAUAUUGUCAAUUCAUUUAUAAAUAAAAUGAAUUCAUCAAUCAAAGGUAAUAUUAGUGUUAUUAUUUUAAUAUUUAUUAUUAGUAGUAAAUUUGAAGUUUUAGAAGUUACCAAUUUUAAUAUCCGGGGAAGUUACCACUUAUAAGAACCUUUAAAAGUUAGUACAUGCAAAAAAAUGGAAGAAAAUUGACACAUAGGCCACCAACAAAAAGAAGUGAAAGGAAAUAAUAUUUUCUAUUAAAGGAAUGUGCAGCAUGAUUUUUACGCUAAUUACUUAUUUUCGAUUGAGAAUUAAUUAAUUAUUUUGUAUUUUCAUAACAACUGUUUCAUUUUAUAUAAUAACUUGUUAAUUUUAAAUUUAUAUAUAUAUAAUUUAUUAAAUUCUUUACAAAAAUACCCCGUUUCGCAAUAGUAAUAUUUUUACCUCCAAAAAGAAGUCUUAUAAAAAUUCCCCUUUUAACUAAAACUCUUUUAUAAAAAUAUGCUUUCUCCGUGAUGUGUUAUAUGUGCAUUUCUUGCAUGGUAUUUUACAUUCAAUAAAAAUACACUUAUUAAAAUAUUAAAAUAAGACACACGAUUAGUGGAUAUAUUUUUAAAAAAAUUUAUAAUGGUUAUUUUAUUUUUAUUUUUAUUUUUAUGACCUAUGUUUUUAUAUGAAUUUAAUUUCUUCUUUUAUUUUUCAGAAAUGCAUAUUUUAUAUUAAUUAAUUAAUUAAUAUAGAUGACUUCCUUAAUAAAUUACUAUAAAUUUAAACUUUACAUCACGACUAUAACACUCUAAAAUCUCAUCAUUUUUAAAAAUUUGAAAUCUGUCCUAUACACUUUAUACUAUAUAGUUAAGUUAUUUGUAGCUCGUGUUGGACAGUUUUUAAGUUAAUGUGAGAGUAAAUACUAACUUGUUCAUAUAUUUUUCCUUAUUUAAAUCAGUACAAACAUCCCAUUUUGCAUAAUUUUACGAGUGUAGUUUAAUUUUAAAUUUUUACAUAAUUAUAAAUAUGAAAUUUUUACAAAAUUAAUAAAAUUUAUACCUCUAAUACACACAAGCUCAAAAAAUCCCUUUCAAGCUAAUAUAUAUAUUCUAAUAAUUUAAAAUUAUUUCAAAAAGUAAAUAUCUCUGAAGACAAAUCAAAUUAACAAAAUAUCAACUAAAAUAAUUUAUUUAUUUUAUUUUUUACAUCAACAAAAUAAAUAAAAAAUAACCAUAAUCAAACACAAAAUAAAGUAAAUCUAAAUACUAAAAAGUAAUUUUUCAAGAAAAAAAAUUAAUUUCUAAUAUUGUGGAUCUUCUUCAACAUAAAAGUAACAUUUUAAGGAACAUAAAACUAUUUUUUCAACAAAAAAAUGAAUUUCUAAUAUUCUAAAUUAUUUUUAACUUGUAAAUAACAAUUCAAGAAGAGAAAUUAAAGAUACUUCUUUAUAUAUUUGAAAUUCAACCAAACAUCAACAAAAUCAUUUAAUUACAUAAAGACUUAAAACAAAUAUAAAAUAUAAAAUUUGACAUAGAAAUUCAUAAUGAAACUGUGUUAUCUCUAAACAACCUUAAUGCUAUUCUAUAUUUUAAAAUACACAAGAAGCUAUUUCUGGUACAUACAACCACAGUUACUUGAAAAUACAGUCUCUUCAUUUUCACCUAUAACUAACAAUAUUUCUUUUCCUAUUGACUAAAAGGACAAAUUUUUUUUACAUCUCAUGAAUUUAUAUUCCUUCGUCGUCAUCAAAAUUACAAUCAGAAUCAAAAAAAGAAAUCCCAACGGCUUUGAAGAUAGUAGGAAUCUCGUAUUCUUCCCCUUUAUAGUACUUCUCUAUCAUCUUCUUUAGCAUUCACAAGUAAAAAGGAUUAAAUAGAGCCAAAUAUAAAUACAUGAUGAUAGUGUCGGCUCAUAUUCAUAUCUAUUUGAGAACGCCAAGACACCAUCACCGCAAGAACAACACAUCAAGAACACCAUUGCAAGAAACAGUUCCACCAAAUUUAUGAUUUUAAUUGGACCCAUUCUCUCUUCCAUAUAUGGUUUUAUAGCAGCAUCCAUGCUUGUACAAGCCAAAGAAAACAAAUAUUUUGCUUUUAACAACAGAAAAAACUAAUUUAAGAAUGGGAUGUGUUGCCUCAAAACUAGAAGAAGAAGAAGAAAUGUACCUAUCUGUAGAGAAAGAAAACCAACUUCACCUUUUCCCAUUGCUUUUCCUUCCUUCUUUUUCUACCUCUAGCUACCGUUCUUGGAUAGCUUGCUUGCGGACGAUCCGCCUUCCCUCCCCCCCCCCCCCCCCCCCCACACCAGCCUUUGACAACACUCAUUGACCGGGGAAGAAGAUUAAGAAGCUUGAAAAUUGGCUCUUCUUGAAAAAACAUAAAAAUGUAAAGAGAAAGAGUAAAAAUGUGAGGAAUUAAAACUGGAGGUAAUUUUGUAAUUAUAUUGAAAAAAAAAAGCAUAUAGGAUCUAAUUCCCUCUAAUUUAUUUUGAAUACUUUGAUUUCAUACAAUUUUAUAAUUUUUAUUCUUUGUGAACUUUAUAGAUUGAUAAUAUUAAUAUUUAAUAAUUUUUUGAUCAAUCAGAUAUAUUAAUUAUAAAAAAAUAUAUAAACCAUUUUAAUAUUAAAAUAAAAAUAUUCACAAACAUAUAUCACUAUUUCAAAAAUUAACAUAUAUAUGUCACUACUGAAAAAUAUCAAUUUAUUAGUUACUCGAGGAAUAGAUGUAAAUCAUGUAAUUAAUUAAAAAAGAAAUUCCAAGAAGAUACAUACAAGUAGCUGCUAGUCGUCUCAUCCUUUCCAUAGCCACUUUUGUAUCCAUCUCUCAAGUUUUGAGACACAUGCCCGACCUGACUUUAUUAUGUGUAAGAUAUUAGCCCAAAUUAACCAUGCAAAUCAAACAGUAAGCUUAACAAGUUCUCGUCCUUACUAUACGCUUUCUCUUCUAUAAAUACCAACCUCUACCACCCCAUUUAUCACAAAUUAUAAACAGCAUUCCCUCCUCUGUAGCUACCACCAAGAUGGUUAAGCCAAUCCUGCUGUGUGCUUCUCUUUGCCUUAUUCUUCUCUUCCAUGGCUCCUCUGCUGGCUCUUCAUUUCAGCAGCAAAACGAGUGCCAACUCAAUAGGCUCAAUGCCUUUGAACCUGAUAACCGUAUUCAGAGCGAAGCUGGUACAAUUGAGUCAUGGAAUCCUAACCACGAUCAGUUCCAGUGCGCUGGUGUGGCUGUAACCAGGCACACUAUUGAACCCAGAGGCCUUCUGUUGCCAGCUUACAGCAAUGCUCCCCAACUCGUCUAUAUAGUCCAAGGUAUGUAGAAAUACGAAGUCUUUCUUUCAAAAGCAGCAAAAAAAGAUUACUUGCAUUUGCAUUUGUUUGAUAAGUGCUUAAGAUGAUGACUUAAAUAUGUAAAUUCAGGUAGGGGUAUGUUCGGGGUCAUGUUUCCUGGAUGCGCUGAAACAUUCCAAGAAUCUCAACAAUCCAGUAGCAGCAGUAGGCAACAAGAGCAGCACCAAAAGAUUCGUCAUUUCCGCCGUGGCGAUAUCAUUGCUUUGCCUGCAGGAGCAGCCCACUGGUGCUACAACGAUGGCAGCGAACCCGUUGUUGCUGUCACUAUUUUUGACACUGCCAACAACGCUAACCAGCUCGACAGGAAUCCCAGGGUUCGUAAUAAAGAAACAAAAACCUAUAUGACUAUAGAUACUGAUUAAUUAAGGUUGGGUUGGCUAAUACCAAUUCAAAUUUAUUUGCUUAUUUUCUACUUGUUUCACAGAACUUCUAUCUAGCCGGUAAUCCAGAAGAUGAAUUCCAGAAACAAUCCAGACGCCCAGGUGAGCGUGAACAGGGACGAUAUUCCCUUAGCGGUGACAGCGAGCGACGACGGGGACCUUGCAACAAUGUAUUCUGUGGAAUGGACUCAAGGCUCAUCGCUGAAGCUUUCAACAUCAACGAGCAAUUGGCUAGAAAGCUUCAAAGCGAGAAUGACUUCAGAGGCAACAUAGUGCGGGUGGAAGGUGAUCUUCAGGUAACGAGGCCACCAAGGACUCAACAAGAGAGAGAGGAGCAAGAAGCGCGUGAAUAUGAAGAAAGCAGAGGACGUGAAAGAACUUACAAUGGCAUUGAGGAGACCUUCUGCACCAUGAGGAUGAAGGAAAACAUUGCUGAUCCCUCACGCGCUGAUCUGUUCGUCCCUGAAGUUGGUCGUAUGAGCACCGUCAAUAGCCAUAACCUUCCCAUUCUUCGGAGCCUCCGACUCAGUGCUUCCCAUGUUGUCCUCCGCAAUGUAAGUUUAAUUAUUUCCUUCUUAAUCCCUUGAUUGCCAAUGGCGCAUCAAAAGACUUAUGCCAUUACUAAUGAUCUGGGUAUGUUACUGGGCAGAAUGCUGUUAGAAUGCCCCACUGGAACACGAAUGCCCACAGUGUAAUAUACGCCAUAAGAGGUCAAGCACAGAUUCAGGUUGUUGAUGAAAAUGGCAACAGUGUCUUUGACGGCAACGUAAGGCAAGGACAGGUUUUGACAGUACCACAAAACUUCAUGGUAGUUAAAAGGGCAGAGAGUGAUAGAUUCGAGUAUGUUGCCUUCAAAACCAACGAUAACGCCAUGACUUUCGAUGCUGCUGGGCGCACUUCUGCUAUUAGAGCCAUGCCAGUAGAGGUCGUAGCCAACGCAUUUCAGGUGUCGGUGGACGAAGCCAGGAGGAUCAAGUUCGAGAGGCAGGAGUCCACUUUUGGUAGGUCCAGGACUCGCUCAGGAAGACGAGAUGUUGCUUAAGCAGGCAGUGUAAAAUUAAAUGAAGAGGCACAUACAUAGCCUUGUUUUGUUCUUGAAUGUGCAACUGUAAGGUCUAGAAAUAAAAGAGACUUCAAUGGUCUCUGUUGUUACUCUUAUGUAACUAGAAGACUUCUACUUGGCAAUAAACAGAUCUUUUCUUUCUUCUUUGUUUUCUUAUUUUCUGGUCCAUGAACAGAACAGUCGUACAUAUGUAAAUUUUGAGUUUCCUCAUGCUUGCUCUUCCAUGUCUAUGAAGAAGGUUACUAAUCCUCACAUAAAUCAAACACAAAAAAUCAUAUAAAUAUUCAUUUUAAAAGACAAUACUACCUAAUUAAUAAUAAUAACAUGCAUAAAAAUUUAAUAUAAUACUAUAGAGAAAUAUAUUCUUAUGGUUAAACUUCAUCAGGGAAAAUAGAAUGACAGGAGAAUUAUCAAGGCUUUCAAAUAAAAUAAUAAAACUGCAUAGUUUUUAAAUAAUUUUUAAUAUAUUUGACCCAUUAGACCUGGGUGAUUUGUGACGGUGUGUGUCACCCGUCCAUUCGGGUUAAUGGGUUCUUACGGGUAUAACAAAAAAAAAAGGGUCCGUUAUUAGUAAUCCACCAAAAUAAUAAUAAAAAGAAGGUAGCAAAACGUAUAUUAUGAUAUGGGAUUUAAGAAUUGUAAUAGCAUUGACUGUUUUUAUUGAAAUAAUUUAUGGUAUUUAUAAAUAAGGACUUGAAGUUAAAUUCCUUUUACUAUCAUGCAGAAUUCUGUAUUCAUAGAAACUGAAAUUUGUGAGCUAUCACGAAAUGGGUCACCAAUCCGAAUGAAGGUUGGAUCCUUUGGUGAGUUUUCAACUCGCUGAGUAUUUUAUAUUUAUAAUUUGAUAAUUAACCUAUAAUUUAAUAAUUUAAUGUAUUAAUGAUAUGUUUUGAAAAUUUUAUGUUAGCUGUUAAUUUUUAUCUAUCUAUUUACUCUAUCUUUACACCUUCUUAAAUGCUCAUUUUUACAUCAUUGUAUUAAUAAAUCCAAAUGAUUUUUGUUUUAAUUACAUUUGAUUUAUAUUAUAUGGUUAAGAUUACUAUUAUUGAUAGGAUAUGGUGUUCUAUUUAUUGGGUCUAAGCUGAGGGCCCUAGUUGACGUAUUUAGUUUUUGUCAGUUGAACUCAUUUUUUUCUCUAUAAACAUAAACCUAACGGAUUUAAGAUGCUCAAGUUUAGUCUAUUCGGGUCAAAAAGUUAAAACUUAAUUCAAAUUGUGAAAACGGUUUAAUAAACAACAAUUGUUCUCAAAUUUCGAAGUCAGAUCCCACCAAAACAUCUCCACCUGGGAAAACUGAAAAGAAAAAGAGCAGUGUCUGUGCUGUGCUCUGUUUCAGCUCUGCCGCCCCCAUUUAUUUGAAACUGAAUCGCCCACUUCUCAAUCUUUCUUAACAAGGUCUCGAAAAGAAAUACUAAACCCCAGAGGCAAGAAAAGGAAGAAAAAAAUGGAAGCUUAGAUUUAGAAGCACGAGAAGCCGAAGAAUUGAAGAUGAAGAGCAAGUCUUAUUUCCUUGUCAUUCUCAUUCUAGCUUGCUUUGCAGUAGAAACAGCAUCAGCUUCAAGGCCUGCCUUUCUCUUUACGAGAACAAGAGGAAGAUGCACUGCCCAGUAAGAUCUCCAUCUCUAUCUAUCUCUUAAUCUCUUUCUUUUCCUUUAUCUAUUUCUGUUCUUUUAAUAUUGGACGGUUUUUAAGUUUAAACUCAGAGACCUCACAGUCUAGAGAUAGCUCAGUAGUACUGAGCGUGUCACUGGAGCUUAAACUCAAGAUUCCGCUAUCUGGAGAUAGCUCCAGUGUCACUUACUUAGGUUAUCUCUCAGUUAAUAGUAAUGAAUGGGUUGAGGCGUCCGAGUAUUAGUUUGGCGAGUUGACUCGGCAGGCUAACGUGUAUGAUAUAGGUACUGGAGUAGCAGGAGAGAGGCAUGGCCAAGGAUGGUGCCGCAGACAUCAACGGUGUCUAAUGUAUUUGGUUCAAGAAUAUUUGAACGGUACAGAUCUGGAUUGACUUUGUUAGAAUCAACGGCCAGGAAUGACGAUGAGAAUGUGUUCGUUGGGUUGUUGAAGCAGGCAAUUGCAGCACUUUUGAAUUCUUAUGCUAGAAAAGAAUUUGCAUACUCUGCUUGGGAAGUGAAGACUCUGUUUAUACAAGGUUUGGUUUCGGAAGGGGCUGCUGCCAAACUUGCCAAACAGUUCUCUAUUGCUAAUGAGGCUUGUAAUAAUUAAUGAGAGGUACAUUUUUCUAUGGUAGAUCAAGUGUCAGAUUAACACCAAAAAUGCAAAACUUGUUAAUUAAUUACAAUUUCUGGUUGUUUAAGGUAACGUAUGCCUUCUACUUGUCUGUAACUGGAUUCAUUUUACACUUUGGAUCUUCUUUUUUUUAGUUUAUGCAGUCUGAUGACUGACUCCAUUCGAAGCUACAUUUUUUGGGGAUUUCUUAUUUUUGUCAUUUUAAUUUAUCUAACCCAAUAAUAUGGGUCCUAUUAUAUCAUAUUUACAACUCCUAUUAACAUGUUAUGCACCUUUAAUUGUGAAACUUUUGCUAAAUACACGUGUCAAAUUCGAAAUAUUUUUAAAAAUUAACUAACUAAUUUAUUUUAAUAAGUUAUUAUAAUUAUUUAAUUUUUUUAUGUAAUGAUGGUUGCACAUAUUUAGACAGUAAUAAUUUCAAUCAACGCACUACAUUGUAAUUUUAAAAAUUUUAUAUAUUUAAUUAUUAACUUUUAAUAAGUUUAUAGACUAUUUUUUUUAUAAUCAUCUCCACAAAAAAAUCUAUGGAAAUUCGAUUAAUGGAAAGCUCCUUGUGCUGAGUUGGAAUUCUAUUGACAAUGUAAAUCCUGUAAAGCUGAAAAUAUUAAACGUGUUAUUUGGCGGAUAUUACACUGUUAUAAUUAAUUUGAAGUCACAAUUAAAAGGGACCCAAAUUCCCUAAACCACAAAGUCAAAAUCUGACAAUGGUUAACUUAACUCAGGUUGAAUUGAAUUGAAUUAAAGUCUUUUACAUCAGGCCAGUUUUGUGCAUUUUACCUUCAAUGCAUAAUUCUUAAUUCAAUUUUAUAAACAUAAUAAAAUUUAAUCCAAUCCAUAAUUGUAUAUUGGAUUAGGCAAUUUCCUUUAUUCGUUUAAUAGAACAACUCUUCCUAUGAAAUUAAAUAAAAUGAGAAAAAACAUAUAAAUUAAUAUUUAAUAUUAGAAAUUUUAUUAAAUCAUUAAUCGAUAUUAUUUAAUCCAACUCACAAAGUAUGGCUGAUAUAAAAAUGGAAUCGGUCCGUCUUAUAAUAUUUAUAAUUACGAUUUGUGACGGGUUAGGCGGUUUUUUAGAACUCUCCUUUUCCCGGGUCAGGGAGGCUGGGUCCGCAAACAAUCAAUUGCCAACUCCGAUUUCAUCUCGUGUUAGCCCUAGAACCCGUUUGGUUACAUGUUUUAACUACUAACCAGGACUAGGCCACACUCAUCCCUGUUUAAAUUUAACUUUUCUUUUACUCGGUCACCUUACAUUCAUUAUUUGUAUACAAGAAGUCCAGUUUCCUGCACACAGCUAAAACUUGCGCGGACACCAAGGCUACAUAUCCAUCCUCUUUUACAAACUUAUACAGUUACCCAAACUAGUCCUUUUUUCUCUCAAAUAGGUUCUGCUAGUGGCAACUGGUCACUGCCUCUUGUUUGUUUGCCACGAAAACUUUCACAUUUCUUUUCCUUCCUUUCCUGGGAAGAAAAGAAACAAAAAGAAAGGACAAUCUAUUUUAUAGAAAUUGGUAUUCAGCAUCAAUUCUGUAGAUUAUAUAUAAAAAAAAAGGAACCCUAAUUUUCUCUCGAAAAUAUUGACCUUUUUUAAUGGCGGGUAAAAAGCUUGUUCGAGACUUGUUCCUCUCUAGACAACCUCUAUUUCUUCACUUAACAUCUCAACAGGUUCUUAUUAACCUAAACUAUUGUAAAAAUAGUAUUUUUUAUUAUCAUUUUCAUCAUUUAUUCAUUUUUUGAAUUGGAACUUUUGGUGCUUUAGGGUUCAAGAACGAGAUUACGGUUGCCGUCGACCUUGCCCAAUGGAAAAAACAUGGGUUAUCGUGGAUUUGGUGUAUUUAGUGAGUUUUCCAAGAAAGUUAAAGGAGAGGUCACUAGGUAAGUUUUGCUUAUUUUAUCUCUCUGGGACUUGCUAUUUGUUAUGUAUUUUUUUUUGUUAUACUCUCUGUUAAUUGUUGCAUAUAUCCGUCUCAAGAUGAGAGCUAUUAAGUUAUAGUUAGGAUUUUUGGUGGGUAUUUCUCUUAGUAGGUGCAAUCGUGCACAUCUUCUCUUAGAAAAUAGAAGCAGGUGGGCAACUUUUAAAUUUUGUAGUUCUUAUUGUUUGAGAACUUGAAAGGUUCAUUUUUUGCUUAGUAAUAAUGGUUGGUGAACUCUUUUUGAAGGAAAGAUGAUAAUAGUAAAAAAAGAAAAAGAGAAACAACUUAGUAGUUGGAGUAAGCGGAAGACAAUUACAUCUUCUGCUAUUGGCAAUUUCUAACUUCCUCUGUUUUUAUGUUUGGAUUAUGACAAUAUAGAUGUAAUUGUUAUUAGUUUUAUUUGGGAUUUUUCUUUGUUUAAAUGAAGUUUGUACAGCUGCUUUUCAGUAUAGAAUAUGAACAAUUCUGCAAUCACUUAAGACUUUGAGUUAGAAAGUCUCCUCUCAGAAUGCCCAGUUGAUAUUCAUAGUUUAAUGGAUUUGCUUUUUGUUUAAGUUCCUUACCUUAUUUUUCUUCUAAAUGAGUAUUUGCCUAGAGUAAUAAUCUGCUUUGCUGGAUGCAGAAGUCAAGAAUUUCAACAGUCGGUCAAGGAGCUGAAGGAUAAAGCUGAAGAAUUGAAAGGGGUGAAAGAGGAUCUGAGAAUUAGGUAAAUUUUAUGGCAUUAUUGUCAUGCCAAGGGUCAUUUUAGUUUUUAUUAGUUAAUAGGCUGAGACAUACUGUUGUAUGUCAAGGGAGGGCCUGAGAUGGUGAAAAUGGCGAAUGCAGAACGAAGGAGACUACUGAACAGCUGUACAAGCAUGUGGAUGGAGCGUGGACAGAGGCUGAAGCUACUGCAAAAAAGGUGCAUUCCGAUUGAUGUUGUAUAUAUAUCACUUUUUUAUUAUACUUUAUUUUCUGCCAGCAUUCUGUUCCUUUUUGUUUGUUUUAUGUGUGCACGCUUGUGCUCCUGGAAAUCUUUAGUUUGUGGAGCUACUUUACGUGGAAGUCCCUGUAAAUUUAGGUGUAUAAUUUUUCUUUCACUAUUUUGAUGGGUGCCUUUUCGGAGCAUGCAAGAGCAAGAUGUCUGUUGAUAUAAUAUCUUUCUUUUGCAUUUGUGUUGUUUGCAGGUUUCUGCAAAUGUUAAAGAGAAGAUUUCAGCUGCUAAAGAAGAGGUUUGUUUGCUGUUUAGAUUGAUAUUCUUUUGUGAGUUGCUGCUUCAUUUUUGAACUUAUGACUGUAUUAAUUAUUUAUUCAUUUGACUUGUGUGAUUCAGGUCAAAGAAACUCUGAAUAUUGGGAAGCAAGAGUCUUCUGGGUCCACAAAGAGUUCAGAUAAAGAUGGUGCUGAUGUAAAAGAUGAUAAGAAGUCCUCAUCUGGUGAAGAAACAGACGAGCAAACUGGCUCUAGUGAUAAUGCAGAAUCUUUUUUUGGAAAAUUUAAGUCAAGCACACCUUCCUCAAAGCUGUCUUCAGCCUUCCAGAAAUUGAAGGAAGCAAAGGUCACCGACUUUGUGAAGAAGGGGUAUGAUGUUGUGAAGGAUGAAUUAUAUGGUAACCCCAGUAAGAGAAAGCACCUGGAGUAUACUCCUCCCCCCUCCUUCAAAGGUGAAACAAGCACAAGAACAGACAUUGUUGUUCUGCCAUCAAAGCAAUCUCGAUGGAAUAAAAAGUGGGAGGCAUUCAGAGAAAAGGUUAUCCAGUUUGUCAAAUGCUACAUGAGAAGAAAUGCAUUAAGAACAAAUAAAACCAGACUUUUCUUAUUUUUCCUAAUGUUGAUUAAUUUCUUCUUUAAAUCAGAUGCAAGGUCAUCCUUUAUUCAAGCGUUUUGCUGGCAUUAGUGAACCGGUUGUAACAAAGAGUCAAGAGGUAACUCAUUCCUCCUUAUUCUUUCUUUCUGUUGGUUUUAGUUUUUUCACUUAUGAGUCUGUUUAUUUUGCUCUGUUGAUCUUCUGAAAUUCACAGAUUGCAGAGGACAUGCGGGAAAGAUGGGAAACUAGUGAUAAUCCUAUUGUUCACAAAAUUCAGGAGUAUGUAUCUCUCUCUCUCUCUCUCUCUCUCUCUCUCUUUUCAGUAAGUUCUCUUAAGAGUUACUCAUGUAACCUUUUCUUUCAUGACAGUGUUAGUGAUACUAUUUUUCAAGAAACUGAUGCUGCUGCGUCUUUCAAGGAAAUACGUCGUCGGGAUCCGUAUGAUUACAUGAGCACUUCUGUUCAAAAGAUUUAUGUUCACAAUUUCAACAGCCUGUUAAUGUUUUCCCCACCUUUCCUGUUCCAUCUAUGUUUAUUUUCAUCAGAUCAUUCUCUUUGAUGGAUUUUGUGGCUGAAGUUCAGGAAGCUGUUAGACCUGUCCUUAAUGCUUACAUAAAGGUGUUCUUCUUGCCCUGAUUUAUUUUUUAUUCCUAUUAAAAUUAUUUCAUGGAAAUAUCAUCUAGUCAGUUAAUAUUAAUUUGUUUUGUGCAGGGAGAUUUAGAAACUCUGAAGAAGUACUGUACUUCUGAAGUUAUCACUCGUUGUGAAGCGGAGCACAAGGCUUUUCAGAGUCAUGGUAUUUUUUUUGAUAACAAGGUAAGACCCUUGACCUUAGAAUUUAUUCUUGCAUUGUGUAAUGAGGCUAUCCAGUACUUUAGCAUAUGUUCCUAUAUAUAUAUUGUUUUUACAGUUUUUCAUGUCUUUUGAGCAUUUACUUUGUGUUGGUGAAAAAUAUGUCUUUCUUCCACCCUUGAUGAUGGUUGACUCUAUUAAUAUCAUAAGCAUCUUCUCCCUUAAGACAAAAGAAAUCUCUUCAGUGUGUAGUCUGGCUUGCUUCUCAUAUUAGGUUCUAAUCCAUUUCUAUCUAUGAACUUUUCGGAUUGUGAUCUUAAAUGGUUUUUCAAAUGAGUUGUUAGGCUUAAUGGCAUUUGAUCCAUGUCACUACUCCUUUAAGUGGACUGUUAUGGAUAUGAUAACAUUUUCAAUUAGGAAGAUCAGAAAAAUGCUAGGACGUGGCAGACAUGCAUACAUAAUGGUGGCAAUCUUGCCUUCCAUUUUUGGUGUUGCUGCGUGAUUUGGAAUUUAUAAAAAAAACAUGCUUUUAUUAAGAGAAUACAAGCUUUAUGCAAGUGGAAGAUAUGCCAUUAUGUGCUCUUUAGUCUGAAUCAAUUAGCCAUUCAAAUUUUGGGGUGCAGCCUGGAAUUAGUUAUUAUUUGGUCAUGUAUCAUAUGAUUAAUGUAGUCUAGAUUUGGUGUAUUGAUGAUUAGAUAUACUUCAUCUUAGUGCAGAUUCUACAUAUAUCUGAGGUGGAAGUGAGAGAGACCAAAAUGAUGGGAACCUCCCCGAUAAUAAUUGUAGCGGUAUGUGUCCUCUUUUAUUUUCAUUUUCUUAUCCUGGUAACUUGAUAGAAGGCAUCAGCUAUCAGCCAUCAGACAGCCUUCUGGUAAUUGAUGCUUUUGUUUCUUCAAUAAUUGCAGUUCCAAACGCAGCAAGUCCACUGCGUACGCGAUAGAGACGGUGCGAUAACUGAAGGGGGCCAGGUAUAGUCGGUUAUUAUUUUAUGCACCAUGACCUUUUGAACACUUCAUUUUGCCUGCACAUUUCCUGCCUAAUUACUUUUCGUGUUCACAGUAGGUAUUUACAUUUUUAGAGUGGGUUCUUAUUAAUUUAUUUUAUAUAACAAUUGAUUGUUUGAGUUCUUUAAUCUUAAAUGGAGUAGAGGAGUAAAGGAUAAGGGAUACCUUGUCAAUGCUGAUGCUUUUAGGGACACCAAUGUUGCAAAAUGGGAAACAUGAUUCUGUCAACAUUCUGCUACAUUUCUAUUGUGCUACUUUGCAUAAUGAAUUUAGAUUUCUUAAAGCAUCUCUAAGGGACUCUUGUGUUUGUCAAACAUUUUUUUUUAUAAAAAAUCAUCCCAAAUGAGUCCAGUAGGCUCUUUACUUGUCAAAUAUAAAAUAAAAAGUUAGUUUGACUCUUCACAUCUAGGGAGCUAAGUUUUAAUUAAUUCACUACAAGUUUUUAUGUAUUUUAUUAAUUGGUAUUUAUGAUCCAAUGUUUUCAUUGGCAAAAGUUAGAAAGAGGAGGAAAAAUAUAAAACUAUUAAUGCUUAUGGGAAAAUCAAAAUGAAGAACAAAAGUAUAGAGUCAAAUAAAUUUUUUUUACUCUUUAUAUUUGAAUACUGAUUAAGAGGCUCUUCAUUGUAUAAUGAUACUCUUUAAAAUAAAGAUCACUUUUGGAGAUGCUCUUAAGGUAGAUUGAAAUAUUCUUACAUGCUUGCACCUUUAAUCAUAUUCAUAAAAUUUUGGCCCAAUGAUCAAGAAAAUUUAUAACUUCUACUUGUUUGUUUUUUUUUAAGCUUUUGACAAAAGGUUUUAUUUGGCAAUUUAAGUUUGAUUUGAAAAUCUGGUUGCAACUUUAGCCAGCUCUUCAACUUUGAGAAACAACUAUUUGAUCAUCAUAAUUGGAAGAAUCUAUUAUAUAUUAUCUUAUUUUCCUCCUGUAUUCUCCUUGCCCCCUCUUUUCUGAUAUCUACCUCCACCUCUUUCCUGCAAUGAUAUUUCCUCUCUCCUUUUCCUCUUCUCGUUGGUAUAUUUCUGCUGAGGAAAGCAAAAGGGAGGUUAGGGGAGAGGGAGGGAAGAGAAAGGAAAAAAAAGUCCGUACAUAUGUUUGUGUGUAUAAGCUUCUAAAAUUUGCCAAAACUGAAUUGGUCAAAAGUGAAGAUUGCAUAUAUUAGACAGAUCUUAAAUGUGUUCUGAGAGAAUUUUGGCUCUUUUAGGAUACAAUCCACACAGUAUACUAUGCAUGGGCUAUGCAACAAGUAGAACCAGAAGAACUAGGAGGAGGUGCCAUCUACCCAAUAUGGAAGCUAAGAGAGAUGCAACAACUUGGUAUCCAAGCCCUCAUCUAGGCUGUUACUCAUAGAUGAUGUACGAUUAGAUUCUCUGUUUCUUCUCGUCAUUUUGUUAUUUCUUUUAUAUGCUGCAUUUCUCUGGGUUUUGUCCCUCCAGUCUCCAGAGAAAGUUUUAGCUGAUAUUCUUGUUAAUUUGAUGAAUAAAGAAAUUGGGUACUUUUCAAAUUCAUAUAGGGUUGAUAAAAUGUUCAAAAUGAGAUGAAAAUGACAGGUUUUGUGACAGGAUUCAUAUUCAAAUUAAUCAAAUUGAUGCUUUCUUUUCAAAUAUUGGUCUAUCAACUGUUGGUCUUUCCUACAAUAUUGGUAAUCAUGGAGAUUGAGAUUGUAUAAUUUUAUAUUAUCAGUCAUGCUUGACAAAAUCAAGUCCAAUUUGGCAGAGCCUUUACAAAUGAUUUUAUAGAUUAGUAACACUACUAAUUCCAAAUGUUGCAAAUCUAGAAAGGAUUCGAUAUUUGAUAUGUAGGACGAAAAAUGAAAAAUUUCAUUUACUAACGAUUGUUUUUCAAAAUUUUAGUAAUGCUUUAAUUUUUUGUUUUCACCAUAAUGUUUUGCGAAAAUGAUUCUCUGUGCAUGUAAUGCAAAUUUGCAGCAAGUGUUUAGAAAUGGUAUUUUCAUUAAUGAGAUCAUCACGGUAAACCAAAUGUUUUUCAACCAACGGGCUUUAAUUUAAUGGUAUCGUACUGGAAUUUCACUAUUCAGGAGUUUUGAGUAAUUUUGCAACUUGGAUUUCCAUUCCUUGGGAGUUUUGAGUUUAUGAGACUGAAUCUGGUUGGAGUUCAUUGAUGAUAAAAAAAAAAUCAGUAAUUUUCAACCUCACAAGGGUGCAGAGCUGCCUGUACUCCCUUGUCAAUAUAAUGAAACUUUUCCUUGUAAUUGUCUACAAUUAGCCGAUUCUUUUAGGUUUAUCUGUAUCUCUCUUUUUCUCUCGAAGGCUCAAGACGCUAACAGUAUCUAUAGCUUGGGUUUCUCUUUUGAGGUAGUUUUUAGUGGCUUCAGCCUUUGGAAGCUCGCUCCAACAUAGCUUUUAUUUACCUGUUUUAAUGAAUGCCCUGUUUAUAGAUGUUUUCGUAUGUUUGUUUGUGCUGUUAUUUCAAUAAAUUGUACUGUUUUGGUAGUGUGUUUUGUGGUGGCAAACGGCCAUUUUUAGUCGAGUCCGACAUAUUCCGGCUAUCUUGUCAUUGUCAAUCAGAGCUUUUUAAAAUGCUACUCGUUGAUAACAGCUAGUGGGAGAAAGAGAUGGAUGCUGGCAGCAGCGAUUUUGUUGGUGAGGCAGAAACAGUCAAGGCCUAUUAUCAUGUCUUGUUGGCAGAAGCAAUCAAGACCUGAUAUCAUUUCUUUCUUGUAUUUCAUCGCAACUGAUAUGAGAUGUAGGGGUCUAUGGCAGUUAUUGAUUUAUGGACUGCAAUGGAGAAUCUCCUGCAAUUACGUGUUCACAUAGUAUAUACUUCAAAAUGGUAGGUCCAAAUUAUGGUCAAAUGGUACUUCCCCUUGCAGUGUGGGCAAGCUAUGAUUCCACCGAUCUUUCUGACGACUGCUGUGGCGAGUGCAAGUUCCUGCUCCCAUUUGGAGGAGGUGAGGAAGAUGAUAGAGAGUUCUUGAAAGGGAGGGUUAGAUCCUAGGUUCUAUUUAUUUUCUUGGUAGGCUUGUAGGCCGAAGUCUGCAUGCGCUUUAAGUCUAUUCUACUUGAGCUGAAGGAAUUUACCUUAGGCUUGUUUAUUCAAACCCCACUUGGGGUUUCAGUUAGUGUCUAUAGCUAUGGUCAUUCGGUUUUGAUUCUGAGACAAAAUUUGACUGCCUAUGAAACAAGAGUUUGUCAUUCUGAUGGUCCGAGUUUUUACCUCAUAGUGACCUCAUAGUGAAGAAUGCGAGGAGCUGUAACCUGAGAAUCCUCGCCUAUCACAAAGGAUGGAAGUAUUUGAUAAUGGUUCAGGCGGCCACAUGUUAUUGGUUGUAGGUGAAGGUAUACAUCUUGCACUCUGUAUUCUUCUCUAAGUUUAGAGCAAUGGAUAUCUCAGUAGUGAUCUGCAGUGGCAAUGCUAAUUUUUACGCUACAAAAGUAUUUAGAAUUCACGCCUAGCGGGGGUUCCUACCCUCUGACCAAAAAAAUAGACAAUUCUAUUCAAAAUUUUAUGAUAGGGGAAAUAGCAGAUCCUUAUUCAUUUUUCACCUGUUCAGCUUCAUUAAAAGACCUUUAGGAGUUGAUGAGGAUAUCGACGGGCAUGGCCUCAUCACUGAAGUGGAACCGGCCAUGGGAUCUUCACUGGCUGGCUACAUGUUUUGAAUGCGAUAUAUUCGAAUCUAUUGUUCCUGCUCUUCCAACACUAGCAAAGAAUUGUGGGAUAACGAACAUGUCUCCUUCCUUGACCAUUUCGUUCAUCAUGGUGUUUCCAUUAUCAUUGAUGAUCUGAAUUUGAAUAGACUGCCUUCUGCUUUGUCAUGGACCAGUGUGGAGUGUGGAUUGCAUUCUGCAACAUGGGCAUUAUGAGUAUUGGGUUUACUUUUAGCAACCUUGUAAGAUAUAAAUCAUGCAAGGAGCAGGGAAAAACUUGGGCAUUAACAUAGAGUUGGGUUCAAUAGUGGUCCUCAUUGCGCGACGCCAGAGCACUGGAACUGGUCCUCCAUUGGAUCCGUUAUUUCAGUCAUGCCACCCUCUGAUUCAUUUCGGCGAGAAGGCUGUGCAGAGGUAAUCCUCGGGAUCUGGCAUUACUGUGCCUCAUACUGCUGCUGGCUCUGGGGGUACCCGUCUCGCCCCAGCAGCAACGAGAGAGAAGAAAUACUGAAACUAGCUUACCAGUAGCCAUGGAAAGUGUUUCAACUUUGAAGAUAAAAGAACAGAAAACGAGAGAGGAUAGUUUAUAGAGUCAGGGUGGGAUUCAAGCUCAUUUUUAUAGCAGAAGAUAUUAGAGUUUUACUACAUGGAAAUAUUCCCGAUGUUAAAGCAGAGGCGCCACUUUUCUGUUCGUGCUGGUAAGCAGGUUUCUUUUACGUGGUGGGCGUAAAGAAAUGUUGCUAUCGCGCAUUUUUUGGGACCCCAUUGCUUUGCCUGUUAUUUGCAAAAACUGAAGUAUGUUACUAAUUUUCCAAGUGUAAAUUACUGAUGUGUAUGGUUGGUUAAAUCCUUGGAAUAAAGUCACUGAAUCAAGGAUGCUUGCAUCAAUGCAGCAGAGUAAUCUCACAACUGAUUAGAAUUAAAUUAAUCAUAUUAGGAAAAGAGAAGUCCUUUCAAGCAUAUAUGCAUAUACAGACAUGAACAGACUAAGCAAAGAACUGCAAUGACUAGAAACUAAAACAAAACCAAUGUUUUCUUUUUUCUUCUGUGUCGAAAAAAUUGGUUUUUAUGGGGCAUGAAAGUACAUUAAAGGAAAGGGAACGAUUCUCGUAUCUCGUUAUUGUUUGCGAGUAAAGAAAUUUCUCGACCAGAACACUGUUAUUAAACAUUAUAUGUUUCGUCUUACUCAGAUCGACAGAGACAAUGCCCAAGUGAGAGACACUAAUUGUGGAAGAAUUCAGUCCUUUAAAAUAGAAGCUGAUAUGCCAUUGAGCCAUUUAUAGGUAUUUGUAGCACUUUCAAAUUGACAUCAUUUGAGCACGGACAUGGGAAUCUAAAUUUCACCCGUAAAGAAUUCCAAUAUUUGCUGAUAAUAGAAGCGUUUAGUAAGAAAGAAAUGGUAACAUUUUCUUCAUCAUGUUCUUCAUGUAAAAUUCAACUUUUCAUUGAAAUGGGUACUUUACUUGACAUCAAGUGUAUCAAGAAAUGUAGUAUAGUGCAUUGAAAUUCUAAGAACAAUAAGUACGUACUACUACAUACAUAAUGCUUACUGAUACAUGAAUCAGCAGGCAGUAACAAAAAGAUCAUCCAUAAAUGAAGAAGAAUCGAUUAACAUGGAGAUAAUAAGAUUAAGUUAAUUUUAUCUCCUUAUUCAUGUAAUCACUUGCAUGUGUUUCAGAAUUAAAAUACUUGGCAGCCUGUGGUUAUAAGCUUGUUGAGCCAUCAACACAAAGCCAUUGACCAACAAAGAGAUCAACACAUUUGAGAUUGGGAUUGAUGGAAUCAAAGAACUCAGUAGGCAAUUUGAACAUCUAACAGCAAAGCAAGUAUCUCCACUAUUCAUUCCAUACACUGAUUCACUUUCGAUCGUAGCUUUCUUCCCAAUUAAUCCAGCUGAUUAAUUAUAUAUGAACAAAUUAGUCAUACAUGAGAAAUCUAGUUACUUUUCUAGGAAGGAAAAGAAACAAAUACAUUGCAUCCAUAUUAAAACAUUAAUAUAACAUACUCUAUUUAAAGUAUAACAUUUGAGACUACAUAUGUAGCUGUGAGUUCUGGAGUUAGAACAUCAGUCGAAGUAACAAAAGAAAAACAAUUAAGGUGAAGUGUUUAAAUUAAGAAUAAGUAAGACUUACUUCCAAGAAAAGGUCGGCUUUCAGCAAUAGAGACAAUGAGAAGGAAAGAGAGCAUCAACCAAGUAGAAGAAAAUGACUCGGUAAUUGACUUAUUAGCCAUAUCUUCUUUCCGAGUCCUCCUGUAGUUCACCUCGGUGUAAUAUGCACUUAGAAAAUUUUUACCAUUUGAUUGAAAUCAUUUAAUCCCAUCCAUUAGAUUAAAUAAUUUGUUACCUGUUUAGCAGGUAAUAUUUUUUCCACAAUUUAUUAAUUGUAUCUGAAUUUUCUAUACUAUUAUCUACACACUUUUUAAUUUGAAAUUAUUUAGCUAUUCAGUUCAUUGAAAUUCAAAGAAUCAAUUAAGAAAUUAUAGUUCUCUCUUUUUAAUUUUCUAACAAUCUCUAUCAAAUAUGUUGAUUUGAUUAACCCUUUUUAUUUAUUAAACUAUUCACAUAUUAUAACACGAACGAAACCCACUACAACUUAAGCAACUUAUUAUAUCAAGUUAAAAUUAAUUUGAUGUUUAUCUCUAAUAGCAUGUAAAGUUGUAGGUGCAUGCUACACCCGGAUGCACUACAGGAAAAGCCCUUCUUUCUGUUAAACCUUCUCUGAAUUAGCUUAUUAACAAGGAGACCAACUCUCUUUUCCUGAAGACAUUUGGCUUAAUGCUUCUAUAUUUAUAGCAAUAACUCAAACAAGACAGAAAUAAAUUAUAACCCAAAAAGAAUAUCACAGUCUCAGUUAAACAAGAGGCCGGCUCACAACUCUCUCUCUCUCUCUAUAUUUUGCAGCCUAAUUUGAUAUUUGAGCUUUGGAUUUAUAUAUUUACAUAUGGAAUUUUCAACAAAGACCAUACACGGAUUUUACUAUAACAAAGGGCUUCUCAAAAUGGUAAUACAAUUCCUACUUAGUUUUCUUUAUAAUAAAACUUAAAUAGAAAAAAGAAAUUGGGUAAUAAGAUUCUUUUAGGCACUUUAUGCCAAAAAAAUGGUUUUAAUAAUACUAAAUAUGGAAUUAGCUUGAAAUGCUAGUAGUCUAAUUGUGAGGACAUGGAGUCUAUUAAAUGGAGAUUAUGCAAAAAUAAAAUAAAAUCAUUUAAUUCUUUUUGUUUUGUGAAUCCACAGAUUUCAUAAUUAGUAAGAUUUCUAAUAAAAAGUCUUUCAGAGAAAUGAACCCAUUUAAGUAUUUUUUUUUUCAGUUCAAUAUUCGAAUAUGAACAAUAACUAUCUUCUAAAUACUUUGUUUAUAAUCUCGUGAAUUUUAACUCGAAAAAUGUAGAUUUUUAUGAUUACAAUUGGAGUGACAAAAAAAAAAAAAANNNNNNNNNNNNNNNNNNNNNNNNNNNNNNNNNNNNNNNNNNNNNNNNNNNNNNNNNNNNNNNNNNNNNNNNNNNNNNNNNNNNNNNNNNNNNNNNNNNNNNNNNNNNNNNNNAAAUUUUAUCAACCACCGAAUUAUUUAUAACUCUGAUUAAAAUGGGAGAGAGUAAAAGAAACUGAAUCAUCCAUACCAAACUCAACAAUCGAUUAACCCGAUUCAAUUAAUGUUUUUAGUUUCGAUAUUAAAACUGGAGAAUAUUUAUUAUUUGACUAAUUCACCGAUUUUAAUUUUUAAUUUUUUAUCAACCAACUGGAUUAUUUACCAACUUUUUUUUUUCUUAAAUCGACAAAAUCAGUAAUUAACCGAUAAUUUUUUUUUGUUAAUUAAACUGAUAGUAUUUUCACUUAUUUAGUUUAUUUUAUUCUUUUAUUCAAUUUGAACCAAAACAAACCUAAUUAUAAUUGUUAUGUUACAUACACACAAGUUGCUCCGGCAUUACAUAUUUGGAUGGAAAACCAAACCUCCUGCUAAUUGGGAGGAGACAAAAAAAACCAGUUAAGAUUAUUAAUACUGUUUGGGAUUGCGUUUGGUGUUUAAGAAAUAAGUUUAAAUUCUUUUUGAUUUAAUAUAUUAAUUUCUAAUUUAUUUAUAAGAUUAUUUUUCUGUUUGAAAUAAUAGACUAUUUGCCUGUCCUAUUUUUAAGGAAAAAUAUUUAUUUACGUGCUUUUUAAAAAAAUAAUUUUCAAGAUAAAAACUGAGGUUGGAACCAACCUCAAUGCCAAAACUUACCCAUAAUUAGCUAUAUGUUCAGUGACCCAAAUUAGCUACCUGAUUACGAGUUAAUCCUAAUGAACAGUUAUAAAUCCAACAUUCAAUUACUUAAUCUCUUUGACAAACUAAUAGCUUAAGAACUAAGCUGGUCCACAAGUCCUUAAACAAGAAUUUGUGUUCAUUCAUCCUCAUCCUUUUGGUAUAUUUUCUUGCAUCAGAAAUCUUGCGUAAAGACUAAGCCAGCAUGCAAAUUGGAACAGAAAGAAUACGAAUCCCUUAAUAUGAAACAAAUCCAAUUGCAAUAAAGAAUCUACGGCUGCCAACUAUAUCUCUGUGCCCAUCUCUUAUUAUAAAGUGCCAUUUUAACACCCUUCACACACUCGCAGAAAAGGAAGUUCCAUCUCCCAUUUCCUCUCAUGUCUUGCUUAAACCUUAGGAUUCCACCUGCCAGGAAGGCAUGGAAGAGCUUCACCUCUAAACUGCAAAACAAACUUCAUAAACUGAACAAGUCCAAGGCUAUCAAGAAACCCAAGAACAGGUUCAAUCCUCCGCCAACAAAAGCUAUUGUACGUGACCAUAACAGGAAAAACCUACUUCGGUCGUCUAGUUCUGCUUUUCCCUUCAAAAGACGACGAAACCACUUGUUUUUGCAGAAAAAGAGUGCGCCUGUGUAUGUUGACAAGCUGUUCCGAGAUCCUGUUGCUGAUGUGCUGGCGGUAGACUUUCCACCAACAGCUAAGGUUAUGAAGAUUGUUGAUAAACAGGUUUUCACAGUAGCAGAAUCAGCUGCAAGCAAGGAAGAGAGGAAAGGAGACGAAGGAGCUCCUGUCCCUGCGGCUGCGGAUGAUAUGUGGGAGUCAUUAGGUUUUGCAUCUCCUCUUAUGAGAGGAAUAGAUGAAAGGGCUGAGCAAUUUAUUGCAAGUUUCCGGGCAGAGAUGGAAGUUCAGGAGAUUAUGGCAAGUGAUUUGUACGUAGAAAAUGCUAGUUUGUAGCAUAUAUUUUUCUUUUUCAGCUUAAUAUGAUUUAUUGAGGAUAAAAGUCUGGAGGUCGACAUAUAUUCGACAAAAUUUUCUAGGCUUUUGGGGAACCUGUAGCUGAAGAUUAAUAGUCCUGUAAAUUCUUGGAAACAGAAACUUAAAACCUUUAUUUGUGUGCAUUUCCAUCUUUUUUUACUGUUAGAAACAGAAAUUUUUAUUUGUCAAUGUCCAUGCAUAUGGAGGUCAUCUUGAUUCUUGAAAAGUACAGUUAUUCAGAAAAACCGCAACAUGGAUUUGAAGUUUCUGAGUAAUGAAUGAUUAAAGCAACAAGUGUUAUUUAAACCGUUAAAAUUGGUCGCACGACACAUGGGGUUCUAGAAAACAGAAUCGACAAUAUACAUCAAGGAUUAACUUUGGUGCAGUAAUACAAAACUCAAUUUAAGCUUAAACAAUAAACACAGGUGGAAGUUGGCUUAUAGAAUUCACUCCCCUACAGACCAUGGAGUUGCCGUGCAUAUUUUUACAAGAAUCGAAUAGCUUUGGGUGCCUAGACAUUGGGCUAGUUUGGCAUUUGCUUUCUGCCACAUGCUUUUGAUUCCAUGUGCCAAACUAGCUCAUUCUCUUAAGACUUAAAAAGUUGCAGGAUAACUGGAACUAGUAGACAGUCAGCUGACAGCACUACUGCGUAAUAGCUGCCCCAUUAAUACAAGCCUCUAACCAUCCACCAUAAUCAACAUCACAUCUGUACUCAGUGGAGGAAAUUCUUCAUUGGGUCAUCAUGAUGUACUUUCGUCAUCCUGUAUGCUUCCAUGUCCUCAGGGGUAACCUAUAAUUAGUUAAAACAGUGGUGAGAUAACCACAAGAAUGCAACAACACAAUCAACACUUGUGUUUAUCAUAAAGCUGAUAUUACAAUAGAAGUAGAUAAUAAUACCUCAUCAUUCCAUGUAACAUUGUACUUGCGCUUCCUUUCAUCUCUCUCUUCUUUCUUUCUCUCUUUCUCCUGUACCAAAAAAAACACAUAAUCCAGUCAUCCUCAGGCUCUAAAAAACCAGAUCAUUCCCACUUAACCUGAUGGGAAAAGAGAAAGUACAAAAACGUUACGGAAAAAAAUAAAAAACCACCAUGCAAAAGGUUGGAUCCCACGCUCACCUUUUUAAGUGCUUCAGCAAGUAACUUCUCAUCCAAAACCAAAUCAUCUGGAACCUCAGUUCCCCAUGUAGCAACCCGUUUCUCCUCCACCGGUUCUGGCAUAUCUGUUCCAUCGUAGAAUAUACAAAAAAUUAAUCAUUCACAAAAUAGCUUAAACAGGGGUAAUUAAUUACAAAAACCAAAGUUAUCAAAGUCUCAAUGGACCAAACAAGAAUUCCAAUCCUAGUAUUCUAUCAUUGUUUGAGAAAAUAAAUAAUAAAUGCGAGAAAGAAGUUCAUGCACAAACCUUCUUUGACCUCUUUGCGAGCAAUAUUAGCCCUCAUGAGAUCUGUUGCAGCCUCGGCAGCCUUAAUUCCAGCAGCACCUGUGCAAUAGCUGUUUCUAACCGUCUGUUUGCAGCACUUGUAACCCCAUUGAUGAUCCUUCCACCACGAACCCCACACAGUUGUGUGGUUGUUAAUGUAAACAUCUUCUUCAUACUUACUUUUGGGAAGAACAAUCUCCUGCAAUUAGCAUGACAUGAAGGAAUUCAAAAACAAGGAGGAAGAAAGGGAGGGAAGGGGGGGGGGGGGGGNNNNNNNNNNNNNNNNNNNNNNNNNNNNNNNNNNNNNNNNNNNNNNNNNNNNNNNNNNNNNNNNNNNNNNNNNNNNNNNNNNNNNNNNNNNNNNNNNNNNNNNNNNNNNNNNNNNNNNNNNNNNNNNNNNNNNNNNNNNNNNNNNNNNNNNNNNNNNNNNNNNNNNNNNNNNNNNNNNNNNNNNNNNNNNNNNNNNNNNNNNNNNNNNNNNNNNNNNNNNNNNNNNNNNNNNNNNNNNNNNNNNNNNNNNNNNNNNNNNNNNNNNNNNNNNNNNNNNNNNNNNNNNNNNNNNNNNNNNNNNGGGGGGGGGGGGGGGGAGAGAUGUAAAAACUCUUUUUCCAGUAUUCGUGCAUUAGCCCUCCAUCAUUUUUAUGCACCAAGACAUCGAACUAACUGAAUUGCAUUCGAAGACCCAUUUGUACGAAGCUAGAUGUAGAUAACAUCCCAGUUCUUUAUAUCAACAUAGACCAAUGACCAAAACUAAAAAACAAUCUCAUUUCAAAUUUUUCAACGAUUUUCAAAUCCCAUUUUCUAGUCUGAUGGAUUUCCGACCCUCCAACCCGCAAGAGAGCUAUCACAUUAAAUUGACAGAAUGGUGAUAAAUAUGAAAAUCAAUUUUCCUAGCAAAUUUACCUGUCCCUUUAUGAUCCGUCCAGCGCGAUCAUAUUCAACUUGUCUUUCACUUUGUCCCAGCAAAAGUUCUCUUGGAAUUUCUUCUUCACUAGCAGCAUUGCCAUACUUCUCCAUAAUUGUGUCCUUUGUUCGCGUCUUCAAUUUCUCCUUUAUAACCUUAUAAUUCUUAUAUAGCAACUCGGCUUGGGAUGGAGCUGCUUGCAUGUGAAUAUCUUGACCCUUAUCAAAUGCCUCCCAAGAAUGGAUGUUCAGCUGCUUGAAUUCCAAAGCUUGACCGCUAUUCCUAUAUUGAUUAUCUCCCUAAAAAGUAAGGGAAAAAAAGAAGUUCAGUCAAUAUGGUAUACAAAAAGAUUGCAAGUAUAUAGCCAGUCUAUUUUCAAGAAUACUUACCCCAUAGAAUUUCUCAUUUGGAUCUGCAUCUGGAAGGGGAUCCUCACGCAUUGACCGGGUUUUGGGGUCAUAAUGGGCAGAGUUGACAUCAAGAUUUAAAAGAUAUUUUGCUGUAUCCUCCCGAAUACGCAGAUUUCUACAAAAGAAUAAAGUGAUUUUUAGUUGCAUUUUUAGCAAAUAUAAAAUUGGAAAUAUAAACAACAGCAACCACCAAAAUCAUAAAAGAGAUUUAAAAUGGUUACAUAUAUCACAAUCCACAGCAGCUCUUUGGCCAUACUCACCUAACAGUUCCUGUGCUCCCACCACCAGUUGUUCGAACACGCUUUUCUACCUUUGCAAAAUCCAUUUGUUUGCUCUCAUCAACCUUAGCUUCAUCUACCCUUAAAUCAUCUUCAUCAUUGUCCUCAUCACUAGCUCCCUCCUCAGCAUUUUGGCUACUGUUUUUCUCUUCUAAUUUCUUAAGCUGUUGUUCCUUGAGGUACUUCCUUCGAGCUGCUCCCUGUGCUUCAUAUCUCUCCACGACAUGAGCAUAAUUUGAUGUAUCAUACCCAUUCCAGCGGUCACGCUUACCAUCAUAGUCGAGCUCAAAAGAUUCAAUAUUUUCAUCAGGAGCAAUGUGUUUAUUAGUCCACUUUGCCCCAACUCUCCUGGGUCUUUCCAUGCAUGACUUAGCAUCAUGAGUCAUAGCACCACAAUUUUGGCAUGCACCCUUCCUGUAUUUAUCAGCUUUCUCUAGAAAAACCCCUCUACGAUACCAGUCUCUUGUAUACUCUGGGUCUGCUUUCCACUUGCGUUGAUGUUUCAAACUAGGCUUCUCAGCAUUAAGAUACCAAGGAGCAGAGGACAUGUACUGAGGAAUAUGAGGAUUAAUCUCCUUUCCAUCUUCAUCAACUUCAGCAGGUGCAAGCCCUGCUUUUCGAGCUUCUUCCAAUUCAAUUUGCUUCCUAUGGUCCUCCCUAGACUUAAACGCAACUGCAAUCAUGCAAAUAACAUAAUUAACUUAGCUUUCCCGAUUACAAUUCCACUGAAAUAAACAUCCAAAUAAGUUAUAAAACUCAAAUUAAAAAAAUUUAAAAAAGAAAGAAAAGAAAUUUAACACUAUAUAAAUUAUGUCCAACAAAGAACAAAAAGAAAAUUCCCCUUUCUAAUACCUAAUGCAGAGGAAAGCAAAACAGUCUAAAUAUUACUUAAUUUUGAUCGAAAUCCAUGCCCUAAAUCAUAAUCACCAUAAAAGCCUAAAUAAAUAUCUAAACUCAAUGAUCUUAAUCAGCCGAUUGCAACAAAAAUUCACAAUUAAAGAAGCCGAAUUAAUAACAUGGAUGACUUCUGUUAAGCAAAUUAAAACGAUAUCAAAUAUAUCGAUUACAUUCAAUAAGAAAGCUAAAAACAUACCUGAUGCUGUUGCCAUGUCGAAUCGCUAAGAACGAUACCCUAACAGUAGGAGAGAGAAGAACAANNNNNNNNNNNNNNNNNNNNNNNNNNNNNNNNNNNNNNNNNNNNNNNNNNNNNNNNNNNNNNNNNNNNNNNNNNNNNNNNNNNNNNNNNNNNNNNNNNNNNNNNNNNNNNNNNNNNNNNNNNNNNNNNNNNNNNNNNNNNNNNNNNNNNNNNNNNNNNNNNNNNNNNNNNNNNNNNNNNNNNNNNNNNNAUUAUAAUAUUAUUUUUUAAAAUACAUAUCUUCAUAUCAUCAAAAAAAAAAAAUUGCUAUAAGAAAUAUAUAAACUAUUCAUGAAAUAUAAAGUAAAAAUGAUAAAUCAACCUCAUUUAUCUAAUUUCAUAAUAAUUUAAUUCAAAAUAAUAUUAUUUUGAUAUUUUAUAGAUAAUACUUUUAGUAUAUUUUUAAGAUGAAAUUUUAAAAAGAGAAUUCAUAAUAAUAAUACAUUAAAAAUAAUAAAUUUUCGAUAUCUUUUAGAUAUAUUUUUAUUAUAUUUUUAAUGAGAUUAAGAAAAAAAUAAAAAUAGAAUUCACAAUAAUAUAAAUUAAAAAUAAGGUAUUUUUAGGUAUAUUUUUAGUUUAUCUUUUUUUUUCGGAUGAAAUUAUGAAAAGCAAAUUCAUAAUAAUACAAGUUAAAAUAAUAAAAUUUUAAUAUUUUUUAGGUAUAUUUUUAGUAUCAUUUUUCUAACAAAUUUUUGAAAAAAUAAAAAAGAUAUAAAAUAAAAAAUAAUAUCCUUUUGGUAUAUUUUAGAUCUACUGUUAGUGUCUUCUUUUUGAUGAAAUUUUGAAAAAAAAAUAUAAAUAAAUAAAUAAAUUUGAAAAAAAAAAUAUUUUAAAAAUAUUGACUAUAAAAGUAAAACUUUUUUAGAAAUUUUUUUUUUUAUAUUACUUCACAUAUUAGUUUAUGAUCAGAAAUGAUAAAGUAAAGUUGAGUUUUUGAUACCAAGAAUAUCUCGGAAAGUUUGAUUGGCAUAAUAUUUAAAUUAAAUUAAUCAUAAAAAUAUAAUAAUGCUAAGUUGAUAACUCUUGAUUUUCAUAAUAUUUAAAUAUAAUAUGCUAACUCAACUUCAUAUAUAAGCUAUAUAUAUUUAUUUAUUUUAGUUUGAAAACAUUACAAGAAAAAUAUUAGAUGUUAUUAACACAUAUUAGAAACUUUAUUAAAAGAAUUACUUAUAAAUAUUUAUUAUUAUUAUUAUUAUUAAAAAUGUGACAAAUAAUUAAAAAAUAUUAAAGAUUUUACUAAAGUUAUAUUACUUUUUUAAAACGCUUAUGUUACAAAUAUAAUUAUUACUUAAUUAAGAGAGUCAUUUAUUAGUUAAUAUUUUAAUUAUAUUUGUAUUAAUCAAUAUGAAAAUUGUACAUCACUAUUAUAUUCAUGUAUCAAAAUUACAUAUGUAUUAAAAAUAUUGAAACAUGUUAAAAAAUAUAAAUCUUAACUUAUAUAUAUAUAUAUAUGGUAUUUUGUAAUUUUAAUAUAAUUUAUUAAUUUUGUAUCUGAGCUUUCAAAUAUUUGUAAUUUGAACCACUAAUGAAUUAUGUUAAAAAUGGUAAACUUAAAUAUCUACUAUUGUUAUUUUAAGGGUCAAUAAUGAUUAUGAAGUAUAUGAAGAGUUUAUGGUUAUAUUAAAAGUCUAAGUAUAUGAAAUGUUAAAGUAUUAAGUGUCGUCAAUAUGAAUAAUUAAGUUUGUAAGUGAAUGGUCAUAUAAGUGUUCUAACAAAGAGCUUAUAAUGUUAGUAGUUUGGGAGAUGUGAGAAAUGAUAACUCGGUCGAUUGAGGUGAGCUAUUAAUAAGAAUCUUCAAAAGCUGACUUCAAUUUUUAGUACCUGCAAAGAAAGGUUAGAAAGCAUCGGACAAGGUUGUCCGAUCACUCACUCCAAUGACAAGGUCAUUAAUUUGUGUGAGGGUGCUAAAGUGUUUAAGUGUGUAAGAUUGCUUGUACCUAGUGUGUAACGCCCUCAUUCCUUAUAUAGAUGUUGAAGGUCUUCUAGUCUAUUUAGGAGAGAAACUCCACUUUUGUAGGUCCUCCUAAUUAUAUUCAGAUUUGCACUCUUGUUCAUCUUUAGAGUUCUAGAUCGGGUCAGACUCUAUGAUUAGAAUCCUCUCAAGACACAUUCCUUUAGAGUCGCAGUCAUAAUGAACAUCAUCUUUAGUCAACCCCGCCUUUAUAGGAUGGGACAGGUUGGUUUUUUAUAUUCAGUUAUCAAGAAGUUAUCUCUUUAUGUAUUUUGAUUACAGAAAUAAAUAUUUGUGAUAUAUUUUCCUCUCUUUAAUAAUUUGUUCUUGUGUUGUGUUUAUUAUGUUUAUCUCCUUCUCCUUUCCAAUAAAUUAUUGAUCCACAUCUAGAGGUGGAGUUAAGCCUACCCAUAUGGCCAAAAUUCAAUCUCUAUAUGUUAUUAGUAAUUCCUUUGGACUUUUAUAAGCACAUCAAACUCUUAAUCAUUUUAUAAUGUAGGACGGGGUAUUACAAUCUUCCCCACUCAAAACUAUAACGUCUCCAUCAGAAUCAUAUCAUAGCCCAAAGCCUGAAAUCGUAGCCCAUUAGGCGAGUCAUGAAUUCUAGCAGUGGCUCGUAAAGGAUUCUAGAGGUAGUUCUCACCGACUUUCCAUGACGUAGCACUUAGCUUUGCACAACAUUUAGUUCUAUAUUCAGACUGGCAAGUCGCUCUAGUACCAUUGGUAAAGUCCGAACCUAUAUGAAUUAUUGAUCAAACAACUAGAUGGGAGGUUGGUUGUCUAUAUGGCCCAAAAGUCAACUCCUAGAUGUUAAUAAUAAUUUAUUUAGACUUUUAGAAGCAGGUCAAACUCCGAUUACUUUCUAAUGUGGGAUGGGAUAUUAUGGUAGACCUUUAGUGGCCUCAACAUUUCCAUUGCCCGUUGUCACCCAUUGUAAUCCAAAACCAAUAAUAACUUAAUGAAAUGAAAGUGUUUAGUGUAAUUAACAAUUUUUUAUAUUAAAAGCUCAAAUAGAAUUCUCUUCUUUCAAUAAAAAUUGGUCUUAUUGAUCAUUGAAAUCCUAGCUUAAAAGGUGAUAGUCUACUGCAAGUGAAACAUGGAGUAAAAUAAUGAAAGUGUUUAGUUGUAACUAACAACGAUUUAUAUUAAAAGCUCAAAUAUAAUUCUCCUCUCUCAAAUAAAAGUUGAUCUUGUUGUUAAUUAAAAUCCUAGCUUAAAAGGUGAUAAUCUGCUGCAACUGAAACAUGAAGUGAAAUAAUGGUCUCUGGAUUCAAUAUUGACACCGCCAACAACAACAACUACAUAAACAAUAAUAACCAUUUUUGAUGAUCUAUUCACUGUCUGCCUCACUUUCUCUCUCUUCUACAACCGUCUCAGCAGUAGUUGCUCCCAUUAUCACUCGAACAUUGUGUUUGUGUUUUUCGUGACUUAUUUAAUCUUUUUUUUUUAUUUAUUUUUUCAAGAAAAAUAAUAUUGACCUAUGCAGUAAAGUCAGAUUAAAUUAAUUUCCACUAUCGUAAUAUUGGUAGCACCGGUAGGUGUUUGCUUUAGUUGUUUUGUCCUCUGGCUUAACCGAUAAAGAACUAUUAGACAUUAUUGAGUAAAUGAUUAUGGUAACCAAAACUACAGUCUGGUUUGUAUUGGUUGAACAGUACAUGUGUUUGUUUACAUAGACGGAAAGUUGUUCUCAUUCCAGGAAGAGAUUUUGAUUCGAUAUUAACAAGCAGAUCGGUGUGGAAGAAUGAUAUUCUUUUUUUUUUAAAAGAAGGAAGAAAUAAUAUAACCUAAAAAGAAAAAAAAUCACCUAAGAGAGUUUUUUUAAGAUUCCUUAAAUUCAAUUUAGAUAUUAUAACAAUAAAACACUGAGUUUAUAGGUGUAUCCAACGUGUUUAAUGAAAGAAUUAACAUGGAAAAUAUAGUUGGAAUUCACCUGACAUGUUCGCAUUUCAAUACCAAUAAUAUGAUCGGUAGUUCGAAUUACAAAUAUUUGAAAGCUUAUAUCUUUAUACGCCAAAAUUAAAGUCAUAUUAAAAUUGUGAAAAACACUAAAGAUCGUGAUUAAAUUUCUAAUUAAGCCGCUAUAUAUAUAUACACGAUACUUUCUUUUAAACAAAGUAUAAAUAACUCUUAGCUUCGGGAGAGCUCAUAUACACGGUUGAGGCAAAUUAAUGAAAUGGAGCUUCGGAAAGUGUUGGCAUCAUUGAUUAUUAUCUUAUAUAUAAUUCAGACGAUUUGGUAAGGUGAUAAAAGAAAGACAUGCGAUGUUUCUUUUCCCUCCAAAACAGUUUUAAUUGCGAUUCAUUUGCAAGCAUCAAAGCCAUGGCGAAGAAACCCAAAGCCUUUAAACUAUAAUUAUUAUGAAAGGUCCCUUGAAAAUGCAAGAGCAGAUGAAUACAGAUAGGUCCAGCUCCAAUCUCAAACCCGGUUUGUAUCGAAGACAGUUUAUAUGGUUUAAAUAGCAAUUUGCCCCCCCAAACUCGUUCUUCUUGGCCUAAUUUCUCCACAGGUUUGAAUCUGGCUGAUUUGUCACAAAUUUAAGAAGGUGCAUUUAACAGGCAUAUGUGCGCAAGUGCCCUAUAUUACAAAAGUAUAAAAAUAUAAUUUUAACUUUUUUCUUUAAAUUAUACAAAAAUAUAAUUUUGUAUAUGUCCCUAACUAUAUACUAAACUGAUAGAUAAUUGACAUAUAUUUAUUAGUUUUAAAUAAUAAAGUAUGUGUCAAUCAUUAAAUAUUAAAAUAUAAAAUAUUUUUAUAUAUGUGUCACUGUCUUAUAAGUUAUAAUGUAAACACAAAAUCUAGAUAAGAAUUUUUCAUGGAAAUUCUUCAAUGGGACAUUAGGAUGUACUUUCGUCAUCCUGUAUGCUUCCAUGUCCUCGGGGGUAACCUACAAUUAUUUAAAACAGUGGGGAGUUAACCAUAAGAAUGCGACAACACAAUCAGCGCUUUGGGAAGUGUUGGCACUAUUUCUUUAUAGACUUGGCAAAACCAACAUAAUAAUGAGGAAAAAUAAAAAGAUAGUCUCGGCCCAAGAAGAUAUACAUGUGAAAUGUUCUUCAAUUUAUUUCUAAAUGUCCCACCUUUUGCUUUUGUUUUCAAAGUUAGACCCAUAUUUAUGUUUCCAUUUAGUUUUUUUCUUUAACUACUUCAUAUUUGUUAUUUUGAUUUUCAAAUCUUAGCUUAAUCAAAAUACUAGUUAACCAGAUAAAUAUAAUAUAUUAUUUUGUGCACUUUUUUUCUCCUUAAUUGUUUCUUAUGUAUAUUUUUCUUAAAUUAGAAAAAGGAAAAAAAUAAGAGAGAUAGGGAGAAAAAAUAAACUUAUACAUGAACGGAAAGUAAUCGAAAUAGAAAAAAAAAAAUAGAAAGGAAACUAAUUUUAAUUAUAUUUGGCUAUUAAAUUUUUAUAAAAAGAGAGGAUAAUAGAAGAGAAAUUGUCCCCAUUCAUCCCUCUUGUGUAAGUUAAAAUUAAUUAUACUUCAAUUUAGAUGUAAUUAAUUAUCAUUUCUCCUUUUAAUAAUUAUUUAUUACGUAACCAAAUAAAACGAUAAAGUAUUAAAUCACACUCGGAAACAUUAAUUUGUUCAAGCUCAAACAUGUUUUUCGUUUUUUCAUUGAAUAGAUUUCAAUAUAGAUUAUAACUCAAAUAGAUUUCAGGAUAAAUUUCAAUAUAAUUAAUGUAAUAAUCUAUUAAAUUCUACGACAUAUAUCAUUGAUUGUUAAAUAACUCCUUUAAUUUCAAGUACCAACACUCGUAAGUCCUUAUUAGACAAGAAGAAAGUGGUAGGACUUGGUUGAGAUUUUUUUUUAUUUUUUUCUAUUUCAGUAAUUGAAUUAUUUUUUAUUCAAACAUUAAAAUAGAAUAAUAAAAAAAUUAAAAUACUAAAUUUAAAAUAUUUCAUAUUUACUUGUCAUGUAUUUGGUUUCAUACAACCAAACUGAUGUGAAAGGGCAAUAAUAGAGAAAGUGGGCACAGGCGCAAUCAUGCAAAUUUAUUAUUAAAUAUUUUACUCAUGGAUCAUGUUAAUCUUUUGGAGAUAAUGGAAGCUUGAUGAUGAUGAUGACAAAUCAAACCCAAAAAUAAAAGAAAACGAAAAACAUGUGAAUUAAAAACGUGAUUUGUGUGGGUGUUUUUAUUUUUUUAUUUUUUUAUUUUUGCGAGAUGGAUGUGACUCAGUUAUAAUUUUUCUGUCUUUUGAAAGAGAUAAUUAUUAAAUUCAAUAUAUAAUAACCUUGCAUGACCAUAUAAAUAUUCAAGAAAAUGAAUACAUUAAGCAUAAAUCUUUUAAUAUUUCUCAUAUAGGGAAGGAAGAAAAAAAAGAAAAAUCAUCGACCGUUAUAUUAAAUUAUAAUAAUCUCAUGCUAUAGUAAUACCCAUAAAACAAUUAUUAACUUUAAGUAUAUAUGUGAUUAGUGUAAAAUAUAGAAAUCAUGCUUUAAUAAAGAACUCAACUGCUUAUCAUUUUGCGAGUUUGCAGUCUGAAAAGCUUUUGAAUUCAUAUCCUGGAUCUAAGAUACAGUUUGAGUUUUUUUUUUUUUAUCAUAAGUUAAUAAUUUUUAUUAAUUAAUAAAUAUUUUUAAGGAAUUAAUUUCAUUUUUUUUUUGUAGAUAAUUGAAUUUAAUAAAUUUAUUAUUUUAAUAUUUAAUAAAAAGAUUAUUCGAUAAGAAGGUGAAUUGUAGUUGAUAUUUAGUUUGGUUGUCUUUUUAUAAGUAAUGGCAAACAUUUUCUACUGCUUGAGCUUUGUCCCAACACUUUAAUAAAAGAUGUUUGGCUUAUAAAAAAAAAUACUUGAGUCAUUUCUUUAAUAAUUUAGAACACUAAGAAAAUACUUAUAUAUCGUAAUACAAAAUUGUCUGCCAUCUAAUUGGCAUAUCAAUAAAAAUGUAUCAUGUUGAUAUAAAUAAAUAUGUAAUAUCAAUAAUAUGCAUGCCACAUUAAUAAAAAUUAAUGAUACUAUGAUAUAUAUAUAUAAAAGCAGAACUUUAAAUUUUAGGGUUAAAAAUCUUAUAUUAUGGACAUUGACGAUUGAGGAGGAACCUGCUAACAAUUGAAUAUCCGAGUCAGCGUUGACAUUUUUGGUACUCUUCUACUAAUAAAGACUGAACCCAUAUGAAUAUAUAUAUAUAUUAAUAAAAUUUAGCAUAUAUUUUGCAAAUUUUUAAUUUUAGUAAUGAAUUCAAAUUUUUUUUUUAUAGCAAACUUAAUAUUCCAUGCUAGAUUUGGAAAAAUUCUAAAUUACAACAACCUUUUUGAUAAUUAAGAGGAAGAAAAAUUAUCUUAACUAUUAUUUGUAAUUUUUUAUUUACAUAAUCGUUCAACAUUUUAUUAAAAUAAAAUUAAAAUUAAAUGACUGAAAAAUAAUAAAUUAAAAUUUAGUAGUUAAAAUAACCAAUUUAUAUCAUUAUCCUAAUAGUAAUUAUACAAAUGAUCGUUUGUUUCGAGAAAAAUAAAAAAUGAGAAUGAUAAUAGAUGAUUUUCAUUGAUAUCAAAAACCACUUUAAACUUAGAACAGAAUUACCACCGUCAAUAGAAAUCAAUCACUUCCCUCUUUUUCUUAAAAAAUAAAAAAUUUAUUCUCGUAACACUUAAAUCAAAUUAAUAUAAAAGUAAAAUAAAUGAAAUAAUAACUUAUCAUUCAUAUAAAAUUAUUUAUUAUAUAUAAUAAUUACAAAUUAUUUUUAAUUAUAAUUAAAUAUUAUUAUUUGUAUAUAUGAUAAAUCAACUUGAUUUUGUUUCAUAUAAUAUAAUUAUUUGCAUUCUUAUUUCUUCUAAUUGCCAUUUUAUUUUUAUUUUUAUUUUUAUUCCGAAUCUUGAACCAAAUGGGUCCCAAGUUGAAUCACGAGGGCCAGUAAUAAUCCCUGUGCAUGUUUGAUUGAUUCCAUGUUUCUUUGCCUGAAAGGGAUAAAUCAAUUGUCACGGACAAGUUGAAUUUCUGGUCCAAGAACUGGAUAAAUUUACAUCAAUUUGAAUAAUGUCUGAGUUAUCUUUCUCUUCUGAACAGUAACAAAAAUUGUACAGCAAUAAUUCAUGACCUUUUGCCAUCCCAAAAGCCUAACAAAAAUAAAAAUAAGAACAAAAAUGUAUACCUAAUAAAUUGUUCAAAUAUCUGGCAAUUCUAAUGAUUCCCCAGCUCUUGUGAAAAGAUUAUACCAAAAAUCCAUACUAUCAUACAUAUUUGUAUGACAGCCAUAAUAAACUGGUCCGACAUGAAUAUUUCCUAGCGAAGAAGAUGGAAUUUGUAACUGUAGCUCACUGCUAAAAUCACUGUCCGAGCUUGAAUUUUCACUCGACAGUACUUCUGACCAAAAAUUGUCAUCCAUUUCAGGAAAAUCACCCGAUGGUUCGACCUUCAUAGACAUAUUGUUAGGAUGAUCAUCACCUGUGGUGACGGAGGAAAUGUCACUUGAACUUGGGUGUGGCGAAAUCGGUCUAUAUUCUGUGGCUUCAGAGGCCGCAGGAUUUGAUGAAUUGAUGAAUUCUGGUUUCGCUUUUAAUUCUUGAUCAAUAUUAUUAACUCUUGACAUAUCAACGGAGCGUCUCUUGAUUUCUGGAGUGGCAGUAGCUGCCUGGUUUUGCUUCAAUCUCUUUUUCAGGUGGGUGUGCCAAACAUUUUUUAUUUCAUUGUCUGUGCGUCCCGGUAAUCUUGCUGCAAUAGCUGACCACCUGAAGAAAUAAUUCAGAUUAAAAAUUAAAGAUCAUGUUAAGACGUGCACUAAAUCUAGGGGUUAAAUCUUUCUUGGUUUCAAGAAAUAUAAAAUGCUAAACAAUCUUGUACUCUUGCUAAGUCACAUGAUUGAUUAUUUCACUUACGUGCAUCAACCAAAGUGCCCAUCUUGUUUGAUAGUUCUUAUGUAUAUAAAUAAAUAAAACAAACUUUUGAGACAGCAUGUGUCUGUGUCUGUGUCUGUGUCUGUGUCUGUUUAGCUUUCUGUUUUCAAUAUAAAACAGCACAUGGAUGCUCACGGCCGAGAAUCUUUUCAGUCUCACAUGUUAAUUUCUACUAUCAAGAAUCAAGAAAAAGAAAAAAGAAAAAGAAAACAUGAAUAUUGACAAGUUUUGGUUCAUUAGGAUAUGCCCUUUUGUGCAUAGCAUUCUCCGAUAUGAGACGAUGGCUUCUUGUCAUUCUUGAUUUUAGUCGGUUAUACAGAGGAUACUGUUUCAGGCUUUUGGCAGCAAGAAUUAAUUUACUGAUACAAGUGAUUACAAAAACAUACCUAUUUCCUAGCAUUUCAUGUAAUUGAAUGAUGGUUUCUUCUUCUUCUCUGGUGAAAUUGCCUCGUUUAAUGUCAGGUCUCAGGUAAUUUGUCCAUCUCAGUCUGCAGCUCUUUCCACACCUCAGUAAACCUGGAAACAAAAAUAUCAAAACGUUCAAAAACCAGGAACCAGUAUAUUUUCUUUCUCUUCUUGUCCCUUUUGUACCCAUUGUUGGGAAUGCUUUAGAAGUUAGAAUCCAUUAACAGUGAAUUGGGUGCAUUAAAAUACCCAAUUCUUGUCUGAAAAGACAUAAGAAAUCAAAGAUAAAAAAAACCAUAAAAACUUUACCAGCUUGUUUAGGAAGUGCCCUCCAAUUGCCAUGACCAUAUUGUUGAAUGUAAUUGACAAGUAUUUGAUCUUCCUCAGGAGUCCAGGGACCUUUCUUUAAUCCCAUUUUCUCACAGCAAGGAGCUCUCACCAUUUUAUUUUCCUUUCUAAUUCUCGACUCUAAGCAGCUCUUGUGUUCUUUUGGAUAGAUAGGAGGACGGGGCUGCUAUUAUCAUACAGAGAAAUGAAAUGAUAAAUAUAUAUACUCACACAUCAAAACGACAAAAAUAUUAUAUAAAAAUAAAAUAAAAUAAAUUAAAGCAUGUUGGUACAUACAUAAAGCUAUAAAAGCUUGUUUGAUUUCAUUAACACAGCUUCUAGGAAAUCUCUUGGCUAUUUGCUUUCUUUUUUCUUUCUCUUUUUUUUUUUUAAUUUCUUUGUGGCUCGUGGGGGGCACUGAUGCGACUGCGUUGAUGGUCAAAUAAAACGUGGAUAUAUGCCUAAAUUGAGUUUUUCUUUUGAAGAAAAGAAUUGUGCAGGUGCAUGAACUUCAUGCAAAUGCACUCGAGUCUACUCAGUGUUGUGAGCAUAUUGAGAUUUUCUUGUUAAUUAUUCGAAUUUUGGUAACUAUUUCCUUUGGUGGAUGAUUUUGAGAAUGAAUUAAUUUCAGAUUAAACCUUGAUUAAUAAAGAAUUUAGUUACCAAACAGAUUAAACCUAAUGAUAUCUUGAGGGAUAAUAAUUAGAAUGAAUAGAUAUUAUUCAGUGAAUUGGCAAAUGACCUCAAAUGAUGACCUUUUUUCUAUUUCAAUUUGGAAUAAAGAGAGAUCUUUUAUUUAAUAAAAUACCGAAAUAGAUAUGUGAAAUACCAUUCUAGUACAGAUAUGAUUUAUUUUUUUUUAAGAUAAAAGAAACAAUAUUAUAAUGAUAUAAUCUCCUUCCUUUCAAAGCAAAUCCAAAAAAUCAAUGGUAUAAGCAUUGAAGUCAAAAGCAAAACCUAAGGCAUUCUUCAUUGUUGCAAUUCCUACCGCCUGCUAACAUUUUUGAAUCAGCCCGUAUUCUCAUCCUCCUUAAAUUUAUCAAUCAUUUCUCUUCUCUUUCAUAUGAUUAAGAAUAAGAUUCCAUAGAUUUUGAAAGAUCUAAUGUAUUUAGCUAAAUUAAAUGUGGGUUUUAUGUCUUGGAAAAUUAGAGCAUGAUUAGUCAUGGGUUUUGAUGGAAGAUAUUCAUUACCCAUGUCUCUAUAACGCAUAAUAUAUCCUAAAUUUCUUAAUUACAUUCUUUCUCUUAAAAAUAAAAAAAAAAAAUCAUUCUAUAACAUCUAAAUCAAGAAAAAAGAAAAAAAAAUAAUUGUACAUAAGAAAAAUAUUAUUUUCUUAGAUUUUAAUCAAUUAUAUUAAUAUAAUAGCAAGCAUAAAUACAACCAUUCAUUUGGAUUUAAAUGACCAAUUCUUUUUCUUUAGUCUUGAGCUUAUUUGGUAAAAAAAGUCAAAAGGAGGUGAACUUUUUAUUUUUAAAAAAUUUGAGGGUCAAAUUCACCUUUAUUCUUUUAAUUUGUAUGUUGAUGAAGAUAAACGAAGAUCUUUUUUCUUGGUUAAAACUGAACAUCUUUAAGGUUUGAUCUAAACAAGUUAACCUAAGAAACAAUGAGACCACAUACAGCAAAUACAUUGAAUCUCGAAGAAAAAGAAAUUUAAAUUUAUAUAUUGAAAUAAAUAACAAUAUUCGAACUCUGAUGCAUAAUUAUUUUUAUUUAUUUUAAUUUUUAUUCAUAUUAUAUAUUAUAUAAUAUUUUUAUUAAAUUAUCUUUUAAAAUUUCGAGAUUAAAAAAUAAUUUAAUAAAAUAUUAUAUAAGACUUAUUUUAUAUAAUAUAUAUAUUUAUUUAUUUAUUAAAUCCUAAGAACUAAAUGCAUUUUGCUUAUGUUAUGAAUAAAAGCUUUUAUAUUACUAUUUAUAUCCUUAUACAUAUAUACAUACAAGCGCUAAAAAGAAUUGUUUAAUAUAAAUAUGAUAGUAUAAAGUAUUAAGUCAAAUGGUAUAUUUAAAUAAAAAAAUCAACAUAUACGAAGUCAGUAUAUAUGUUUUUCUUAGAUGCAAUAAGUAAUAAUACGUUUUGAAUUCAAAAGUAUUUAUUAUUAAAAUAAUAUUUAUUAUUUUUAUUUUUCAAUGUUAAAAUUAUUUAAAAUAUUUGGCAUAUACUAUAAUACAGCGUAAAAUUCAGGAAAUACUUAAUAGUGUGAAAUGGAAGUCAAAGAAAGAGGCUAGAGGCAUCAAUAGGACAAAAGAAUUGCUUUCAGGACUGGCCACACCCAUUAGCUAAAACAAUUUUAAUCAUUACUAAUUAAUUGUUAUUUAAGAUUCUUUCAGUAAACGCAAAGGGUUUAGUAGACAAGUCAAACCCAAGUGACUUCUAGUCUUCAAAGAUUAAAAAUAAAUAAAAUCAGAAUCCUUAAAAAUAGAGAAAAACAAAUAAGAAAAAAAUGAAAAAGAAAAUAUGAUCUCAAUUUCAGGGGCAUUUUCUCUUUUCUACACCAGAAUUGAAAAUCUUAAAAAUUCAAAGUAAAAGUAAAUGAAUAUAUAAAUCUCAAUAAUUGACCUUUUGUGGUCUAAUUCCAAUAUUUACUAAAGCCUUUGAUCGUCAUCAUCACAAUGGAGUUCUCUAGCUAAUAUUGUGCAUUUACAGUAUUGUCAAACUUAGUAGGAGGAAUAUUUGGUUCAUUUUAGCAACUUGCUCUACCACAUUUGAACAUUACCUAAUAUUUUCACCAAAUUAUCUACAGUUGAAAAUUUAACAAAAAUAAGUAAAAUAGUAUAUGGGAAAUCUAUGUCAACAUGGAGAAGAAAUUGGUCACUAAAAAGAAAAAAAAAAUAGAAAGAAAAAAGUCUGCUUAAACACAAAUAAGUGGAGAUACAAUCCCAGUUGCUUUGACAUUACACUAAAUGAUUUUGGCAUUCAAUUAAUAUAUUUUAACCUUUUCUUUUAAUCCCUUAAAGUUGAAAAAGGGUUUUGUAAUCCUGUAAAAUUAGAGUCCUUAAUUCUUUCUAGGAACCGAUUUUCUUAAAAUAAAAUGUGUUUUAAUUAUAACUUAAUGGGUUGAAUAAGAUGACUAAAUUAUAGUGAAGAAAACAAAAUGAGAACCAUAAAUCAUUUAAUUUAUUCCUUUUAAAGAAAAUGGGUUUUUGUAAUAAUAGGAUUUUUGCAAUCAUUCUUUAGAUUUUCUGACUAUGAUAUCGUUAAUUAGGAAAAAGAAUUGCAGGGUUAUGUCAGCAUAAUGUCAAUUUUCCAUUUUCGUUUUGCUUUUUUUUUUUUUAUAUAUAUAUAUAUAUAUAUAUUCAUUCUUUGUCCAUUUUAAAGUAAAGUUGGCAGAUUUUCAACAAAAUUGACAUGAUAUGUACUUGUUUGUUCAUCAAUCAUCAAGUGGUACAAUCUAUAAUUUGUCUAAAGCAAGAGCAAUGUGAACCCAAGAAAGGAAAUGUUAUUCCUAAAGAUUAUUGUUUUCUUUUUUUCUUUCUGGACUGUGGAACUCUUACUGUGAUUAGCUGAUUUCAAUUAAAGUACAUUAGUCGUAUAGUCACGCAUAGCUAUUAUUAUAUACUUUGAUUAAGUAAUACCGUAAUUUAAGUCUUUUAUAAUAUUCGGGUAACACUAGGCGAUUCAUCUCUCUUAAUUCCUGAACCAAAGCGAAUUCAACUAUCUUUCCUUCCUUUCCUUCUUUCCUUUAGAGAUUGGAAAUGACUAACUAAGCUAAUUGUUAUGGCGAUUUCAACUUAUUCUUCCCCAUUGAUGUCACCGCUUCUCCCCCUGUUAGCAAGAAGAGCUCUGAUUCAACACGACUUGGCUUGGGAGCAGGGCCUAUUGCCUUUAUUUUUUAUUUUUUUACCAUCAUUUUAAAAAAUAGUAACAAUUUAAGAUAAAUUAAGAAACGGAGGACUGAAGGAUGUGCUUGCAAAACAAGGAAUUCCAUGACCUUAGACUUUGUGGCUUGGCUGCAAUAAUUAUCUGCGUUUUCUGGUUUCAUUUUGUUCUAUUUCUUGUUAAAUGUUUUCAUUCACCCCUGUUGCGCCUUCGUGCCCUCUACUAUUUCUUCGUUCUGAUGUAAUUCCUAUCAGCCUUUUUCUUUACUUAAUAUAAGAAAAAGAUGAAUGAUAUUUCUUUUCUUCCUUGAUCUCAUUUUCCCUUUUAUUUUUCCUUAAAGUCUACAACAUGUGUUGAAACUUUAUGAAAGAUCAAGAAUCAGUCCCUAUUAAUCGCAAAAGAAAAAGAAGUUCUUUUGGUAUUAUUGAAAUGUAAAACUUUUCUAGAGUUUGAAUCUUAGAUAUUCAACUGCUUUAAAACUCUGUAAGAGUCUUGCUCGACACGUUCUAAAUUAAAUCUAGAUAUAUAUAUUAAAAAAAUAUGAAACUUUUUUUUUUCUAAAAAUUGAUAAAGUUUAAAUUCUAAUGCUCAUUUUUUUUUUAAGCAGUCUCGCUUUAUUACUAGAUUAAGGCAUCAGCUAUCACAAAAUACAGCUUUAGCAAUAUAAUUUCAUAUUUAUCACUUAUUAUUAGGGUUGAGUUUGAUUUUAAAAUAUUGAAAAGGGAAUUUUGCCUAAUUUAAAUAUAUUAUAUGCAUUGAAUAUGAGAUACAUAUUUUUGUAUUUAUUUAUUACUAAUCUUUUAGUUGUGUUCACUCCAAAGAGUUUUUAUUUUUCAAAAUAUAUAAAUCAAAAGUGACGCAUGCUUUAAGCUAAUAUCACAAAAUAAAAUAACACAACUACACAUAAAAUUAUCAAGAUUUCACUUGAUUUUUAUUAUUUUUUUCAAAAAGGUUCAACUCCGCCGGGAAACUUAGAUUCGCAAUCUUUUACAUAAAUAUGUUCUAUCUUUUCCAAUGAAAUUAAAGAAAAAACCCACUUCUUUUUAUUAAACUUUGCACUAUUUUUUAAAUUAUUAUACCUUAAAUGUGUUAAAGUUAAUUUAAUUGUAUAUGCAUACCUAAUCGUGGCUGAGAUUUGGAGCCAUCAUAAGUAAGAUCUUGACCCUGUCGACUGCUUCAAUUUUUUUAGUGUCAUCUUAUGCUUUUUGAAAGAUGGAAAGAAAUGACCCUACAAAGCUCUUUCUGAGUAGAAUAAAUAUUAACAACUUUGGCAGUUAUGGAAGGAUAGUCAAAUCUGUAAUCGACACAGCCUGCCGACAUCAGCUGUUGGCAUAAUCAAAUUUGUUUCNNNGAAAUUGCAAGUUCUUGUCCUCAAUUUGUACUUGGUUGAAACAUCUUUCAUGAAUUAAAAGAUUAAUUGAUGGCUACAGAACCCUUGUUUUCUUUUCUAUUUUUAUAAUAUUUUUGAACUGAAUUGAUGAUCGCAAUACACUUUUUGCGCAUGGGGGUAACUAAGAUUUAUGCUUAUCUUUGCAUGAUCUCGUAAAUUAAAAUUAAACACUUUCAACUAAGUGCUUUAUGUGUUUCUCUAACUAAUGGAAUUAGUCCUUAAGCUAACUAUAUAAAAAGAGUUUAAAGAAUUUAAAAGUUGGAAAGACUAAAAUGAAGAAUUUAUAAGAUAUAUAAAUAAAAGUUUUUAAAAUCUUAAAAAUUAAAAUUUUAAUAGGGGCAAAACAUUAUAAAUUCUUAGGUGGGAGAGGAGGGACCAACUUGAUGUUUAGCCAAAUCUUUUCCUUUCUUAAUCUAUAAAACCUUAAGUCUUUUUUAAGGAAUAGGCCGGCCAUUUACUUAAAGCAAAAGAUGAAGCCCUAACAUUAUAUAUCAUUUUUCCAUCUCUUACUAUGAUUUGGAUACCUAUAUCAUGAUAGUGUCUUCUUGCGUAUAACAAUCUGAGUUGAUAUUUAUAGCAUCAUCAUGAAACUUAAAAAUAUUUAUUUUGAAAAAGAAGAAUGACAUAUUGCAAUUCUUUUAGAAAUAUUGUUGUUUAAAUCAUGAAACUUCUGUUUAUUCAAAAAAUUUGAUAAUAUUAAAGAACAAAAAUUGCAUCUUCUUAAAAGUAUUUUGCAUUUUGAUAUGAUCUAUCCGGUAAGCUUUUCGUCCGUCGUUUUAGAAAAGUAUUGCAUGUGGAGUUUUUAUGAUAUCUAAAUUGUAUAUGAGAUAUUUUGAUUUUAUAAAUUAUAAAUUAUAAAUUUUAUUGUUACUUGUCUAAAAUUUUAAAAAUUGUGAAGGUAAUUUAGCAUGUCUUCAUAUAUACGUAUAAUCACAAGUCUGAAAAGAUAUCUAUAGAAACAUUUGUUCAAAAAAAAAAAUUUCAAAAGAAAAAUAUUGCAUUUUAAGAAAAAUAAUAGUGUUGUUUAAAUCAUGAAACUUCUGUUUAUUAAAAAAAAAUUGAUAAUAUAAAAAAAUUAAUAUUGUAAUUUUUUUCAAAACUAUUUUCUCAAAGAAUAUUGAUGUAGACAUUUUGAACAAAUUCUAAUACAUAAAUGGUCUUCUUAUUAAAAGUAAGUAGCUAUCAAAAUUCAUUUUUGCUCCCUCGAAAGUGAUAGAACCCAAGUCAAAUAAACUAGGUAGCUUGGAUUUUCAAAAGAAGAAAAAAAAAAAUUGAAGAGCUGUACCACAUUGAAGGUUCCUAAUGAAAUCCAUGGUUGCCUCGUACUACCUUACAAAUAUUGUGAGUGCUGACUCAAAGCCCUUGUUCUCGUCUUAGUUUAGAAGACUAUUUUCUUUUCAACCUCCAUGAAGAACAUUGAAACGACUGUCUUAUUGCUAUCGCAUAAGCUUGCCAACGUUGAUUAUGAAUUUAUGGGCACAUUUAAAAUCAUGUCGUGAUUCAGAAAGUUAGAAAAAAAAAAAUAAAGAAGAAAAGGAAAACGAUAAACGCCUUUUCCUUAGGCUAUUGUUGCCCACUUAUGCCAAUGGUGUAGCCUCCUAUCCUUUUAUCUGUCUUCUUCUUUCUAAUAAAAAAAUUGUCUUUAGAUCAAAAGCUUUAACACUAAAUUUAAGGUUAUUUUCUGUUAACAUUUAGUAAAAGUUUUUUUUUUUCAUUAGUUUUUUUGCUCUUUCUUGCUUCUUAAGUUAAUUUCUCUGAAUGGACGUUAAUUUUGCUUGGAUUCUCUUGAUGUUGGUCCAUUUAUGCUGACAUGAUUGUUUGAAAAUCUAUUUUUGUUAGUUAUGUGUUGAGAUAAUAAUAUAAAUGGUAAUUGAAUUUUUGCAUUUAAUUUCAUUUUGAUUAUAAAAAUUUAUUUUGUUUUACUUUAAUCAUUAUUUUAGUUUUAAUUUAGUUUAGAAGCACUUGCUAAUUGGACUGAAGCAUACCAUCACUGCAACUGGUCUGGCGUUGUCUGUGACCCUCCUUCGAAUCGUGUCAUUUCGAUAUCUACUGCUGAGAAGCAGCUUCAGGGCCAGAUAUCUCCGUUUCUUGGAAAUCUCUGUGCCCUGCAGGGUUUUUUAUUUAACUUCAAAUUCAUUUACUGGGCAUAUUCCACCUCAGCUGAGACUUUGUUCCCAGCUAAUUAGUAUUUCUCUCUACGAAAAUUAUCUUUCAGGUCCAAUUCCAUCAGAACUAGGAAACCUUCAAAAUCUGCAGUAUGUACAUUUAGGAGCUAAUUUGUCGAAUGGAAACAAUUCUGAAAGUAUUUGUAAUUGCACCUUUUUGCAAUCUUUCGGCGUUGAUUCUAACAAUCUGACUGGCAGUAUACCCAGAAACGUUAGGAACUCAGUUAAUUGGCAAGUUUUUGUGGCAAGUGUUAAUAACUUAGAAGGUCCAAUACCCGUUUUCAUUGGAGAGUUGCAAACCAAGUUGGAUAAGUUCCCUAUCUCUCUAGGUAUUACUCCACUCAAGAUAAGUUGUUUUCNNNNNNNNNNNNNNNNNNNNNNNNNNNNNNNNNNNNNNNNNNNNNNNNNNNNNNNNNNNNNNNNNNNNNNNNNNNNNNNNNNNNNNNNNNNNNNCAAGAUAAGUUGUUUUCACUAAUAAGUAAACCUGUCUAGAGUGGGGUAAUACCUAAAGAGAUAGGGAACUUAUCCAACUUGGAGGUUCUUGAGUUGUUUGGGAAUUCCCUUGUUGGGGAAAUCCCUUCUGAACUAGGUAGCUGCAAGAAUCUUGGCAGGUAUCCCUUUGUUAGUGUGAGAACUGAAGUGUUUAAGGUGUUGAAACUUGCUUGUUGUUGGGUACUUGUGUUGUGGUUAGGCAUUCAUGGGCUUUGGAUUUAUGAGUUGCAGGAGAAGGUCCUGAUCUCAAGAGAUCUAUAAUUGAAUUCUAAUUGGUUGCUGAAGUUUUACAGGUUUGAUUUUUAUCCACUCAUCAUACCACAAUUAUCACCUCCUAUAUGUCAUUGGUGCUAUCACGUAUCAAAAAUCUCAGCCAAUGUUAUAAGUUGUACUUGCAUCCAAUAGAGAUAUGCCACAUCUGCCUCUGGAUAUAUUGCUAGCUUCAUAAAAUAAAAUUAAAAAAAAAAAGUGCACAAAUUAUCUUGAAUACCAACAAUGCCAAGAAAGUGAUGCUCUUUCUUUUCUUCUGAAAUUCAAAUUCUGGUGAGUUAUUCGCCAAGAGAAAUUGCGUUUUGUCCAAUAAUCAUGACCACAAAGACAUGCAUGGGUGAGAAAUUCUUGUACAGGGUUAUUCUUGGAGAAGGCUUUACUAAUUUUAUUGUGAUAACCCCUUGUAAGAAUGAUUUAGUUCUCUUUAUCCUAAAUUAUAAGCCAUGACCAUCUUUCUUCUUAAUUAGACACCUUAGCUCAGCAAAUGCUGCUUGUUGCUUGUUGCUUGUUGCUUGUUGGAUAUAAAUUAUUUAAUAAAAGAUAAUGGACAGAUAAUUACGGAUUUGCCAGAUGAGACCACUUUAAAAGCAGAUGCUAAGGUUUAAACCUUAUCAAGUUUUAAGAAUAAAUUGAUGUUUUCACUCCGUUUCUUCUUCCAAGAAUUUCAAAGUUUAUCAGUCGAUACUGCUAGUAUUAAUAUUUUUUGGAAAAGAGGAGGUAACAGUAAAGAACCUAUUCUUUAGUUUAAAUUUCAUUUUAAGACAUAAAUUACCUGUCCAUGACUCUGAAAAUGAUGAAAAAAUACAGCUGAAAAUGUCAGAGUUUUAGGGUUAUACUUUAUUCCACGUAAAUAAUAUUCUAAUUAGUAAUGACAAUUUCAUCAUCAUUAUAGCAAGUUUCUUGUUUUUUUCUUUUUUCUUUUCCUUUUUCGGUUGAUUCAUUAGAAGAAGUCUCCAGAAGAAACAUAUACAGCUACAAAAUCUGACUUGAGACAAUCAAAGUAAUGCUCGGCAUGAAAUUGAAGAAAUUGCUGUCAUUCUAGCAGCCACACUUGCAGGUAUACUUUGAUGAAGCUCUUAUUGCUAACCGUUCUUUUCAAGAAUUUGGUUCACUAAAAGCUAAGAAAGAUAACUCAGUUUUUGAAAUCUAACGGACAUGAUAAUUAAGUAUCAGCUUUUACAUUAUAUGUUAAUGCCACCAACUCAGAUUAUUUUUUUUAGCAGAUAUUUUAUGCAGGCACCUCCGUAGCCAUUCAAAACUACAAGUUUUCUGUACAAUGAUGCAAUGUCCAUCAUCCUUCACUAACAUCACGUCUUUCACAACAAAUCUACUGCAUGUUUCUUGACCAAAGAUAUUUACUUUGCUUGUUGCCAGUCUGCUGUGAAAAUGGAGUGACCCACCAUAUAACGUUAUAUAUACGGGAAUAAGAAUUUAAAAAUAAAAACAAAAACAGAGAAAGGGAACAACAACCUCUGAUGCAUGAAUUCAGCCUUCUGAUUUAAGUGGACCUGCAUCUACAUGUGUCACACUCUUUAAUUAUUGAUAAUCUUCAUUGUAUAUGCUAAUAUUAAUAAUAAUCUUAUCUGUAAGAAUUUUUAGAGGACUGCUUCACCAUGUAAUAUGAACAACUCUUGAUCCUGAUAAUAGUUUUAAUUUUUCUUUAUGAGCUCAAACAUCAUAUUUUCUAAAAUACCUGUCAUUCUCUUAUUCUCUUAUUUAUUCAGUGCCGAUUCAGGUGAACUUAUCAUGCAUACAAUUACCAAAUCCCAUGAGGUAAUUAAGCUUGCACAUUGUUGCUUAGAAAUAGUAAGAUAAUGAUAGAGAAAUAAAUUUGGAUCACACUUUCCUGCCAUUACUAUCGUGUUGAAUGGUAUCCUAACUCCUAAACCGAUGAUGUUUUAAUGUUUUUAUUUUUGAAUAACCGAAACGUGGCAGGACCACAUUAGUUAUAAUUAAGCAUAGAAAUGAAUUUGACAAGUUGGUGGUCUGAAGUGUGCCAAGUAGAAAUGGUACCGACAAAUGUCCAAAAUCUUCAACUUCCAAUGAAAUGAGAGACUUAGAUACCCAAGAUAAGAGGACCCACUCCAUAACUCUCUUGAUAAGGAUAUCGAUAGUUCUAAGAUAAGGAAAUUCACAACCUUAACUCCCUAUAAGACACCCUCCAAACUCACUUCUAUCUUCUACCGCUCUUAAACACCACUCCUACUCGUUCAAGUCUAAAACACUACUCCCUCAUUUUUGACAAUGGCUACCUCUACAAUGGCCCUCUCCUCCCCUUCAUUCGCUGGCAAGGCUGUGAAGCUCUCCCCUUCUGCCCCUGAGCUCAUGGGCAAUGGCCGUGUCUCAAUGAGGAAAACCGCCGCCAAGAAUGUUUCCUCCGGAAGCCCAUGGUACGGCCCAGACCGUGUUAAGUACUUGGGUCCAUUCUCCGGUGAGCCCCCAUCCUACUUGACUGGUGAAUUCCCCGGUGACUACGGAUGGGACACUGCUGGGCUCUCUGCUGACCCAGAGACCUUUGCCAAGAACCGUGAGCUCGAAGUCAUCCACUGCAGAUGGGCCAUGCUUGGAGCUCUUGGAUGCGUCUUCCCUGAGCUCUUGGCACGCAACGGUGUUAAAUUCGGUGAGGCUGUAUGGUUCAAGGCUGGAUCCCAGAUCUUCAGCGAGGGUGGUCUUGAUUACUUGGGCAACCCCAGCUUGAUCCACGCACAAAGCAUCUUGGCCAUCUGGGCUUCCCAGGUUGUGUUGAUGGGUGCCGUUGAGGGUUACAGAGUUGCCGGCGGGCCACUAGGAGAGGUGACCGACCCAAUCUACCCAGGUGGAAGCUUUGACCCAUUGGGUUUGGCUGAUGACCCAGAGGCAUUCGCUGAGUUGAAGGUGAAGGAGAUCAAGAACGGUAGAUUGGCUAUGUUCUCUAUGUUUGGAUUCUUUGUUCAGGCCAUUGUUACAGGAAAGGGACCAUUGGAGAACUUGGCUGACCACCUUGCUGAUCCCGUCAACAACAAUGCCUGGGCAUAUGCCACAAACUUUGUCCCCGGAAAGUGAGCUUAAAAAAGGAGAUUUUUUUUUCCUUUUUUUUCUGUAUCACUGUUGGGUUGUGAUAUAAAUUUGUUCAAAUGAGAAGUAUGGUGUGAAUUUUAUGUGCUAAAAAGGGGCUUUCUAUGUCAUUAUCUUAUGAAUAACACUUGCACUGGACAACCAACAUUUGAGAGAAAACGCCGCGACAGUAAAAUGACAAUUAGUGGCAGUGCAACUAAUAUCAAAUUAAAAUUAGCAUGAAACUUGUGAGAUCAGAAAGAGUAAAAUGCGCGUUCUAAAGCACCGCUUGUGCCCUGCAAAUUCUAGUGGAACAUUUCCAUCCAUCAAAAUAGUUGCCGAGAUGAGCAUGUAAUGUUUAUAAUAUGAACUGGACGCAGGGAAAGGAAUUAAAGGUUCAUUAGUGAUGCCAAGGGACUAAAACCGUAGUUAAGAUAUAAUCAAUCUGAUGUCCUAAUUAUUUCCCUGUUCAUCAGGAUUCAACAAUGUAAACCGAUUUUGAAACUGGAGCGGAAUUGUAUCGUUGUCAACAUCAAAAACACUACAGGCGGAAAAAGAAGUUGAGAUUAAGAGUGCUGAUACAUAAAAUAUUGUCAGGCGAAUCACUGAGAUUCUGUCGCUUGUCAUGUAAGGACUAUUACCGCUAACUUCUGUAAGUGAUUUUUUCUGUUAUUAUUAUUUUUGCUUUAUUUUUUUAAUUAUUAUAUAAUAAUUUAUUAUUUUAUUUUUUACAUCUUGCUCGAGUUUUAGAAACUCGAGUUAGUACUUCUAUAAUUUUAUGUAUCAAUUAAAUAAAUAUAAUUAAUGAAAUUAUAAUUUUAAAUAAUUUAAUAAAUAAAUAAUUAUUAAUUUAUUAGACAAAUUAAAACUUCAACAUACUUAUAAAUUUAAUAUGAUUUAGGUUAGAAUACUCUUUUUUAAUAUAAUAUUUUUAUUUUUAAUAUAACUAAACUUCUGCUAUAUAAUAUUUAAACGCAAUUUAAACAAAUCAUGCAAUACAAAUCAUCAUAUCAUUAUUAAACAUGUUAAUUCACUAAAUAUUAUAAAUAACAUAAGGCUAUCAAAUAUAACAACAUAAUAUCUAAAACUCAUACUAAAAAUUAUAUAUAGAUUUUUAAAGUAAGAAAUUACAAAACUUACAAAUGUAGUUAUGCUUACAUAAUUUUUUACUUAUUUAUAUCUAAAUAUCAUUAUAUACUAUCAUAUCAUAAAAAUAAUAAAAAAAUAUCUCUACAUAAAUUAUACAUAUCAUCAUAUUUAUUCAUAUAUUUUACCUCAUUUAUAACUAACUAUAAUACAAAAAUUUAUUACGAUAAAAAUUAUAAAUUUUAUCGUACUUACAAAACAUUUUACUCCUUCGUAUCUAAAUAUUAUUAUAGAAUAUUGUAGAAGAAAUAAUACAAAAAUAAUUAUUACUACAAAAAUUAUAAAUAUUAUCACAAAAAAAAUUAGUCAUUCAAAUAAAAAAAUAUUGCACAGCAGAAUAUUUUUACAAAAAUUAAUAAUAUCAUCAUACUUUAAGAAUUUAAUUAUUUAUAAUUUUUUAGUUAUGUGUAUCUAAAAAAUCACGUAAAAAAAUUCUAAAAUAUGAUUAUAUAAUAACAUACAAAAAAAAAGCAAAAAAAUAAUAACACAAAAAUCCAUCUACAAAAAUUAGGUAAAAGUUCUUACCUUAUAUAAUGAAUUUUUAUAAACUUCAAGAAAACCUACAAAAUUAUUAUAUAAUAAUACAUAAAAAAAAUAAAACAGAAAAGUAAUAAUAGAAAAAUUAACUAAAAUAUUAUAUUUGCAAUUAUUAUCUUCUUAAUUUUAAGGACAAAUAUUGCAUUAAUCUUUUCUAAACAAAAGAAAAAGAAAAACUUACGAAAGAAAUAAAGAAGGAAGAGUUGAGAGAAUUGGUAUGCAAGAGAAGGGAGAAACUUUAUUCUCUGAGAGAAAAGCUCACGGGUUCUUUAUAUGUAUAGAGCUGAAUUUUAAUCUUUUUAAAGUUAAUUUAGGUGUGCAGCUAUCCGCUUGCAUGCACUAGCUGCACUGCAAUGUCAAGGAAUUGAUUCCCUGCAAGAAAAAAAUAAAGACCCGUCCAUCUAAAGCACUGGGUGGACAUGGCUGUCCGCCAUUCCUUCAGGUGGACAGGUCUUUAAUUUUUAUUUUUAUUUUUUGAAUCGGCCCUUUGACCACCUUAGAACUGGGAUUUUGCUUCAUUAUUUUUGUUCUCCAAAAGCACUAAAUUGAGACAUCAGACAGUAUGUUCAAAAUGAAGAUGAUUACAUGCGUUUCUGUAGCCAAAGAGAAAGCAGAGGAUUACCUGAAUGUGGUGCAACUGGGCUUGAGCCAAGAAGUAUAUACUGACCUCCCAACUCCAUCGUUCCUUAUAUUUCUGCGGCACCAAUCUGGUUAUGCAGCCUUCCUAUUCAAUAAAACAUAAACGACUUCUAAUUCUAAGAAUGGAAACUGUUGCAUCACAAAAUUAUGCAGAGUCAAAUAACCUCAGGAAAGUAAAGCGUUCACAUGGUAUUGGUCCGCCCAUAAUUCGCUUAGAAUUUCAUUAUCAAUAUUACCAUUCACUCUUUCAUAAUUUUCUAAGAAAAUUCAAUCCUUUCUGCUUGAUUUGAGACAAUAUCAAAAGUAAAAUCCUGAUCAGUAAAAUAGCAUUCUUGCUAAAUUUUACACACAGACAACCGAAUACAAGAGUUCCAAAGAUAAAAUGAAAAAAGAAAAGGUAAAAAUUUGUUGGAUGUUCCUAAGUAGGAUUACCAAUGGCUGCCUAGCAUCCGCAGUGGACAGCCCAAGAAGCCUUCUUGUAGGUAAUUUGUUUUCUGCCUUCCCUUGAAGAUCAUUAGCACCGUACUGAACUUUGAGACAAGUAUCAGUCACAGGAUUCCACGAAUCAGUAUCAAUUCCAUUAAGAAUUCCAAUGAACUUCUUCGCAUGAAAAUUAAGAGUUGAAUGGAGACCCCUUCCUCCCUGUGAAGAGAACUCAAAAAUAGGACAUUCCAGACUUAGAAAGUUUAGGACACCGCCAUAACAGAUGAGGAAGAGCAGCGGGAUAUCAGAGAAGAGCCCUGCAGUUCUUUGAAAUUCUUGAAUAUACUGAUACAGAAAAAUAACUUAACUGCAAGCUUAUCACAUUCUAUGUAUUUAUAUGCUUUUGCAGGCACUACCAGAACAUAUUUUUUAAUUUAAGAAAAGCAGAAGAUGUAACAGUGCUGCUUUAUCAGCCAUAGAAGUAAUGACUAUUUAGAUAAAUUGCACAUAACAGCUGGACAUAACAUUCAGCAAUUUCUUGACAAAAAAUUUGGCGUAUAUGAUAUGCUUUAAUUGAUUAUUGAUAUUGAAGCUACUACACGACUUCAGAAGGGCAAUUAAUUAAUUAAUCAUCUCUUGAAACUUCCAUGUGCUCAAGUUAUUCAACCAUAACAUCUCCUGUGAGUGGCAAUGUGUGAACUAAAGAACUAGCUACAAGGGAAAGUCCAUAUCUCAGCAGUCCGCAAACCUUCGGUAGUUAAACUAAAUAAACUAAAAGAAACUAUCAAAAUAGAAAUAAUGUUCCAAUUUUUUAUUUUUUUUUAUUUUGUAGUAAUUUCCGUAGUAAUUCCAAGAAAGUUUUUUGAAUGAAGUUGCGAAUCCAAAUUUUGUUUUUGUAUAAUUUGCCAUCAAAAUAUGAUUCCACAGUCACAUCUGGGGCCUGCAUAUGCAAUCAGAUCAUUGAGAAUAUUCAUAAAAAGAUAUGGUAGUUCAAUCGUUCUUCCAGUCAAUAUUGUAACUCACCCUUAAGUUACCAAUACCAUCAUAUUACACGCAAUCAUAUUUAGGCAGAAUGAUUUCCAUGAGGAGUCCUCCUUUUUGCAGUGCUUUGCCAAGACCAGCCACAACAUCUCCCAAACCAUCAACCUUGUAAGUAUGUGAACAAAAUAAAAUAACAAAUGAUAAAAAUAAGAUUAUAUAACGAAGAAAACAAUAAAAGCAAGUGAAAACAGAAAUAUAAGAAGGAAAACUAUGCCCAAAGGACCGAGCUUCUGUUGCAUUGGUUGAAGAGAUAGUAACAUCUACUUGCAACUUUGAUAAGAAACUGAUGCUACAAUAUAGAAGUUCAGGAAGUGCACCAACAGUUAUGCCCUAUGAUUCAUUUGUGCAUGUGUAUAAAGAAGAUGACGCACAAGAAAAACGAAAUGUCUCUGUUUUAUCCCCCUACGAGUAACUUGUCAAGAAAGCCCUGCUAACAAACCAUACAGGUUUGGGAACUGGGAGUAAUAAUAAAUCAAGUGUUUCACAUCACAUUUGUUAAAAGCGCCGGUAAAGAGUGUAGAAAAAUAUGAACCUGAUAAAGCAAAAUCACAGCUAAUAAUUUAAGAAAAUAAAGAUAAAGUAAGACAAAAUACACAAUAGAACACACAGAUUUACGUGAAAAACCUCUAAACAAAUUAGGAUAAAAACCACGGGCAAGGAUAGAAGAAUUUUACUAUAAGAAAAUAAUAGGAGUUACAAACUCUCUAUUUAUAAAGGAGAAAACAUUAAAAUUCUCUCUUUAUAAUAGGAGAAAAAUAAUUGUUUAACUCUCUAAUAUUUUUCUCUUAUUUUUGGGAUGAUCGAAUAACAAGGUGAAGCUUCUAUUAUAUAGGCUUGGAAGGUACCUCAACAUUGUUAACUUAGCAAUGUGGGAGAAAUACUUCUCAAAAAUUAAUAACUUAACAAUGUGGGAGAGAUACAAAUCCCUAAAUAUCAACAAUCUCCCACUUGAAGAUUUGAUUAAGGAUCAGUCAGAUCUUCACACCGUUCUUUCUUCCUUGCCUUUCCAUGCUGCUUAUACUUUUAUCAGGCCACUAGAGGAUUGACACCAAAUAAAUUUAUCAGUGUUAACUGCCUUCGUCAAAAAAUAUGCUAGGUUGUCCUUAGUAUGAAUUUUUUUCAUAUCCACAGUGCCCUCUUCCACUUUUUCACGAACGAAGUGAUACUGGACUCGUAUGUCUUUGACUUUGAAUGAAAAGCUGGAUUCCUUGCGAGAUGCAAGGCACUCUGACUGUCACAGAACAGAGAAAUAUGCUCUUGUUCAUGCUCGAGUUUCUCCAUCAUCAUUUUCAACCAUACUGCUUCCUUACUAGCUUGUGUAGCUACUACAUAUUCUGCUUCUGUUGUUGAUGUCGCCACAACUGACUGCAGUUUUGAUACCCAGCUCACAGCUCCGCCAGUAAGUGUGAACACAUACCCUGUAGUAGAUUUGCUUUUAUCAAGAUCACCCGCAUAAUCUGAGUCAACAUAUCCUCUGAUAAUAAAGUCUGAUCCUCCAUAACACAAUGCAACAUCUGAGGUUCCCUUAACAUAUCUCAGGAUCCUCUUUACAGCAUUCCAAUGCUCUCUACCAGGAUUCGCCAUGUACCGACUUACUACUCCCACUGCAUGUGCAAUGUCUGGUCGUGUACAAAUCAUCGUGAACAUUAACUCCCUACUACUGAUGCAUACGGUACUCGAGACAUUUCCAUCCUUCCUUCUUCAUUGCUAGGACUCAUACUGGAGGAUAAUUUGAAACUAACAGGAAGUGGGGUAGAGAUUGACUUACAAUCUUGCAUAGUGAAGCGUCGCAAGACCUUCUUCAAAUAAUUUUUCUGAGAAAGCCAAAUUUUUCUAUUGUUUCUGUCUCGGUGAAUUUGCAUCCCUAGAAUCUUGUUUGCUGGUCCCAAGUCCUUCAUUUCAAAUUCCCUAGCCAACUGUGCCUUUAGUUCUUCAAUAUGAUCUUUGUUGGGGCCUGCUACCAACAUGUCAUCUACAUACAACAGUAAGAUAAUAAAAUCACUUUUACCAAAUCUCUUGAAAUAUGCACAAGGGUCUGCAUUAAGUCUGUUGUAUCCAAGGCUCAUGAUGAAGGAAUCAAAUCUCUUAUACCAACACCUCGCGCCUGCUUUAGACUGUAUAAAGAUUUGUUCAACCUAUAAACCAAAUUCCGCUUUCCUUUUUCUUCAAAACCUUCUGGCUGGAGCAUAUAAAUUUCUUCCUUAAGAUCUCCAUGAAGAAAAGCUGUUUUCACAUCUAGCUGCUCUAGAUGUAAGUCAAAUGUAGCACACAUCGCCAAGACUACUCGAACAGUUGUUAAUCGAACCACAGGGGAAAAUAUUUCGUUGAAGUCAAUCCCCUCCUUCUGAGCAUAUCCUUUCACCACCAUUCUUGCACGAAACCUCUCCACUUGAUCAUCACUAUUUCUUUUGAUCUUAAAGACCCAUUUGUUGCCAAUGGCCUUUCUUCCUUAUGGUAGUGGCACAAGCUCCCAAGUCUUGUUCUUAUGUAGAGCUUCCAUCUCUUCUUGCAUUGCUGCCAUCCACUGAGAUGCAUCUGAACUGCUCAUUGCUUCUUGGAGAGUUGAUGGCUCCCCUUCCUCAGUUAGAAGACAGUAUGCGACAUUGCUGUCUAUAUCAUAAUCUUUCUGCCAGGUUGGUGUAAAUUUUAUACGUUUUCCCUUUUCAAGUUCUGACACUUCAAACUCGACUGGUUCUUCCUCUUCGUGCUCUGGUGCUGCUUCAGAAGAAUCUUCUUCUGUAGACUUUCUUUCCACUUGUAUAGUUGUAGUCUCUGAAUUUUCUUUUGAAGUGCUAUCAUCUUCUCCCUUCAAUUUAUCUUCUAAGAAGAUUACAUCCCUGCUGAUUAUAACCUUGUGGGCAGUGGGAUCCCACAGACGAUACCCCUUCACACCAUCAGCAUAUCCCAAGAACAAACACUUCCUGGAUUUUGGAUCUAGCUUUGUAGUUUCUUGGGUAUUAUACAUCACAUACACAGGACUUCCAAAUAUAUGGAGGUUUGAAUAAUCAACUGGCUUCCCAGUCCACAUCUCCAUCGGUGUCUUUUGAUCAAUUGCUGUAGAUGGAGACCGGUUAAUCACAUAACAGGCGGUGUUAACUGCCUCAGCCCAGAAUGCCUUAUUUAGGCCUGCAGCUCCCAACAAUGCUCUAGUUCUUUCUAACAGAGUUUUGUUCAUCCGCUCUGCCACUCCAUUUUGUUGAGGAGUGUAUGCCGUAGUGAACUGCCUCUUUAUGCCUUCUUGCUUGCAAAAGCUAUUAAAUUCAUUACCUGUGUAUUCUCCUCCAUUAUCUGUCCUCGAACACUUGAUCUUAUUGCCUGAAUCAAGUUCAACCCGCGCUUUAUAAGUUUUGAAAACUGCAAAUACAUCUCCCUUGCUCUUGAUAGGAUACACCCAACAUCUCCUGGAGUAAUCAUCGAUGAAGGACACAAAGUACUUAGCUCCUCCUAGUGAUAAAACUGGUGCUUGCCAUACAUCAGAGUGAACUAAUUCUAGAACAUUCUUGCUUCUAGAAUUGGAUGUAUUGAACUGUAGUCGAUGCUGCUUGCUUUUUAUGCAAUGCUCACAAAAGGGUAAUGACACCUUUGUGAGACCAAAAAGUAGAUUUUUCUCAACAAGAACCUUCAUGCCUUGUUCAGACAUAUGUCCAAGCUUCUGAUGCCACACCAGUGCAGAUCUCUCGCUUGAACUACUUGAAGCAAUAGAUGCUUCUGCUUCAUGCAUAGUCUCUCCCAAAAAUAUAUACAAAUUAGCAGCAAUUUUUUCUCCUUUCAUAAUUACAAGCGCUCCUCGGCUAAUCUUCAUGAUUCCUUUCUGAACUUUGAUAAUGCAAUUAAGAUCAUCCAGCUGUCCCAGAGAUAACAAAUUCUUCUUCAGACCUUCCACAUGUCGCACUCCUUGAAUAGUGCGGACUGUACCGUCAUGCAUCUUCAACCUGAUGGUUCCAAUGCCUAUGAUCUUUAAGGCAUUAUCUUCAUAACUAUACGCAGAUCCUCCUAAGAUAGGUUCAUAAUGAUGGAACCACUCUCUUCGAGAGGUCAUGUGAUAAGUUGCUCCUGAGUCAAGAAGCCAUACAUCAGCAAAUCUCUUCCUGCUCUCAGUUGAUAUUGCUGCUUCACAGCACAAUACAUUUCCAUCAUCCGAAGUGUAUGCCACAUUCCCUUGUCUUCAGAUGACCUUUCUUACCACAAUGGUAGCAUUUAUAAUUCUUAUUACUCUUUGAUUUUGGUCUACCAAGAUUAUGACUCCCAUUUGGGCCACGUUCUGUUGAUCUCCCUCUCAUCACCAUCAAGGCUUCCACUUGUUGUGAACCUGCCUUCUUGUCCUCCUUAUUCUUUCGCCGAUUUUCUUCUUCAAGAAUAGCGGCUGCUAUAUCAUCAAAGACUAGAAUUUCAGUAACAACAUUAUUUAUCAAACUGAUGAUGAGUUGAUCAUACGAAUCAGGUAGACUUUGGAGUAGAAGUUCUGCACGUUCUUGUGACUCUAUUUUAUAGCCCAAAGAUGUGAGUUGAGAAAAUAGAGUAUUCAAGACAUUAAGAUGCUCUGUCACUGAAGUAGAUUCUAACAUUCUUAAGGUGUAAAGUUUCCUCUUAAGGAAAAUUUUGUUGUGUAAUGACUUGGCCUCGUACAGUCUAGUGAGGUGGUCCCAAAUCUCCUUUGCCGUUUUCUUUUCUUCUAUGCUGGACAAGAUCCCAUCUGCAAGUGCCAGAUGAAGGUUUGCAAUAGCAUUCCCAUCCAUCUCGUUCACUUAUUAUCAUCUGUGAGUGUUGUCGAUCGUUCACUGAUAGCCGCAAGACAAUUGUCUUUUCUCAAUACAGCCUUUAUUUUUAAUUUCCACAGUGAGAAAUUACACCCGUUGAAUUUUUCAAUCUCAAAUUUUGCCGCCAUUGCUUCUAUCACAAACGGUGCCUUUUAGCUUGUAAAAUGAACCGCAGUAAUGAACACAACUCACUAGGUAAGUUCUCAGGAAAGACUAGAGGGUCACAAGCGGACCUCUUAAGUACCAAUCUCCUUAGACAGAAUCUUCCCUAAAUUGUAAGUGUUCUUACUACUCCACACAAGCUCUUUUGCACCAAAGAAACCUCAAAAAAACCCUCUUAUGAUGUGAAAGAUCAAACUGAGCUGUAACCACCGAAGCUUAAGAAAUUUCUUGCCAACCUGGUUCUGAUACCAAUUGUAGAAAAAUAUGAACCUGAUAAUCACAGCUAAUAAUUUGAGAAAAUAAAAAUAAAGUAAGACAAAAUACACAAUAGAACACACAGAUUUACGUGGAAAACCCCUAAACAAAUUAGAGUAAAAACCACGGGCAAGGAUAGAAGAAUUUUACUAUAAGAAAAUAAUAGGAGUUGCAAACUCUCUAUUUAUAAAGGAGAAAACAUUAAAAUUCUCUCUUUAUAAUAGGAGAAAAAUAAUUGUUUAACUCUCUAAUAUUUUUCUCUUAUUUUUGGGAUAUCGAAUAACAAUGUGAGGCCUCUAUUAUAUAGGCUUGGAAAGUACCUCAAUAUUGUUAACUUAGCAAUGUAGGAGAAAUACUCCUCAAAAAUUAAAUGUAGCCUCGCGAUCCUCACACCCACAAAUUCUAAUUCUAAUGCUAUAUUUAGUUGAAAUCUAUAAAAAAAAAAAAUAAUUUUAUUUAAAAAAAAAGAUAUAAUAGAAAAAAUAAAAUAAAAAUAAUAAAAUUAAAAGAAAUACUUUAGUGUUACAGAAUCUAUUAAUUUACUAAUGUGAAAUUUAUUUAGAAAUUCUAUAUAUUUUAAUAAAAUUUAAUUUAACUAUAACAAAUUCCAUACAAAUUUAAUUAUAUAGAAUAUUAAAUUAACUUUCACCCUAUUUAAAAUAUUUAAAUUUUAAAUUUACAAAUAAAUUUUGUAAAUUUUAUAAAUUUUAACCAAAAACUGUAUAAAUAAUAUGGGUGUGAAAGAAUAGUUCAAUAAAUGUGAACUCUCUGAAAUAAUACUAAUUUAUAUUGUACAGAUCUUGAUCUGCUUUCCCUACUCAGUUUUUUUCUUUUUUUUUUUUAUUUUUAAAUCAAAGAAUCUUCCUAUCUUUAAGGAGCAGACUAUCAUCGAAAUCUAGAAAUGCUACCACGCGAAACGGCUUCCUACUCCAUCCAGAAAGCGAUCAGUGUGCCACCCUUUGGCCUGCAGUUCAGACAAAAAUGAGUCGAACGUGCUGUUCAUUUUCUCGUAAGCAUCUUGCAAGACACUAGGGGUGCACAUGUGGGAAGACUUCUCCAUACUUGUAGCAUAAGCCGCAACUAGCCAUCCCCUCAAUGCAUCUUCACCAGAAGCAUUUUGCUCCAGUACCAUGUCAGUCCAUGUAUUUCCACGAUUCAAAAGAAACUUCUCCUCUGGAAAAAUAUCUUUUAAUUCAUGAACUUUCGAAGGUGUAAAAGCUUUGUGCAAAGCCCGCCCCACUUUUACAUUGCCAGCAUCUUCAAUGAGUCUCCCCGGAAAAAUGAGAUCUUCCCGGUACCUUAAAUCAGCAGGACUUGAUAUCUUUCCUGCCUGGGUUUGAUUGCAACAGUAAGAAUUAGGCAGAUGGAAAUAAAAAGCAAGUACAGAUAUACUAUUGAGAACUUAAAUCAAACCUUGACAUAAUCAGCUACAAUCAUGGCAGUCCUCUGUGGGUUCAGUGUAUUGACAGGAGCAGCUCGCAUUUCUUCAACAACGCUAAAAACAUGUAGAAUAGAAAGAAGAGGGCCAACCACCAACUGCAAGAAAAAUGACAACUAGAAUAUCAAGAUCGUUGUCAAAGAGGAAUAUUACACGCCUUACAAUCCAGAAUUUCUUUUUCAAAAGACAAAAACAGAAGAAUACUCAUUCUUCUCUCUUUCGUAGUAGUUGUAGGUAUAUAAGAAUAUAUACUAGUUCAUGAAAGCAAUUCUGAACCUCCAGCACAACAUGCUAGUUGAAGAGAUUAAAUAAGGUUAAACUAACAUUUGUAGAAACAAAUAUGGAAAUAACUUUCAAUAUCAAGAAGAUACAUUGCCCUACGAUAAAUUCACAGCCUGAUAUCAGGGAAUAAUGAUAAACUCCAUACCUUCCCCUGAAUUGAUGAACAAACAGUUGAUGCUAAUUGAAUCCCAACUCCUAAUCCAACAACAUUAAAAAGUGUUGAAAUAGCCUCCCCUUUUGCAAAUAGGUCACUUAGAUUGCCUUCUUUUGCAAACGAUGAAUAUAUCGGUAGUCUUGUUGCUCUCGCUGCAACUACUGCCAUUCCCUAUCAAAUUAAAUGAACAAGUAAAAUCAACACAGAGAAAUGUAACAAUGGAAGGCAUACAGAGAGACAGGAGAUGGAAAAGCAUAAUUGCAGUGAAAAUGGAACUAUUAAUUGCAAAGCAGAUGUAGUACAACUGCAACAAAUUCCAAUAAUUUCCAAAUAAGUCAGGUUAACACUUUUGUUCAGAUAAAAUUGUUCUUAACUAGAAACAGACCUUUGCAAAAUUACCAAGGCCAGCAACCUCAAGAAAAAGAUGAGGACAUAAGGGAGAAAGAACUUCCAAGCCAGUACCCAAGUCAUACAGCACGUCAGCUGCAAUUAGAGACCAUCUAACCAUAAAUAGGUAAUACAUGACUUAAAGAUAACUCCAGCUCAAAAUCAGCAAAAGAUGAAACUUGACCACAUAUACAGGGAGGAAAGAAAGAUUAUAUGGACAAGAUAAAACCUAGUAUUCUCCAACGUUUAGGCUCUGAGUCCAUUCUCGCACCCAAAUUGCUACAUAUUAGCUUUCCCACGUGCUGCAUCCCAUCUUUCAAUACCUGCUCAUAAACAAAAAGAAUGAAAAAAUCUUGACAUAUUGCUAUUAAUUAGCCUAAAAGUUUACUGUUCACUUGAGCAAUGAACUUACCCAACUGACAGCAGUUGCUUGUGCAGGCGUAGGACGCAAGCCUGCAGCAAAUAGCAGAGACUGCAAAGCAGUAAGAAAAUAGAGAAAUGAUCCCCACAUUAUAGUUGUAAAAGAGAAAAAAAUACUGGUGUGCAUCAUGAAGCUGUGAAAGAGCAGUUUCUAAACGAUUAACCAAGAGAAUCAUACUCAGCAAUGAAUAAAGAGGGAUAUUUAGUCAUAAGGAAUAAGGACUAUAAACUUGACAAAAAAAAAAUGAAGUCACUAUAAUGAUUUAGAAUGUGACAGAGUAGUCUAUAUGUACUGCAAUAAAACCUGAGUUGACAGCACAGACAAUGCUGCACUGGAUAAGUGCUGGAGCGCCCGAAACUGUGUGUAUCUGAGGUAUCCCUCAUUCACGCUGCAUUGGAAAACACCAGGAGCUAAAUAAAGAAAAGCCGUCUGCCUUAGCUUUUUGUUUUGCAAGCUGCUAAGAAGCCUAUGCUCCAAUGUUGAAUAUCAGAUCGCUUACCUGUAUGGAUAUCCAGAUGGAAAAAAUUUAUUCUGGAACGAUUCAACCACGCGAUGAAACAUUGAUCUUGAAUCAUCAAUUACCUUCAUCUAUACCAUCAUAAUUGUAAAAAAAGUGAAAAGAAGGAAAAAGAAAAAAGAAAGGAAGAAAGAUACAAAUCAGUCAUUCAAACAAGUUAAAGAAAGCAUAGGUCAAAUUUAAAAUCAACAUAGAAAUUGCAAGAAAGAGCAGUGAGCAUCUUAUAUUAUGUCCAUCGCUUCUCUACGAAUGAUAUAAAGCAAAAUAAAUGACCCAGUACAAAGUAAAUCUUCUAUUCUUAAGUGGGGAAAAAAGCAUCUUUAGCGGUUAUCUAGCUUGGGAGUUCCCUAAUCUAUUCCAAAAGGCGAAAUUAUUCUUUUAGGAAUUCCCUUUUUCCCAGUCAAGCUAGGCCAAAAGUACAAUUAAGAUAACAACGCAUCAAACCAGUUCUUCAUUAUUAAUACCUCAUCACCCUACUACCAUAUAACUUCAAAAAGCAGCAAAUUUUAUAUCACACAUUGGCUUGUUCAUAAUUUUUUUUUUUUUCAAAAAGACCAUCAUGAAGUACUUCACAUAACCACCAUCAAAAGAAAAGGACCUGGAAUAGUCGAUUAUUUCAUAUGCUUAGAUAUAAUGUACGCCAGACGUUUGCAAAAAGGCGCAGCUCUUUUCAAACGAGUUUAAGGAAAAAAAAAAACUUACAGAGAUUCGACCAUCUGGCUGAAACUGGAAGUGACGUGAGACAGAAUCAGAGGUUUCAAUCCAGUGAACUGGCAAUUCAGGUAGUGGUGGUGGUGGUAACAGCGGUGCCUUGUCUGGCUCCUUCUUUUGCAUCUUAAUGGUGUUCUUGUUUUAAGAGAAAAGAAACAUCAAAAUGGAAACAGCAAAGAAAUGGAGCAGAAUGAAGAGUAAAGUAAUUUAGAGAUUUAAGAUAUAACAAGAAUUACCAGCAAAUUCAUGACUGCCUAAGCAAGGAUAAGACUUGCGACUUUCAGCGCAGAGCUACAUUUUAGGGAACACAGUCGCUGGAGAUGAUAAAAAGCAGCGAAGAACAUAUCACUAAACAAAACGACACCGUUAAGAACUACGAGCGGUCCAAGAUCAAUGCAGUCAAAGAUUGAAUUGAUGAAGGGAAGUACAGUCUAAUCUUUACUCUUAUUAUAAGUAUCAACCUCAAUUAAAAUAACUUUUUUUUAAUCAAAUUAAGGUAAAAUUAGAUUUUAAUUCUUUUAGAACUCAACUAUACUAAUAUAAAGAUUUUAAUUUAAUUAAAUUUUGCACUUAAAUAUAAAUUAAAAAUUAGAAUUGUAAGGUAUAUACAACCGUGCAACUUGAUUUAAAAUAUAUUAAAAAUAAUAAUAAAUAUAAUGAUUUAUGUAGCAUAAUUAAGCAAUUAAUUAUACAUAUUAUAUGUCAUCAUUUCAUUCAAUCAUAUACUUCUAUUAUUUAAAUAUUUAAUCAUUUAUUAUAAUUCUUAAUUUUCUCAAUUUAUUUUUGUUUUUAAGUUGGAGAUGAGUCAGCUCUGAUUGGCUUUGUUCAUCCAAAAGCCCAACAUAUUGAGUCAGCUCCUAUAGAGUAUGCUUGUGCUACAUUUUAAUGGUAAACAGUUAUUGGCAGUCUUAUUGACACUCUUUUGACCUUGGAGUGUACUAACAUUUCACACUCUCUGACCUUUUAAAGUAAUUUGAAAACGCAAGUCUCAUUUAUGCAGCAAAACUUCUUCUUUUUCUUUUCCCCAACAAAAGGGUCUUUUGUAUCAGUACAAAGAGAGAAAUAACUCUGUUAUAGCGGUGAGUUCUAAAAAUAUAAUAAUUUUUUUCAAAUUUUAAAGAUGUAAUUGAACUAUUUUAAAAUUUAAAUUUUGUCGAUCAUAACUUCAUAAACCCUAGGCACUGAAUAUGAGCCAUCUGAACUGAAACUAGUUUCCAUUGUAAGCACAAAAUUUGCAAACUAUACCCAUGGGAGAGUAUAACCAAAAAUCCUAAAAGAGAAGAGUCCUUAGAUCUAACCAAAGAGAAAGAGAAACAUAAUUCCUUGGAUCUAACCAAACAUAUUAUUGAAAAAGAAACACUAAGCAACAAAAGAAACAACUGGAAAGGGCCAUCACCGACCAAGAAAAGAAUAGUCAGCAAUGGCCCUGAAAAGACAUGAAAAGGAAAAGUCAGGGGCCUUUGGAGAGUGAGAAAGGAGGGAAAUCGAUGAGCCCUUUCUAGUUUCUAUGGUUUACUAAACAAUGUCCUUCUUAAUUGUUUCCAAGAGCACUAUGGAGAUCAGAUUAUUCAAUUUUGUCAUUGUCCAAACAGUAAAGCAUGAGCAAUUUUACAGUAGAAACAUUUCUUUUUACAGAACACAAAACUGUCUUAAACAAACAGGAGCAACCAACAGGAUUAGUUCUCAGUGCCUGAACAAUGUCAAAGGAGAAGAGAUAUUAACAAGAAUUCAAAGAACCAAUUCUGCUCUAAGGUCUUCAUUCGUACAAAGUCUCACCCAUCAUAUCAUCUGGCUACACCAAUUUUACAGAGUCAAAUCAGGAUCAUCAUCAUAGUCAAAAUCUGGAUCAGCUGCAGGCCUGGUUCUCUUAGCUUCUCUUGGUCCACCUCUUCCCUUCUUUGGUUUUCCCCUGGCAAUAUAUUAGAUAUAUGUACAUGUAUUAUAUUCUACAAAGCAUCAUUAUCGACAUUAAUAGUUUAAUAACAUAAUAUGCAGAUUAGUUUAAAUUUCAGCACUUACUGCCCAUUUGCAUAUAUCCCUCCGCCCCUGGGACGACCUACACCAUAUUCUGAUCUCCCAUCUAUGAUAAACGCAACAGAAAAAUAAACAACAAAGAAAACUAAGACAAAGGAAGUUGCCAAUACAUCUGCGUAAAUAUGGAUUAAGGAAAAGUUGCCUAUGCAUCUGUAUAUAUGGGCUCACCAUCACGUCCCGCUGCUUGCUCCUCAGCCUGACCAUAGGAAAAAAACAAGGAGUGCCAGAAAAUUUUCAAGAACAUAUUAGACAUAACUUCCUAACAAAAUUAGAAAAAGAAGAAAAACCAAUUAAAAGGGAUCUUCUCCCCCUUUUCUGAAAAUAGAUGGAUUUUAGUGGUGUAGCACAAAAGAAGAUUCCUAACAGAAAGCCUUCAAUACAUAUCUGAUUAACUUUUCCGCAGAAUUAAGCAGCACCAUCAACCAAAACCUCCAACAAAUUUUGGGAUGAAAGAAUGAAGAAGUUAAAGGCAGAAGAAGAAUAUCAUCAUCAUGUACAACACUAUUGCUCCUCUCUAUUCUCUACUUAGAUCAUAAUGCUGUUUAAGUUGAUUAAUCCAAACGUUUGUUUCACCAAGUGCUUCAUUCUUCUCAAAUUCCUGGAACAAGUUCUUUGCGUGUUCCAAAGGCUUUAAGCCCCUUUGCCACAAGGUAAAGUAUGGUCAGUUCAUAAUUUAUCUUAUCACAUCCUGAUUAACAAAUCCUACAAUGAUGGUGGAUCAGACAGUACAUGAAACAUUUCUAUUUAGAUGAGCAUGGCAUACCAUCAUCACUUUGCAUACUGCAAAAAUAUAGCACAGUGAGUCGCACAUCCCAACAGAGGAUAUAUCCAUUUCACCACCACAUUCUUACUCUUUCAAAUUUGCAUAUAAAACAAACUCUUUGCACUGAAAGCUUCAGUGCUGCAACUGUGACAGAACAGCAAAAUAGAAAACCAAGUAAUGUGACCACAUCUCAAUCUUUCUCAUGAAGAGACAUCCAAUCAUGACUCUACUUAAGUUCAUCCGUUACUAAGAUUUAAGAACUGAACCUGAAACUUUUCGCUUGGAAAUGGCAUUCACAUCAAAACCUCCAAAAGUCCUAUCCAUAUGUUAAAUAUGGUAUUGCAAAAGAAUAAAUAUUCAAACCAACAGAACUUUUAGAGUAGCAUGACUACCUUUCUAAAUUUAGUCAUAAGUAUUGAAACGAAAUAAGGGAAGUAGUCCUGAGUUUUACAAAAGGCGGCUUUUGAUCAACAAGAUAUAUCUUUAAAAUGAGCUGCAUGUUUCCAAGAGUAAGCAACAGCAGGGGCUAUAAGUGGCCUUGAUACACAUGCACAAGAAGCUGAGAUUAAAUUAAUAAUGCAUGAAUGGACAGAUGAAUUUAGCAGGAUUUAUUUUCUCUUUCUCUUUUCUAAAAAGAAAAGUACAAAUGCUCAUAGAUAAUCUUUUGUCCCCUUUGAAGUUCAGAAGAUGACAGUUCAAGAUCAAAUGAUAUUACUUUCUAAUUAGACAUGCUCAUUAAACAUAAUUAGAUAAUUGGUGAAAAACUCCAAGCCCUUGCUUUGUCUAUCAUUGGGAAGUAAUUUGAUGAAGAGAAGGGGAAAAUGGGAGUGGGGAAAGAAAAGAAAAAUUAGAAAGAAAAAGAAAACACUGGACAUUCUACCGCUACAACAUUAAAGAUUCAGAGUACAUACUGCUGGUGAGGUGACAGAAGAUAAUGAGAAAAGCCUAUCUUCAGGCUGGAACUUCCUAGACCGCUUCAACCUGAAGCAACAAGUGUGAAGAAACUCAUGUUAGUUAUACAAAAUCCAGUAUUUACCAUGAUGCAACUGAAUCUGACCUCCAGAAAUUCAUAUACAAUCUUACAUCAUUUUAUUAAAUGCUAGAAGUAAUAGUAUUAACUCCAUUCAUGUGAUGUUCCAGUAUCUUAACACAAGGAAACUUGCAAUAAAUUGAUUUGAUUAUCAAGGAGAUCUACAACCUCAAACAGACGUUAUCUGCAGCAGAAGAAAACCUCUCAUGCUAAAAGUUAAUGAGAUGGAGCAUUUAAAUCUUAAAUAGAAACAGGAUCUUUAGUUCCUUUUUCUGAAGAAGACUGUAAUGUGGAACAAUAAUGAUAAAUGCAGCAUCAGGGAGAAACUUUAGACUAAACUGGAAAUUUGACAGAUUAAUAAAGUACUCAAUGCAGUAACUUUCUAUAAAUUAAAUAGUUUCUUUUUUCUGGAUGAAGCUAUCAGCAUGAAUUUUUAUAUAAAUAUACCAAAGGAAUAAGGAAAAGAAAAAGGGAAUCGAAUUAUAAUUCCAAGUAAAGAGGUAAAUGCUAGAGCGACAACUCUCAUCAAAGAGGGAAAACAAAGAAAAUUGAAUAAUAGGCAAUCCAUACAGUGCAGUAUUCUUAGAUGAAGAUAGGAACCCUUCGAAACCUUUCAAUACAUUGCCACACUGACUUGGAUCCUGUAAAUAGUUUGUCUCCAUAUCAUAGACCUGAAGAUUAAGGAAAGGAAGUAUGCUGUCCGUUUAGAAUUAUACAAAAGGAACCAUUCAUCAUCAAACAAAAGAUAGAAGUAAAUUUUUUAGCUCAAAAGUGCCAUGUGCUUUACUAAUGGCACUAACCCCUGAGACUAAAGAAAAACAUACAUCAAUGCACCAAAUUGCUAGCUAGAGAUGAAAAAGGAAAACCCAGAUAAAUUCAACCUAAUUUUGAACUAAUUACUUUAAAGAAUCAAACUUCGUAGGCAAUGUGACAGACCCAAAUAAAAUUAAAUCGUCUUAGUUACAAUAAUUAAUAAUAUUCCAAAUCUCCAAAUCAAAAAACUUUAAGGAAAAAAAAAGAGAAAAGAAAAGAAAAGAAAGAAAAAAUUACAAAUAGAAACCUGCUUUUCGAUGCUGCGAAGCUCAUCGUGAAGCUUGUCUCUUUUGCCAAUAAGAGAAGCCAGCAAUGCAGUUGGGUUUGAAGAGCCUCUCAGCCCUGAUUUUAUUAUCAUCACUCAGCACAAACACAAAAUAAGAGGCUUUUAUUAUGCAGCAAAACAACGUUAUAAAAAGUAAAGUUACCUUCAUGAUCCAUAAUUUUCGCGCGAAAUAUUUGAACAAUCUAUGAUCAACAGCGUUGGUGAUUAGAACCCUAAAACCCCCAAGCCUAUUUGAUGUUUUUGUCUCAAAUUGAAUGAAUUAACGUUGAUCACUUUUUGAUAUUAUCUCCUACAGUAAUGUCUAUUAGUCUUACUAUACACCAACCAGCGGAUGUGCUAGAUUCGAUCCAUUCUCAAUCAGUUACAAAAUAAAUAGACUAUUAAUACAGNNNNNNNNNNNNNNNNNNNNNNNNNNNNNNNNNNNNNNNNNNNNNNNNNNNNNNNNNNNNNNNNNNNNNNNNNNNNNNNNNNNNNNNNNNNNNNNNNNNNNNNNNNNNNNNNNNNNNNNNNNNNNNNNNNNNNNNNNNNNNNNNNNNNNNNNNNNNNNNNNNNNNNNNNNNNNNNNNNNNNNNNNNNNNNNNNNNNNNNNNNNNNNNNNNNNNNNNNNNNNNNNNNNNNNNNNNNNNNNNNNNNNNNNNNNNNNNNNNNNNNNNNNNNNNNNNNNNNNNNNNNNNNNNNNNNNNNNNNNNNNNNNNNNNNNNNNNNNNNNNNNNNNNNNNNNNNNNNNNNNNNNNNNNNNNNNNNNNNNNNNNNNNNNNNNNNNNNNNNNNNNNNNNNNNNNNNNNNNNNNNNNNNNNNNNNNNNNNNNNNNNNNNNNNNNNNNNNNNNNNNNNNNNNNNNNNNNNNNNNNNNNNNNNNNNNNNNNNNNNNNNNNNNNNNNNNNNNNNNNNNNNAAGAUAAGAACAUUUGAAAGUAAUAAUUUACUAUUAUUUUCAAAAUUUUAUAAAUUAAUAUUAAAUUUUUUAUUAAAUAUUAAAUUAUAUUUUAUUAAUUUAAUUUUAUAGUUAAAAUAAUAAUAAUAAUCGUGGAAUGCACGAAUAAAUAAUUGAUUUUAAUUAAUUAAUUAAAUAAAUAAUUAUAAAAAAUCUCACAAUUUAAUUUAUUAUCAUAUUUAAGUUAAUAAAGAGCUAACAAUUCAACAUAUUUAGAUAAAAUCAAUAUUUAUAAACAUGAUAAAUAAGGAUAUAUUUUAUCAUUGCAUCCAAGUCAAAAAGGAAAUGAAUAGCUUCUAAUUAAAAAUUUAAACUCAAUUAGAUAUAUUUUUUUAAAAAAAUCAUAAUAUUAGUAAACUUGAUCUAAUUCUAAAUUUUGAUAGACUUAUUAGUUUUACUUUUAUAAUUAGUUAUAGAAAAUAAGUAAUUAAAAUUGAUAUUUAAUUUAGUUUCAAAAUUUUAGAGUUUUUUUCCACCUAUAUAAUUGUCCCCGAGAAAAAUUGCAUGUAGCAUAUUAAGUACAAAUGAUGGCACUAAAUUAUAAAUAAAUUUUUAAAUAAAUGUUUAUCUUCACAAUAUUUUUUUUAUUUUUAGGUUUUAUUAAUAAUAAAAAAUAUGUGAUUCUUAACUUAUUUAAAAAAUAAUAAUAUUAUUUUAUAUAAAUGAUAAAUAUAAUUUAAUAGUUUGUUGGAUGGUUUUUUUCUUUCUUUUAAUCCCUUUUUUAAUGUUGAAUUGGGAUUGUAAAUCAAAAUCAUCCCAAAACCGGUGUCGAACCAAAACAUUUAAAAAAAGAAGUACCGGACCGGUCACAGUUUCUACCACUUCCCAUCGAGCCAACACGAUAACCUUUACCGGUCAAACUGUAAACAGAAUACGCGGCGAGCAGACAAAGCUCCAAGUCCUUACACGUGCAUGGAAGUGGGGUUCGCGAAUGCACGUAUAUAGAGAAGAUGAGGAAAAGGAAAUGGAUGAUGAUCGAGCAAGCACUGAAGAUGGACGGUGAUGAUGAUGUGGGUGGUGGGGAUGGAGUGGAGAGUAGAGUAGGAGCGGUUCCUGUAAGGUAAUGCAAUAAUACUUAAGAUUCUGUGGUGAGCCCCUUUGAUCAAGAAGUCGGAGUCAACGUCGGGCAAUUGGUGGAAAAUAAUAAUAAUAAUAAUAAAUAAAUAAAAAAAAAGGAAGCGUCAAUACAACGCACCGCCCCUCUCUCCAACUUUGUUCUAUUAUCCUUUUUCUUUUUGUUUUGGUAGACAGCCCUUUUCAAAUGAUUUUGCUUUACUGUUCUAUUAUUCUGUUAAAUUGAUUUCUUUUAAGAAACAUUACUAUAAAAAAAAGAGUCGGUUCAAAAUGUAUUAUUCCAGUUGAAAUGAAAAAUAAAAUAAGAAAAACCAUAAAAGGAAAUCUGAUUUAACAAAAGAAAAAAAGAAAACAAUUAAUGAUUAUAUUAUUAUUAAUAAAUAUCCUAAAGAUAAAAAGGAGCUUAAAUUUGGGCAAAGAUUGGGAUUGCGAUAUGCAAGUAGAGACUAGAGAGGACCACGUCAACUUGCGGCAUGUGAAUUUGAUUAUUAAAUAAAUAUUAUUAUUAAAAAAUAUAUAUAUAAUAUAUAUAUAUAUAUAUAUAUAUAUAUAUAUAUAGCCAUGAUAAUAACAGAAAAUUUAUUUAUUAAUCUAGCAGGAAAAAGAGGUUAUUAUGGGACAGACAAGUAAAAUACAUGCAGAUAUUUUAAUCUUAUUGAUAAAAAUAAUAAAUGUUUUUAUUGUCUAAAAUUUAAUUUCUUUGGUUGGCUCUAAGGAUCUAUAUAUUUAUAUAUAUUAAUUUAUGAGAUCUAUAAUUUUUUUGAUAUAUAUAUUUAAAUGUUAAUACGUUGAAUUUUUAUUUUAAUAUAUGUACUAUUUUUGAUAUAUAGAAUUUGAAUUUAUAUGUAAUUAUAUAAUUUUUUUAAAUUUAUUAAUUAAUCAGUUAUAUUUUUAAUUAAAUAUUCGUUCUAAUUUUAAAAAAUAAAAUAUAAUUAAUACAUUAAUUUUUUAAUUAGAUGAUAAUUAAUUUUUUAAUUAGAUAAUAAUUAUUCUAAAACUAAUAUAUAUUAAUUAUAUUUUACUAUUAUAUUAAAUAAUAAAUUAGUUUCUUAAUUAAAUAAUAAUUCUAAUUAUAAAAAAUAAUAUUUUUAAAUAUUAUAUUCACUAAUAAAUUAAUUUUUAAUUAUAUAAUAAUUUUUAAUUUUAAAAAAAAUAGUAAUAUCAAAAUAUUAAUUUAAAUAAUAUUAGGAUUAAUAAAUAAAUAUCUUAAAAAUAAUUUAUUGAUAGUAUUAAUUUAAAGAUAAUAUUGAUAAAUAAAUAUUUUAUUAAUUACAAUAAUAUAAAUAAGAUUUAAAAAAAUUAAAAUAAUUAGUUUAUUAUUAUUUUUAAAAUUAUUUAAAUUAAUAUUAAAUAUUAACAAAUUAAUUAAAUUAUAUCUAUAAACUUAAUUUAUAAUUAAAAUAAUAAUAACAGUCAUAAAAAUUAAUACUUGAUCCCUUCAGGAAAAAAAUUAUAUUAAAUUGUACUAAAAAAUUUAUGAUUGAUAAUUUUGUCAAAAAAAAAAAAAAGAAGCCAUAGGGCUGAUGGUAAAGAAUCUCUUUUUAUAACUUUGUAUAAUUUCCAUCUUUGUCGCAAUUUUAAAGUCUCUCACAUCCUUUUAUUUAGGAAAGGAAUUAGUAGAGGAUAAAUGAGAGAUAAUUUUAUUCACUUAAUAUGUAAUUUUAACACAUUAAAAUUAAAUUGUAGGAAUUUUAUGUUAAACACAAUUUAAAAUAUAUUAUAUGGUAAAUUAAUAUACAAACUUAUUCUAAUUCGUUUGUUUAUUAUUUAUAUAAAUUUGUUAUAUAUGUUUUAUAGUAUUAUAAAUAUUAUUAAAAACAACUAAUUAAUUUAAAUAUUAUUUAAAUAAAUAUAUUAUACAUAUCCUUCAAAAAUAUAUAUAUACAGUCAUGUUAUUAUUUAAAUUUUAUAUUAUAUUAAAAUUGAAAUAUAUAAAUAUAAUUAAUAAACGGAUCUUAAUUGUGAUGUCUAUGAUUAUGUCCAACAUCGACCAACACAAUCUAUUAAUUCAAUUUGACUCUCCCAGGAGAGAUGAGAAAAUGAGGUAGAGAAAUAAAGAAAUUAUAAUUUUUUUCUUUCACCAAAAAUUAUUAUUUUUUAUUUUAUUGAAAAGUGGGAAAAAUUUGAAGGAAGAAUAUUUUAAAAAAGUAAUUAAUAAUCAAAGAAUCUAAUAUUUCCUCUCUUUCUCUCCCUCCUCUUUCACCCACUUCCAAACAUAGGGUUACCAUUCAAGAAAACAUUAGAGAGAAGAAGAGAAUACCAUCAUUGUUCUUUUGGAAGCAUUCAAUUGCCAUCUACUUCAAGAUUUACCAAUAUUCCUUCCCAUUUCUAAAUCUAUUUUUCUUUUUCUUUUUCUUUUCUUUUUGCCUUUUACGUCCAAAACUUGGCCACUCCUUUCUCUUUUAUAACAACUGCUGUGGUGUGCUUAUCCUUCUUAAAUUGAAGCAAGCUGUUCUCUUCAUUGCUCAUUCCUUAUUCUACAGUUUGCUUUACUUCUUAAUCUUUCUACUGUUCUGUUAGCAUGUCUUUCAGGGGAAUAUCCCGGGUAAUUCUCUCUCUCUCUCUCUAUAUGGGUGCUCUUGAUUUUAGUUCUUUAGCUUGUUUUCUGUUGUAAAUUUUGAUUUUUUCUAGUAUUUGUUGGUGGGUAGUUUAAAGUUCUGGACUUUCUGUGUAUUUGUUAGUGACUAGUUCAACCGGAAGCUUUUCUGAAAAGUUUGUGAUUUAUGGGCUUGAUGAUGAGUAUAAUUUUAUUAUUUCUCGAGUAGAUUUAUGAUGGAAUUUAGAUCACUUCUUUGGUGUUAGUUUAAGCUCAGACGGACGAGAAACGGUUGUGCUUUUAUUGAAUAAGAUACCCAGUUCUUGAUCUAGUGGUUGCUGUUAUAAAACAAGUUCAUGAUCAGAGAUGUACAACUUUGAUGUUUUAAUGUUCUUGGACUGAUGAAAUCGUUGAUGCAUGUGAACCUAUUUGUGAUCUUACGCAAAAUUGAAGAAACUAAAAGUGGAAAUAUAGAUUUUAUUGUGUUCCACUUGUCGUAAAUCUGAUUAGAUCUUUUUGGUUUGUAUUGAAUCUCCAGCCUAAUGCAACAUCAGGGAUGGGUGUUGCUGAUCACAGCAUAAACACAUUCUUGGAGCUGCAGAGAAAGAAGGUCCACCGCUAUGUGGUGUUUAAAAUUGAUGAGAAGAAGAAAGAGGUCGUGGUAGAGAAGACUGGUGGCCCUGCUGAGAGCUAUGAGGAUUUUGCUGCAUCUUUGCCUGAUAAUGACUGUCGAUAUGCUGUUUAUGACUUUGAUUUUGUCACUUCAGAGAAUUGUCAAAAGAGCAAGAUCUUCUUCUUUGCAUGGUUAGAUUUUGUUUUUGAUUACUUCAGCUUUUGCAUUUUGAUUGAUUGGUUUCUUCGCAUUUCUGGAUUAUCAUCGACUCUGUUAAAUCGUAAACGAGCCCGUGUCUCCCUGCAAAUUUGCACUACUUACAUACCCUUGCCUGUGCAGACAUGUAAAUAGAUGCUUGUGCAGGCAGGUUCUCUUAAUAUGUUUCUGCAUGUUCUUUUGAUAAUUCAUUUUUACAAUCAGAUGUUGAAUUUUGGUUCGUCUAAUUGGAUGUUGUAUUCAUCUUAUAAGACGUGGAGGUGUCCCUUUCUGCUCUAAUUUAAUCUUAAAGUUUGAGAUGAUGUUGUUAGUAUCAUGUUAUCUUUACCAUGUCUUAUAAUUUUCUUGCUCAUUUCUCUUAUAAUUGUUUAUAGUUCUUCACUCAUUCUAGUCUCUAAGGCCUUGAUGUUUAAGUUCUUGGAUGCUGAAUUUUGAGUUUGCUUCUGAUAUAUGUGGAUUCAUAAUCACCUAGAGGGAAAGAGAAGGAAGAACCCUUCCUUUUGAGAAGGAGGUAUUAAAAAUUGCAGUAAACCUGAUCAUACGGGCAAGAGCAGUAGUUUGUGUUCAUGGCUCUUUUACUUAAGACUCUGCAUCUUUGAGGAAUCAACUUAUGGUCUUUUCUGCAAUUAUUUUUAUGCACAUCUGCACAUCCUUUAUUGGCUCCCAACUGUACAUUCUUCUAGCUUUAGCAGUUGUAAAAAUUGUCCUUCAGGAUCUUAUUUACAGUUAUUCAUUGAUGAUAUUUAUCAGGUCUCCAUCAACCUCUAGAAUCCGUGCCAAGAUGCUCUACGCCACAUCUAAAGACAGGUUCAGACGUCAGUUGGAUGGUAUCCACUAUGAGAUUCAGGCUACUGACCCGACAGAAAUGGAUCUUGAAGUGCUUAGAGAUCGCGCAAAUUAAGCUUGCGCUGUAAUUCCAAGGUUUCUUCCACACAGAAGGUUAUGCUAUAGUUUUGCAACUCAUGAAUUAUGCCUCUUGCAACACUAAGCAGCUAAUUUGCAGAAUCCUUUUCUGGUCAAGAUAAACUGCAUUUUUCUUGAAUAACUAGGGAGAGACCGAUAAGAAGCUGUAUCUACUCUUUGCUGCUGAUCAGAUGAAGAGAAAUUUAUUAUUGGGUACUUGUAUUUUUAUGAUAUUUUAUCAUACAAAUUCGCAUUUAGAUAUUUACGUUCUCUUCUUUGCUUCUUCUUUCUUCUAUUUUUCGAAUGUGUUCUUUCUAUUGCACAGAGAUAAGAGUAUUGGAUUGUUGGUUGGUGAACACUGUUGGGAUCAGUUUUCUUUGGAAGCUAAGAUAGCCCAAGUGCUUGGCUAGUAGAGAUAUAUGUAAAAAGAAAUUCUUUUAUGAUUCUAGAAUGAACUUAAUGAAAGUUACAUUUGAGGUUGAUCAAAGAGGAAAAAGGCAAAAAGGGAACAAUCUGCCGCUUUGUCCAUUGGAAUCGGCAAUAGAUGAGGAGAAAUCGAACUAGCAAGGCUUCCUUUACAAAAUCAUGCUAAUAUAGGAUAACCUACACAGCCAAAACAAUCCUUUCCAGUUGCACUUCCAGUUUUCCUGGAUGCAGCUAUUCUUCACUCUCUACCUCAUUUUCACGGGACAUCUCCUCCAAAGAUUUUCCUUUGGAUUCUGGCACCAAGAAAGUAAACAGCAUGCCUAAUAAAUUGACUAUACCCAACAAGAUGAGUGAAUUCUUCACACCAAUUCCUGCAGGGUACCCUGCAUCUGCCUUGGACUUGUCCUGGUUCUGAGCCAAAUACAAGAACCCAAAUGCGCCGACCAUAGCCCCAAGCUUCCCAGACGCUGCUGAUAUACCAUGGCAUGUAGACCUUAACCUCGCGGGGAAAAUCUCCGCUGGCACUAUGAAUGUGGUAGAAUUAGGUCCAAAGUUUGCAAAGAAGAAAGUAAAUGAAUACAUUACCACAAAUCCAAUUCUAUUUUCCUUGUGUGUCCAGUGAUUGUAAGGAAUGGCUAAGGCAAACAUAAACACUGUCAUGAAGAAAAAUCCCAUCAUUUGGAUGGCAAACCUUCCCAUUUUAUCGAUGAGAGCCACCGUGAACCAAUAGCCCGGGACAGUACUGCAUAGAGCAAUAAGUGUUUGUGCCCUUGCAAUUCUAAAAACCUCCUGAAUAGCAUUCAUUGAUUUUGCUGAAGGAAUCCAUCCAAUGGCACUGAAUAUGUCCUUCUGGAAUAGAUUUUGACUGUAAAAUGCAAUGUCAAGUAAGAACCAUGUACUUGUGGUUCCAAGUAAGUGAAGUCCAUGGCGACGAAGAAACUCUUUUGAAAACAGACCAAAAGAACUGGUUGGCUGCUGAUUCGACCUCUCAAUCUUCUGAGGUUCUGCCUCAAUAUUGACCUGCAGAACCUUGGACAUAUCACUUGCUGCCUGCUGUGCAUUCUUUGCAACUAGAGCAGUGUAGCGAGCAGUUUCAGGCAUCUUCAAUCGCCAGUAAUAAGUCAGUCCAGCUGGUAAUGCUCCAACCAUAAGAAUAAUUCGCCAAACGUAAUCUGCUUGAGGGACAGUCGAACCGAUUGGAUCAACUUCAUAAGCAGGAGCACUGAACUUGGAGUCAAAUGCAGAUGCUACGAUAAUAGCAAAUAUGCCUCCUGCUAAAAUUCCAAACCCUUGCAUCGCAAAGACUGCUGCAAUGAACGCACCGCGAGUCUUUUUGUUAGCAUAUUCAGACAUGAUCGUUGCGGAAAGCGGGUAGUCACCGCCAAUACCAAAUCCAAGCCAGAACCUGAAGAAGCAAAGGGUUGCCAUAACUGCUUUUGGAUCCUUCCCGAAAGAAAGGCCUGAACAAACAGAACAAAUGACCAUAAGCAUCAGGGUAAUUCCAUAGACCUUCUUUCUACCCAUUUUGUCACCAAGCCAACCAAAAAAUAGUUGGCCUGACAAAGUUCCAACGAAUGCAACACCAUUAACAGCUGCUGAUACAUUAGGAGGCAAUGUGCCAGGUUUCUCUGCACCAUCAACAUGAUAGUAUAUGCGGCCGAGCAAUUUCGUUACAAGGGAUAUGCAGAAUAGAUCAUAUGCAUCAGUGAAGAAACCCAUUCCAGCAAUAACAACUGCAGUGAAAUGAUAAAGCUGUGUCUUUGCCACAUCAAGUUUAUUAAGAACGUGCAAAUGAUCGUUGGCCAUUUUCUUGCAAUGCCCACUAAUUAACCAAAACCUUCUCUUGCAAAUAUUUGGGUUCUACCUGAAAAGAUUGAACAAGAGCUAUGGUAAGAACAUUCACUCUUGUAAUCGAAUAGUGCUUAUCAACAGAGUACACAAUGGGCAAACCAAAUUAUUCAAAGAAAGGACACUCGAAAACACUAAAGAAAUUGCGUAAUUCUUGAAUAUGUUAGACGUCCAUGAAAGAACGAUUCUGAUGCCAUUGAAAAGAUUAAAUAUGUGUAUAUAUAUGCGAUGCGUUCAAACACUUUUACAGGCGCAAACUCGGAAAGUCUUGUGGACUGAUUUCACGUAAUAUUUUACGUUUCAAAAUAGCCACAAAAUACUAAUCACCACUAAAAUAAAUUCCUUUCAGCUACAACGAAAUAAAUAUAUAAAUAAAUAAAUAAACCAAACCAAGCUAUUAAUCUAUAAGAUAUUCGAAACAGAAACUCAUGCAUGAAAGAAAGAAGUUAACUUUGGCACUGACCUGAAAGUGUGUUUCCUUGAGAAAGUUAAAAGAGAGAUAUGGUUGGUGAGGCAGGUGAGAAGGGACUUUGGCAAAUUUAUACAUAAACGAAAGAAGAACAAAAAGGGUAUCCUUAGCAAACAGAAUAUAUCAUCAGUAUAUUCCUUAAUUACGUAUUAAUGAGUGUGAUUAGCGGUAUUUUCUGCCCAGCUAGCAAUAUGCAAAUCUUUACUGUAUCUUAACCAACUUUAAACCUCUUUUGGUACAUUCCCUGGUAUAAUUCGGCAUUAUCUUACUCAUUAUUAUUUACCACUAAAACCAGAAAAGGAAAAACAAUUGCUAUUUUUACCACUUAAUUAUAUAAUAAUAACAGAAAUUUUACAUAUUUAAAUAAUAUAUCCAAACUUUUAAUGCAUUCAUUUGAAUCCCAACUAUUCUUAUCAGGUCCUACUUGAUAGUGUUAUAUAUGGUCAUUAAUUUCUUCAUAUAUAAAUUAUUGUUCAUAAUUGGAAGCUAUAUCAAAAGGAAAAUAUGCACUAUCUAGUAUUAGUAACAACAAAUGUUCAAUGUAUCAUUUCUUGAGCUGGUGGUUCAACCAGUCAAAUAUCCAAUUCCAUAAAAUUUUGGCAUCUGAGUUUAUGAAUUCACAAAUCUUUUGGUUGGCUCUUUUAUUUUUUAUUUUUAUUCUUUUAACUCAUAGAAAAUUCAACCAACUGUAAACUAUAUAAUAAAAUAUAGUAUUUUUUUUUUUUACAUUGGCCGUUGCAUGAAAACUCACCUAAUUUUAAAAAAAAAUUAACUUAGACUUAAAAUUUCUUCUUCUUCCAAGAACAAGUGCUAAAGUGUGCCUUCUGAUUGCCUUUAGUUUUAGGCUGUCAACAAAUUCCAUCUAUCCAGCUGUUUUGAGUUCAUGUGAAAGACAAGUGCUAUUUUAAUCCGCAAUCAAAUUGUAAGACAAGGUUCUGACGGCUCUUUGUGAAGCAAGAACGAUAACGUAACAAAUAGAUUCCAAAGAAAAAGAAUCAAAUUUCUGUAUGAAUUUACCUUGGUAUAACCAGCUUCGCUUGAUAAUUUUCUGUGGGGAAUUUGGUAAAGAGAACUCAGUGGAUGUGAUUAUGAGAGUGAUAAUUGGACAACGAAUACAUAACAGAUGGUGAAAAGAAUUUGUGCGCUCCCAGUUGAACCUUGAAUUUUUAGGUAUAGAGAAAUAGGAGUGCUGAUUCUCCUUAUUUUUGAAUUGCAGUGAGGAGACUCUCGUUUCUCCUUGUCACUGUCGAACUAAACAAAAGAUAAAAUAGCUAUGCAGCAAAAAGAAACAGAAGCCAAGAAAUUGCAGAGCAUCACAUCAGAGAAUAAUGAAGAACAAUAGCGAAUGUCUAUUAUAUUCCUGAGUUCCAGCAGGAUAUGACUACAAUAAGUACAAAAUUAAGGAAAACAGAAAGUGGAGAUAGAAGAACUACAAGAUAAGGCAAGCAGGGGGAAGAAAAAAAUAUCAGACUUUUCUUGCCAGAAUCAAGAAGACUUGUACAACUUUUAUUCUGGACAACUUGCUUUUGGACUAAUCUAAACUGGAACCGUCCUGUUAUUAUGUGAACUUUGCUCCUCGUUCUCGUUAUCUUCCUCGUGCUCACCUGACAUCUCCUCCAAAGAUUUUCCCUUCGAUUCUGGCACCAAGAAAGUAAACAUGAUGCCUAAGAAGUUGAUUACACCCAACACAAUAAGUGAGUUCCUCACACCAAUGCCUGCUGGGUACCCUGCAUCUGCCUUGGCCUUGUCUUUGUUCUGAGCCAAAUAUAAGAACCCGAAUGCACCAACCAUGGCCCCAAGCUUUCCAGAUGCUGCUGAUAUACCAUGGCAAGUGGACCUUAACCUUGCUGGGAAAAUUUCGGCUGGCACGACAAAUGUGGUGGCAUUAGGUCCAAAGUUUGCAAAGAAGAAGGUUAAUGAGUACAUGACAACAAAUCCAAUUCGGUUGUCCUUGUGGGUCCAGUGGUCGUAAGGAAUGGCCAAAGCAAACAUGAACACUGUCAUGAAGAAGAAUCCCAUCAACUGAAUGGCAAAUCUUCCUAUUUUGUCAAUCAAAGCAACUGUGAACCAGUAGCCUGGGACAGUACUGCAUAGAGCAAUAAGUGUUUGUGCCCUUGCAAUUCUAUAAACCUCCUCGAUGGCAUUCAUAGUCUUUGCAGGAGGAAUCCACCCAAUUGCACUAAAGAUAUCCUUUUGGAAUAAAUUUUGGCUGUAGAAUGCAAUGUCAAGCAAGAACCAUGUGGUUGUUGUGCCAAGUAAGUGAAGUCCAUGGCGACGAAGAAACUGUUUAGAGAACAGACCAAAUCCAUUGGAUUGAUUCCCAGAGAUCUGUUGAACCUUUUGCUCUUCUGCCUCGAGAUCCACCUGCAAAACUUUGGACAUAUCAGAAGCAGCCUGUUUUGCAUUCUUGGCAACAAGGGCGGUGUAGCGGGCAGUUUCAGGCAUUUUCAUCCUCCAAUAAUAGGUAAGGGCAGCAGGAAGUGCUCCAACCAUGAGAAUUAUACGCCAUACAUAGUCUGCUUGUGGGAUAGUUGAGGCAGUUGCAUUAACCUCAUAAGCUGGAGCAUCGAACCUGGCCCCAAAAGAAGAUGAUAUAAUUAUGGCAAAAAUACCUCCUGCUAAAAUUCCAAAUCCCUGCAUGGCAAAUACAGCAGCGAUAAAGGCACCCCUGGUCUUCUUGUUAGCAUACUCAGACAUGAUGGUGGCAGAAAGUGGAUAGUCACCACCAAUACCAAACCCAAGCCAGAACCGGAAGAAGCAGAGAGUUGCCAUGACCGAUUUAGCAGUAUGGCCAAAAGAAAGACCUGAUGCCACUGAACAAAUCACCAUGAGCAUAAGAGUCAUACCAUAAACUUUCUUCCUCCCCAUCUUGUCACCAAGCCAGCCAAAGAAGAGCUGGCCUGCAAGAGUUCCACAGAACGCCACACCAUUAACAGCAGCUGAUACAUUAGGAGGCAAAGUUCCAGGCUUCUCUGCCCCAUCCACAUGAUAGUAUAUGCGGCCAAGCAAUUUAGUGACCAGAGAAAUGCAAAACAGGUCAUAUGCAUCGGUGAAAAAGCCCAUUCCAGCGAUAAUAAUUGCAGUGAAGUGGUACCAUUGUGUUUUCGCUACAUCAAGAGCAUUAAGAACUUGUAAUUCCUUCCCCAUGGCUAUCUAGCACUCAAAUUCACAACUUUUCUCUCUUUUAAUCUGCAAAGAUUGAUAAACAAAAGUAAGAACUGAUAUAAUACCACCAAAUUAUAAGAACAUCUUCAAAUAGGACAGUUGUUGAGAAUCUGAACAGUUUUCCUCAAUUCAGUUGUCCAGUCAAGUUGAUCAGUCUAAGCCAAAUUAAAUUAUCAUGAAAGAAUCAUAUUGGGUGUACAAACACAACGAUGAUGAAGCAGAGAGAGUUUAAACUAUAACAUAUGCUACAUAUUUUCCGAGCAUCUGAUUAUUUUCAUACAAAUUUAUUGGGUGAACAUAACAUUAAUUUCCACAAGAUUUUGGACAACUCAGUUUAGUCGGCUAAAGAAAAAACUGGUGGGUCCAACUGCUGCAUAAGUCCUUGAUCACUUUUGGAAAUUAGAAAGGCUAGCUACUAAGGCUUCAGGUCCGUAUAUAAAAAUCAGCAGUACCCUUCUGAGUAAUUUUGAAAAGUUCAUUAAUAUUCUAGUAAAGUUAAAAUCUCCAUGUCUACAGGAAAAAGGAGAAUAAAAACAAAGGAAAAGUCCAAAGAUAAUUCUGCAUCUUUCUUCACUUCUCAAACAAAAAGUAAUCGUCACCCACAUACACAUUGCCCCACUUCAACACACAACAUGGG